rnacentral:lncRNA from 1 species
AACGGGUCACAACUGUGGGAUGUAACAUUUGCAGUCCAAGCAAUCUUGGCCACUGAUCUUGUUGACGAAUGUGGUUCAACACUUAAGAAAGCCUUCAGUUUCCUAAAAAACACUCAAGUAUCUAUUAAUUUCACUUAAAAGAUCAAACCUUUAAACCUAUCUUUAAUCUUAAAUUAAAACAAAAUGUUAGCGGAUUUUCUUGUUCAUAAGUCAUGAUUAAAUUUGUCAAUUAAGGUUCGGGAAGAUUGCAGUGGUGAUCUUAAUUAUUGGUACCGCCAUAUUUCUAAAGGAGGAUGGCCUUUCUCCACUGCUGACAAUGGUUGGCCUGUUUUAGAUUGUACUGCUGAAGGAUUAAAGGUACAUUUCUUUUUCCCAAGUCUCUGUUUCCUGAGCCUAGAUGCUAUGUUGGCAUGUGGGUACUUAUUAAUUAAACCGAUAAAACUUCUUACGAUGGAAAGGUUGGUUCGAUUCAUGAUCAUACAGGCAGCAAUAUUAUUAUCACAAUUGCCAGCUGACAUAGUGGGAGAAGCAAUACAAGAAAAUCAGUUAUAUGAUGCUGUUAAUGUUAUCUUAUCCUUACAGGUACUUCAUAGGCAACGGUCUUAAAAUUGAUUAUCAACUAUUUAAUUUUGUCUUUCGAAAGAAAACAUAUCAGGUUUGUACAAAUGCAUGUCUUCUUAAUUGCAGAACAGCACUGGAGGCUUUGCAUCUUAUGAGCUAACAAGAUCUUAUGCAUGGUUAGAGGUGAGAAAAAUAUUUUCCUUUCAAUUAAUUGGGUCUAUUAACUGAGGAGUGAGGCAUUGAUUAAGUUUUGACAAGAUUUUAUUUGUAUUAAAUUUCAGAUGAUCAAUCCAGCUGAAACUUUCGGAGAUAUCAUUAUAGAUUAUCAGUAAGAUAACCAAAUUAAUUAAUUAUUCAAUUGAUUAAUUAGCAAUCAAAAUCUAUAAAAUACAAAUUUUCUAAGCUACAUUAAAAUGGAGAUAAUCAAUAUGUGCAAGUUAUGACAAACUAAAUUUAAGAGUAGUUAAAAUUAAAUUAGGUGUCUAAUUUAUUACAGGAGUUAUGGUCGCUCAUAUUUCGUGUAUAAUUUAGGUAUGUGGAGUGCACUUCAGCAGCAAUCCAAGGUCUAAAAUCAUUCAUGAAAAGCUAUCCAGGACACAGGAGAAGAGAAAUAGAAGCCUGUAUUGAAAAGGCCAUCGAGUUUAUUGAAAGCAAACAACAACCUGAUGGUUCAUGGUAUGUUUAACUUGUAUAUAAAUGUCAUGUUAAUUUAAAUAAAAGUUUCCUGUAUAUCACUCUCUAAUUAAAUAUUUAGGCAUCUUGAUUUUUAAUAUGUUAAGAAAUGUUAUGAUAAUUUGAAGUGAUUAUUUAUGAAUUUAGGUAUGGGUCGUGGGGAGUGUGCUUCACAUAUGGAACGUGGUUUGGAGUAAAGGGCCUGGUGACUUGCGGUAAAACAUAUGAAAAUAGCAAUAGCAUAAAAAGAGCAUGUAAUUUCUUGCUAUCCAAACAGCUUGAUUCUGGUGGGUGGGGAGAGAGCGAUCUUUCUUGCCAAAACAAGGUAAUUAACCCAAUUUUAAGUUUAUUAAGGAUAUCCAAGUUUGUUAUUUUCCCAGGAAAUUUUGGAAAAGAAAUUGUUGAUUGCAUAGAGGGAGAAAAAACCAUUAUAUUGAUUGUACCUUUUUAUUUUUAUUUUUAAACUGCUCUUGUGAAAUCUUUGAUAAGGUAUACACAAAUCUGGAAGGAAAUAAAUUACAUCUCGUAAACACUGCGUGGGCAAUGCUCUCUCUCAUUGAAGCUGGCCAGGUAUGUAAAUUAGUAAAUAUAUUCUUUAACUAGUUUCGAAUUAUAAUUAAUCAAAUCUUAACAAUAAUGACAAUUUUUAUUUUAUUUUAUUUACAUAAAUGGAUUAGGCUCAUAGAGAUCCAAUCCCAUUACACCGCGCUGCAAAGGUGCUCAUUAAUUCACAAAUGGAAAAUGGAGAUUUCCCGCAACAGGUAAAUCUGCAUACUAUAAAGAUUUCCCGCAACAGGUAAUUAAGUUAAAAAAAAAAGGAGAGAGAGAGAGAUAGAUAAUCAUUUUGAAUAUAAUAAUUGUAAGACUUGAAAGAUAAAACUACUAUAAUAAUUUUUUUUAAUAAUUACCUUUAUAUCUAUUUUUUCUUUUAUAGGAAAUCAUGGGAGUAUUCAACAAGAAUUGUACGAUAAGUUAUUCUGCUUACAGAAACAUCUUUCCCGUAUGGGCUCUUGGUGAAUAUCUCAAUCUCGUUUUGCUACCUUCCAAGAAUUGUUGAAUGUACCAAAAUCAAUGCGAUAAUGAUCUUAUACAUGGUCAAUUAAUAAAUGAAAAAUAAAAGCCUGAAUAAUUAAAUUAAUGUAAUACUCAAUUAGCUAGUGUUCCAAUGACUUGCUCUAUCAUAAAGUGCUUUAUUGGGUAAUCAAAACAAUUAUAUAUGCAAUGUAAUUAUUUGGGUGUAUGUUAAGCUCUUUCUCACACAAACAUUACGGCAUAUCUAUCUAUCUAUAUAUAUAUAUAUUAAGUUGGGACUUGAGGAGGUGAUGUGGAAUCACCAUUUCUCAUCUUUGUAUAUUAUCUAUUAUUUAAUAAAUAGAUAAAUUUUCUUUUAGAUUUGGCUUUUCAUCUUCUCAUAAUUAAUUUGAUUGUUAUUACACAAUAACAAUUAUGUAAAGAUUUUAAUGAGGCAUAUUCUUUGUAAUGAACAUCCAAGGGGGAGUGUUAUGAAUUUAUUAAAAUAAAUAUAGAUGUUCGUAACAUAUAUCUCUUAGUCUCCCCACUAUCUUCCAUUAGCAACCUUUAGCUUCCCUAUAACUCUCACUAUCUCACAAGGAAUUAUGAUCCAUAAUUUUUCAUUAAUUUCAUGGAGUGAUUAUGUAACUAUAAAAAGGAGAGCUCAUCUUUUUGUUUUGUACACACACAAUUGGAAUGAAUAAAAUCACUCUAUAAUAUAUUCUCUCAUUUUAUUCUUUAUCUUGCGUUGCUUCUUUAUUUGUAUUGCUGGCUAAUAAUUUUUUUUUUUGUUUUUUAUAAGGCUGCCUCAUCUUAAAAAAAAAUCAAUUCAUAUUUUUUAUCAAUUUCAUCAAGUAUAAAGUAAGAAAAAAAGAUAAUACUAAAUUAUUUUUUCAAAGCCGCGUGAAGCGCGGUUCUAUUUUCUAGUUUAUUUAUAAAUAAGAAGAAGAUGGGCAUUAAUCUUCGCUGACAUAAGUGAUUAAGCCUUGAAUAAAAUAGCAAGCAAUAACUUUAAACUAAUUGCCACAAAAUAAUAACGAAUUUAAUCAUUAAAAGAAUAAUGGUAAUUUUAAUUACAAAGAAUUAAUUACGCUUAAGAGAAAUAAGGAGCUGGUUUCACCUCUCCUAAAAAUCUCAACAGACCCUAAAUCGCUACAUGGACAUGUAUUGAUGGCAACAAAGCCCAAGCUACAAUUAAUUUUAUGCUUUAAUUCAAUUUGAUGCAUCAAUCAGUUAUAAACAGGAGGAGCUCUUCCAUAUAAUGCUGGAACAGUAGCAGGGAAAAACAUUUGCCUCACUCCCUCCGCUUUGAUGAUAGGAAAAAGAAUUUCUGAUGCACCCUGCAGCAUAAAUAUGAUUUUUUUUUUCUUAUGAAUCAAAAAUAUUCCAGACGAUAUUUUAAUAAUCAGUUGUAAAGUAGUAGCCAGAUAAAAAGUCGCUUCUUCUCUUAAAUAUGAAUUGUGGCAAUAAAAUAUCAUUUUAUUUUUGUCAAUUAGUAUGUUGUAAAAUGCAAACGUCCCCAUCUGAUGAGAAUUUUGAUUAAGGAAAAUGCUUACCCAAAUUAGCUUAGCACCAAUCCACAGGCGUUUAGGCGAAGGAAAUGGUAAUAACAAACGACCAACACCAAAUAUUGCCAUUGCUAAGAAAUGGAAAAUUAAGCUUGAUGGGCGAGGGUUUAGGCCUGACAGUAGAGCCAUUGCUCCUGAUGUGUAAAUUCCUCCAAGCCCUAAAUAAUCAACACUUGCUUGCCGCAUUAUCUCUCUUGCCUCAUCAGAUGAUGAUGAAAACACUUGGUAAGCAGAAUUUGCCAGAGUGUUUAUUGUAGAUGCCACGGGCUGCAUGCAUGGAAAAAUAAUAUCAAUCACUGAUGCAGCGGAAGUUUAAUGUUCAAAAUAUUCCGUUGAUUCUAGAGAAUACCGGAACAAAAGAACAACUAAAUUCACGUUGAUUCAAAAGAAUACCGCGAAUUUAGGGAUUAAGACUCGUUGAUUCCGCAAAAUGCCGAGAAUUAACUGUUCAAAUACUCACAAAGAGAUUUGAAAAUUGAAAUAUUAUUAAACUCAAAAUUCUCUUCUUGUAAAAGCUACAAAAGACACUUAUUUAUACUAAAUAAGACUUAUCCUAAUAUGAUUAGAAAACCUAUUUUAAUAAGACUUAUGCCUAAAUUAGGAAUAUUACCCAAAUAAGCAAUACAUAAACAAUAAGACUCUAAAUAGGAAACCAAAUUAAACUAGAAUACAAAUUAAUUAAAAUAUUCCUAAAUAUUAUACAUUUAAAUAUAAUUAGGAUUUCUUCAAUUUCUUGCUCUGCAUCAUUCCCGCCAGGUUGGAGAAAAUUCGUCCUUGAAUUAUGUAUGUUGUAGUCUUCAAGAACAUCUUCAUGUGCAUAAAGAUUAAUUUUUAAAACAGAGCUUUGACAUAGACGACAAACUUUAAAUUUUCCAACUUUUGUAAUAACGUCCAUCCAAUCACUCCAAUGGCGUAAAACAAAUUCUUCUAUCAACAACUUCUCCAAUAAUGUCUUCUCGUAUUGUUCGUGUCGAACUUCAACAUAGUUGAGGAAAAACGAUUUCUUCUCAUAAUCCACUAACUGUUGAAAAAUAUCACAACUCUUUUUGUCUUCUUUCGGCAAAUCAAGAGAACAAUAAGAGAUUGUAUCAACAACUAUCUCUCUCUCCUCCACAAGAUCAAAAGAUGGAUGAACAAUUACCUCUUCUCGUCCCACAAUAUCAAGAUACUCAUCAAAUUUCGGCGAUUGAUCCAAAUCAAUGUCUUUGUGUUGAGGAUUUGUUGUAGACAUGAAUGGCCAAUUAAUAUUCUCCUCGGAAGGAAUAAUAUUGUCGAAAGGAACAAAGUUACCAUUUUCCUCAUUAUCUUCAUAACAAACAUCAUCGUGAACAACUUCAUCAAAUUCAUAUGCAUGCUUUAUGUGUAAAAAUUUUCUAUCUCGAAUUUUCUCUAAAUCUUGAGAAAUUGAACGCAAAAUCCUCAACAUCUUAACUAAAACAUCUCUCAAGAUGAAAUCUUCACGUCGAUGUUGUGAUUUCAUGAUAUAAUUUUUUUCUUUUUUUUUCUAUGCUUUUUUUGGUGUUGUUUGGGUUUUUUUUUUUUUUAAAACUAAAUGGAAAAAAACAAAAAAGGAAAAAAAGGAAAGGUUUGGUGGUAGAUGGAGUUAGAUUAGUGAUACAAGGUUUUGGCUCUGAUACCAAGCUGAUGCAGCGGAAGUUUAAUGUUCAAAAUAUUCCGUUGAUUCUAGAGAAUACUGGAACAAAAUAACAACUAAAUUCACGUUGAUUCAAAAGAAUACCGCGAAUUUAGGGAUUAAGACUCGUUGAUUACGCAAAAUACCGAGAAUUAACUGUUCAAAUACUCACAAAGAGAUUUGAAAAUUGAAAUAUUUUUAAACUCAAAAUUCUCUUCUUGUAAAAGCUACAAAAGACACUUAUUUAUACUAAAUAAGACUUAUCCUAAUAUGAUUAGAAAACCUAUUUUAAUAAGACUUAUGCCUAAAUUAGGAAUAUUACCCAAAUAAGCAAUACAUAAAUAAUAAGACUCUAAAUAGGAAACCAAAUUAAACUAGAAUACAAAUUAAUUAAAAUAUUCCUAAAUAUUAUACAUUUAAAUAUAAUUAGGAUUUCUUCAAUUUCUUGCUCUGCAUCAAUCACCGAUGCACACACUUAUAUUCGACAGACAGUGACUCAAUUUGACAGUUACCUUGCGUAAGGUGUAAAAGGAUUCGAGAUAUUGGUUAAGAGAAGCAGCAUCGUGAAAAUCCUGAAGAGGCUUUAUAAGAUUUCUAAGUACCACGACGUCAGAGAGAGCCACAGUCAUUCCCCCACCAGUUAAAGGAUGGCGCAUGUUGAAAGCAUCACCCAACAAAAGGGCUCCGGGGGUAGGUUUGGGAGCCGCCGGCAUGCUUCUGUUUGUCGCUGUUCUAAUGCUGCCUUUCUCAACUUUUGAAAUGAAUGCAUCGCGAAGCUCAUCAGGAAUCUGAAACGAACAACAGUGCUCAUCAUGUAACUAUGAUUAGCUUCACAAGGGAUUCCUAAUACUUUUUGUUAACUGUGUAAUUUAACAUUCAAUAAAAUAGCCAACCAUAAACGCAUGUGUGGCAGAAAAUUCAAGAAAGAUUAACACAUGCAGCUUAACUCAACACUGGAUACAAAUUCGAAAAAUGUACCUGCGGUGCCACUUUGGUCUUCAAGUAUUUGGCCAUUUCACCAUUGGCAAUUGAAGGUAAUUUCUGACCAGCUGGUACAUCAACCAAGCAUCUAACUUCUAAGCUACUAAUUGGAUAAAAUAAGAUGGGUGAGGGAUCUGCUAAAACUACGUGUCCGUGAUUUGGGACUGGAAGCUGACAGUUCUCCAAUGCCAUACCGACAAAACAUGAUGGUAUAUCAACCUGUUAAAACAAGUCAAGUUCGAUACUAUCGAUAUUUAUUAGGAUAAACAAAUUAAGGAGACUUAUUUGCAGCCAAUAAAAUAAAAUAAAAUAAAAUACGAAGGAAAAUUUCACCUUUGGAUUGCAAAGAGACCGACGCAGAUUGGAGAAGCCACCGUCAAAUACAAUUGUAAGAGGAGCGCAAGAUUUGUGUUCUUGAAAAAAGCGGAAAACUGAGAUUCAGGGGAAGCCUAUAAAAAGGUAGCCAACGAAGGUAAAAGGGUUAGCAUUUUUGAGAUUAGAAAAGAAAUUAAAAAAAAGAAGGGAAAACCAGGAAAAAGCCAUAAGAUCUGUGGCAAGCGUUCCCCGAACCUUCAUAUCUGACUUGAGCGUCGGAGGGUUUGCGCCGGGAAAACAACCGGCGUACUCUGACUUGUCUGUGUGCGCAGGAACCUCUGGAGAAGAAGCCUCACGAGGAGACCUCCUGGUCGUGAAGAAGUUGAUCGGGCAGAGACCCUGGUCGUAGAACGAGGAGAACCGGAAUCCCGCAUCAACAUUUUGGCGCCCUCUGUGGGGAAGAGAGCAAAAAGCUUCUGUUGAUAGCAAGAAGAGGGGUGAAGCAAGUGAAAAGCGAUGGAGACAGGAGGAAGUAGUGCACAAGGAGGUGAUAGGAGGCUUAACGAUUCCGUGACGCUGAGGGAGAUAGUCAGUGAAGCACGGGAAAAAGUCAUGUUCGACCGGAUGGAACGGAUGGAAAAGCAGAUGGAGACCUUGACAACCAUCCUGCAUGAGCUGCGGAGCGAGCGAAGGGUAACCCAAGAGGGAAGGGUGAGAGGCGGUGGAGUGGCACCAGGUCCCGACAGCGCGGGGAGAAGUCAAACCACCGGGAGAUUUGGUGGUGAGAGGGGUAACGUACCUCUGCGGGGAGAAUUUCAUAGAGAAAGAGAGCAGUCCCCGGCAAGACAGACUGGUGACGAGGACGACGGGGUGGUGAAUGCAGAGGAAACAGAGUUGAGGCAACACUUGCAUGAUGUAGAGCAAGAGCGGGAUCAAGUCGCAGCACGUGACCCUGGUCGUGCAGUGCAGCUGGAGGAGGAAGUGCGCAGACUAGCGCAGAUAAUUGACGACAUGCAAGGAAGGAACAGAACCCCUGGUUGGAGGAUAAUGCUGGACGGAGAAUCACCGCUCGCAGCGGAGAUCAUGAGGGCAGUUAUUCCGAGAGAUUUCCGCCUCCCAGACCUCAGAUACUCGGGAAGAACUGAUCCGCUGGUGCACAUAGAGCGCUUCAACGACAUAACUGGGGUACAAGGAUUAUCUCAAUCCCAAAGGUGCAGGGUGUUCCCACUCUCCCUUGAGGGACGUGCACGAGAAUGGUACAGGAAACUUCCUUGGGGCGGCAUUAAAACCUUCGAGCAGAUGUGCUAGGAAUUCGCGGAGCAGUUUAGUGGGGCAAUGGCACCGGAAGAUGACAUGAUGGAGCUGAAAAGCAUGAAACAGGGGGAGCAAGAAACCCUUCGGGAAUUCAUCAAGAGGUUUCAUCGGGCUGUCCUCGACUUGGGAGCCUUCAACCACCCUCAGGCGUUAAGGGGAUUGAAGGAAGGGGUGAAGAUAGGAAGGCUGUGGUACAAUUUGAGAAGCCCAGCUAUUCAAACGUAUGCAGCCGCAUACGAACAGGCUAAGAGAGACAUGGAGAUUGAAGAGGAGAAGGCUGCACGGAUUAAGACAGACCAGUUAGAAGGGCUGGGGAGGAAAGAGAAGAAAGCAUUACCGGGAAAUGGGCCGAUCAGGAGGAGGGACCACCAGGCCUCCGGUAGUGGAGCAGGAGGUCGGGUAACUGCUUACCAGCCUUAUCAGAGGCCACCACAGUAUCAGCGCAGCAGGGCGCAACCUCCUCGUUCCCCAGCUAGGGAGCCUUGGAGAAGGCAUGAGUCGGCAUCUGGUGGUCUUCCCCACGGUAGCAGAGCGAGCAGACCAGAAGUACUUCCACCGCCCCCAACUCAGAGCGGGGCAAACAGAGAAAGAGCAGUGCACCUGAUCGACCAGAACCCGGACUAUGGGCGGUACACUUCCUUGAAGAUGUCCCUGGAUGAAGUGUACGAGGCCAUAAAGGAUCGAGGGCUGCUGCACCUCCCUACACCAAUAACAAAGCUACCCAACAGGAGGGAUAGAGGACGUUAUUGUAAGUUCCAUGGCACUCAUGGCCAUACCACAGCAGAGUGUAGGGAUCUCAAGACCCAGGUCGAAGAUUUGGUGAGAAAUCGGUACCUGGACGAGUUUAUAGAUGGGACCUUCCCGAUGGUGGCCACAACAGGUAAAGGGGAACAGAGUGGUAGAAACUUGAGGCGCGAGUAGCCCGCAGUAAGGGUGAUAGCUGGGGGCCCAACGUUGGCCGGAGAUUCCAACAGAUCGAGAAAAAAUUAUGCUAGGUACGCCAUGACCAGUAAAGAGGUACUCUUCAACACCCCAACAGCCAAACGAGCAAGGGUCAGGCAAAUGCCAAUCAUGUGGACGGAUGAGGAUGAGAAAGGGAUUCUAUACCCCCACGAGGAUGCUUUAGUCAUCAAGGCUACUGUCGCUAGCAAGAAGUUUGACCGGAUACUGAUUGAUACAGGGAGCUCAGUUGAUGUGUUAUUUAAGUUAACCCUGGAAGAAAUGGGAAUAGCCGACCGGAAGUUGGAAUACACUAAUACCUCCUUGAAGGGGUUCGGAGGAGGGAAGCUGGUCCCUCUGGGCGUGGUCGAGCUGCCUAUCACAAUUGGGAGCUCCCCGACAGAAAGAACAAUGAUACUGGACUUUGUCGUAGUGGAUGAGGAAAGUCCUUACCAGAUGAUCCUAGGUCGGUCAUUUUUAAAGAUGAGCAAAGCGGUGUUGUCCAACCAUUAUCUGGCUCUGAAGUACAGGGUGAAUGGGGUAGUAGGAGUGGUACGAGGAGACCAGAGGAUCGCAAGAAGCUGCUACUCAUCGGCAGCAAGGGAAGCAAUGCAGAUAACAUCCCUCGAUACCCGAGUGGAAGACGAGAAGGCCAGACAAGAACCUGUAGAGGAUCUGGAAACAGUAAGCCUGAGACCAGAGAACCCGGGAAAGACGAUCAGAAUCGGGUCGAGACUUAAGGGAGAGCAAAAGCAGGAGUUGGUGAAAUGCUUACAGGCUCAUGCUGAUGUGUUUGCUUGGACACAUGAAGAUAUGCCAGGGAUUGACCCUGAGGUAGCAUGUCAUAAGCUGGCAAUAAAGAAAGGUGCUCGGGCAGUAAGGCAGAAGAGGAGGUGCUUCAACCAGGAGAGGUAUGAGGCUAUAAAUGGCGAGGUGGAGAAGCUCUUGAGAGCAGGGUUCAUUCGGGAAGUCCGUUACCCUGAGUGGAUAUCGAAUGUGGUGUUGGUAAAGAAGGCAAACGGCAAGUGGAGGAUGUGUGUGGAUUUCACAGACCUCAAUAAGGCGUGCCCGAAAGACAGCUUCCCUUUACCAAAGAUCGAUCAGCUGGUAGAUUCGACGGCUGGACAUGGUCUGCUUAGCUUCAUGGACGCGUUCUCGGGAUACAACCAGAUCCCCAUGUACGAGCAGGAUGAGGAGAGCACGGCUUUCAUCACUAACCAAGGUUUGUUCUGUUACAGGGUAAUGCCAUUCGGUCUCAAAAAUGCUGGGGCCACCUAUCAAAGGCUGGUGAACAAAGUCUUUAAGCCAUUGAUUGGGAAAACCAUGGAGGUGUACGUGGAUGACAUGAUCACCAAGUCCAAAAUCCCGAAGGAACAUGUCAGACACCUCGAGGAGACAUUCGAGCUUUUGAGGAAGUAUAAGAUGAAGCUCAACCCGGAGAAGUGUGCUUUUGGGGUCGAGUCAGGGAAAUUCCUUGGAUUCAUGGUGAGCCAUAAGGGGAUUGAAGCAAAUCCCGAGAAAAUCCAGGCGAUUGUGCAAAUGACGUCUCCUCGUCACCUGAAGGAGAUGCAGAGCCUCACGGGGAGGUUGGCGGCGUUGAGCAGAUUCAUAUCCAAGGCUACAGAUAAGUGUCAGCCAUUCUUUCAAGUGAUAAGGAGGGGAAAGAAAACAGAAUGGACCCCAGAAUGCGAGGAAGCCUUCCGGAACUUGAAGCAAUACUUGCAGCAAGCUCCGCUGCUGUCCACACCCAGGGAUGGGGACAAGUUGUAUCUGUAUUUGGCGGUAUCGGAUCGGGCAGCCAGUUCUGUUCUGGUGAGAGAGGAAGAAGGAGUUCAGUAUCCGAUAUACUACACCAGCAAGGCCCUGCUCGACGCUGAGACCAGAUACCCACCGUUGGAGAAAUGGGCACUUGCCCUUGUGGUUGCUGCUCGGAAGUUGAGGCCAUAUUUUCAAGCAUUCCCGGUCUCGGUAAUAACAAACCAGCCAUUGCGUCAAACUCUGCACAAGCCAGAUGCCUCUGGUCGGCUCGUCAAGUGGGCUAUAGAGCUGAGCGAGUUCGACAUAGACUAUAAAUCCCGCGCAGCGAUAAAAGCCCAGGCAAUGGCCGAUUUCGUAGCUGAAUUCACAGAGCCCGAAGUAUGCUUAGAUCAACAAGAUGCAGUUAUAGGCAAUGACGAAACUCAAGUAUGACAGAUAUCUGUGGAUGGGUCAUCAGGGGAGCGGGGUUCAGGAGCAGGGAUUGUGUUGGAAGGCCCAGAGGGGGAAGAGAUCUCUUAUGCUGUAAAGUUGGAAUUUGCAGCCACGAAUAACCAGGCAGAGUAUGAAGCCUUGAUAGCAGGUCUGGAAUUGGCUAAGGCCGUGAAAGCAGACAGAGUUAAGAUUAGAACUGAUUCCCAGCAGGUUGCGAAUCAUGUCAGUGAAAGAUUCCAACCAAGAGAGGAGAAGAUGGAGCAGUACCUGAAGAUAGUCAGGCAGAUGAUGGGGAAGUUCGAAGCAGUGGAGGUGAUACAAAUCCCCAGGGAGCAGAAUAGUCGAGCAGACAUUUUGGCUAGGAUGGCAGCAGUAGCCGACCCAAAAAUGCCAAAGUCGGUCCCCCUGGAGGUGAAGUCCAGCCCAAGUAUCGAUCAGAAUUUGGGGGUGUUGCGGAUAGAACAAAAAUGCUCGUGGAGGGACCUGAUAGUUUCAUACCUUAGAGACGGGGUAUUACCACCGGAUAAGCUGCGAGCUCGCAAGAUUAGAGCCCAGGCCUCGAGAUACACGAUGAUUGAUGGGGUACUGUAUCGGCGAGGAUAUACACUACCGUUCCUUCGGUGUUUGGAUGAGGACGACGCGGAUUACGUACUGAGAGAAGUACAUGAAGGAAUUUGCGGAAAUCAUUCUGGCAGGAGGUCCCUGGCCCACAAGGUUCUAAGGCAGGGAUAUUUCUGGCCGACAAUGCACCAGGAUGCGCAAGAGAAGACCAGAAGUUGUGUAAGCUGCCAGAGUUUUGCAAAUUUCUCUAACCAACCACCAGAGAAGCUCACCUCCAUGACUUCCCCCUGGCCAUUUGCUCAAUGGGGAAUUGAUCUGAUCGGCCCAUUGCCAAAGGCACGAGGAGCAGCAACACAUGCAAUUGUUGCUAUAGAUUACUUCACGAAGUGGAUAGAGGUAGAAGCCCUUAGCAGGAUCACAGAGAAGAAAACAACAGACUUCGUGUGGAGAAACCUGGUCUGUCGAUACGGGAUCCCUUAUGCCUUGGUAACGGAUAAUGGCAGGCAGUUCGAUAAUCACAGCUUCAGGGAGUUCUGCCAGAACCUCGGGAUAGAGCUGAAGUAUUGCUCGCCUGCUCACCCUCAAUCGAAUGGACAAGUAGAAGCAGCCAACAAGACCAUCAAGAGGCUUUUAAAAACCAGGCUUGAAGCAAAAAAGGGUGCGUGGGUUGACGAGCUGUCAGGUGUGCUAUGGGCAUACAGAACAACCCACAAAACCGCAACUGGGGAGACACCGUUCGCUUUGGCUUUCGGACAUGAAGCGGUCGUGCCGGCUGAGAUAGGAACGACCACACACCGGACAGGUCAUUUCAAUGAGCAGGAGAACGACGAGCAGAUAUGUUUGAAUCUUGAUCUGCUAACGGAAAGGAGGGAGCAAGCAGCCGAGCGAUCAGUAAUUUACCAACAGAGGGUUGCUCGGUAUUAUAACCAGAAGGUGAACAUACGGCAAUUCAGGGUCGGAGACUGGGUACUGAGAAGAGUGAAUCAGAGCACCAAAGAUUCGACUCAAGGAGUACUGGGACCGAAUUGGGAAGGGCCAUAUAGAGUCAAGCAGAUAGCGGGACCCGGAGCUUACAAGCUGGUUCGCACGGACGGCCACGAGGUGAAACGCCCAUGGAACGCAGCACACCUCCGAAAAUACUUCCAGUAAGACUUGUUCACAUUUGAAAGCUAUUUUUGCUCAUGUUCAUUAUCGUUUAUCUUUCACGCUUUAUGUCCAAACAAUUUCAUGUAAGUCGAAUCCUGCCAUUAAUGGAACGUCGAGGAAUUUCUUUCGCUGGAAACCGAGAAAAUUCCAGCCAAGCAUGCCGGGAUCUGCUCGGCCACGAGAAGGCGAGCAGAAUCCCAAUCCUCGAAGAAUCCAAGGCAUGCAAAGGCUCGACAAAGUCUCAAAGCCUGUCUUAUGGCGGGACAGAAGCCAGGCAUGCCAGGAUCUGCUCGACCGCGCGAAGGCGAGCCGAAUCCCAGGCAUUGAAGAAUCUUCAAAGGCAUGUGGCAAAACCAUGAGCCAAGCCGGAACCUGCUCGUCUAGACAAAGACAAGCAGAUUCUCAAACGAAAACUAAUCCAUAAUUACAACACAAGAAAGUAAUCAAAAAACAUUUUUAUUAAUUUGUUAAUAAUUAACAGAGGGGAUAAUCUUCAUGAACAUUGUUCAUUACAAUACAAGAAAUAUAUCAAGAAGAUGGUGGAUCAGUAAGCCCAGCAGUAUCGGUUGGCUGGACCUCCUCAGGUGCAGGAGGGGUAUCACCAGUUGCGUCCGGGGGGGUGCUCGCCUCGCCAACAUCAGCAGGGACUGCACGAGGAGGAGAGUUUUCCUCCUCAAUCACGAUCGGCUCUACCCCUUCGGCAUCUUCCUUGGCCGCCUCCUCGUCCAUAUGUUGAGCAACACCAGCUGCAAGGUCAUCCAUCUUCAGAUCAGGGUGUUGCUUCCCGAGGACGGCCAUGAUGCAACGAUAGGAAUACCGAAGUCCCUGGUCGUACUGGUUGUCGGCCUCCCUCUCCAAGUUCUCGACCUGAGCUCGGUGGGAGUCGCGGAGAGAUUCGAGCUGAGCCUCAUACAUAGCCUUCUGCCUUUACAGAUCCUCCUUGGCCUUGGUAAGCUCCUCCUCGAGGGACAUGGCUUUUGCUUGAGCAAGUGAUUCUUGCUCUAUCAGCUUCAGAUUCUCGAGAUUCAGCUCCCCUGCUUUCUUCUCGGUAACGUCAGCUCUGGUCGUCGCCGAUUGAAUAUCCUCCUUCAUCUUCCGGUCGUAGCGGCCAACCUUAGCCUUGUAAUAGGUGGUCAUGCAGCUGAGGUGGAAAGCGCUAUGCUGCAUGGCCCCCACCAGCUCACCCAAGGUGCGGCCGUCAAAGUCCUCCAAGUCCUUCUUGCUCACGAGUUUAGAUAACUCAUUGAGGUAGGGGACCAGGUGUUCUGCUCGGCUGUCAGGUAGGCGAGAUCGAGGCCCAACAGGAGGAGAAGAGGAAGCAGGAUCUGUGGCUGCUCCACUAGCUUCCCCGACCUUUGCAGGAGCAGGAGGUAAUAUCUUCAAGGGUGGGACCUGCUGCACGAUGUUGGCCCGCUUUGCAGCAGGGGCAUCCUUACUCUGGUCCCUCUUCGUGGUUGGAGGUCGAGAACGUUUUCGGGUCAGAGCCCCAAUCACAGCGUCCUCCAUCCUAUGGCCAGGAAGUAUCAAGCGAGACUCGAGCAAGUUGUAUGUAGUUAACAGUUCUCGGCUCGAGCAGGAAUUGGCUAGUACAGCCUCGACCCGUUUGAGCUGGUCAGGUUCAAGCGGGAAGUGGACACCCCAAGAAACUACAACACAAACAGACACUCGGUUAGAGACAAGCCAAUAAAGCAAGAACAAUUAUGGAUGCAAGACAUCUAGAGCGAGCAGGCAACCUGGGACCGUGAAACGGGGUGGGACGCGACAAUCCUUCCCGCCUAUUUGUGCAACUUGACCCCAAGGACCCCCAGCAAAAAAGAAUUUCCUCUUCCAAGCCCCACCACCACCGGUUGGAAGAUCGGUUAUGGGUUUCCGGCUCUUGGUGCUAGAUUGGAAGUAGUACCAGCCGGCAUCUUUGGGGCUGCUCUUUAGCUGGUACAAGUGCUUCACCUCAUCAACCGUGGGCUCGCUUUGGCAACAUCUGUCCCACAAUAUGAACAGACCAGAGAGCACUCUCCACCCAUUGGGAUUCAGCUGACCAGGAGCUAGAUUUAGCCCGUUAAGUAUCCGGGCAAAGUAGGGUUGUAAGGGACACCUCAGCCCGUACUUAAAGCUCUCUAGAAACAGGGUAACGUAUCCCCUAGGAGGCCGGCUGGGAGCAUCCUUCUUUCCUGGGACCUUGAGAGGUAUCUCACCAGGAAUGCUAUACCUAAGCCGGAGGUCAUUGAGCUCGUCAAACAAGGUCGUGCACGUCAUGUAAUCAAUGGCAUAAUCGCGCGACAAGGCUCUGCCUCCUACUGUGCCCCGUUCUUCUGGUCGUGAUGUUCCAGAUGGAGACACCUCACCAGAGUCACCUUCCCCAUUCUCACUUAAGGUAUCCUCAGAGCCAGAAGGUCCCUCCUCACCAUUGCUUCCGCUCGUGGAGGUUGUUUGGGGGGACAUCCUCCUAGCACUAGUCCCGACACUAAACCUAAUGGGUUCUAAGGGGAUCCCGGGGUCAAAAGCAGGAUCAGUGAGCAGACCAGGCAGGAAACUUAGUUCGUCGUCAUCAAUCUCAACGACUUUCUCCUUACCUUUCGACAUUCCCUAAGCUCUAACCACAACACCACCAACUACUACCCAAACAGAAGAGAAGAGAAAUUAUCUACAACUAUCCGAGACCAAGGAGAUAGAAGAAAUACCUGAAGUAAUGGUUCAGUCGGUGAAAGUCAGAGAUGGAGGCCUUUUAUGCCGGAACUUCUUUGCCGGAGAGACAGAGACGGAGACGGAGUGAAUGAUGAAUAUGCCGUUCGAGAGGAUUUGGUUCUCUUAAUGAAGACAGACUCUUGGGUUGCCAGCAUUUAACAGCACCGAAUCCCGAGGGUCUCAUAACCGUCGGUUUGAAAUUCAAAUGGAGGGGGGGAUUUCUGCCACGUCACCUCAUCCGCAAUUAAAUGCGACAUGACUCUUAGCAGCCUUUUCCAAUCCCACGCGGGCGAGUACUAACGAGUACUAACGAGUUUCUACUGCUGGUCCACUACAUUACCCAACACCAGAAACUGGGGGACCGGUGUUUGGGAGAAAUACGUCAACGAGACCAGGCAUGGUGAGCAGACAUCUGAUGGCAAAGUUCUGCGAACCGGUGUGCUCCGUAAAAGCCUGGUGCGCGGGGGAACAGGAGCAGAAGUAUCCUGCUCGUCCACGAGCACGUCAUCCGCGAGGCCAAUUCCCUGUAAGAGGCAUAAGGCCAUUCCGGCUAGAGGUCGAGAGGCGAGGAGACCCGGUCGACGGCAGUUGGCAAGACAUGCUCCCCAGCCCGAGAAUCUAGGCACGACAGCCACGUUUUCCCUAGAACCGUGGCGUAACACACAAGAUCUCACAGAACCACGACAGCCACGCUUUCCCCAGAACCGUGGCGUAACACGCAAGAUCUCACAUAACCACGACAGCCACACUUUCCCCAGAACCGUGGCGUAACACGCAAGAUCCCACGUUUGCCCAUAACGUAGCAGUCAGAGUCCCAUACCGUCUCGAAAAAAGCGGAAAACUGGGAUUCAGGGGAAGCCUAUAAAAAGGUAGUCAACGAAGGUAAAAGGGUUAGCAUUUUUGAGAUUAGAAAAGAAAUUAAAAAAAAGAAGGGAAAACCAGGAAAAAGCCAUAAGAUCUGUGGCAAGCGUUCCCCGAACCUUCAUAUCUGACUUGAGCGUCGGAGGGUUUGCGCCGGGAAAACAACCGGCGUACUCUGACUUGUCUGUGUGCGCAGGAACCUCUGGAGAAGAAGCCUCACGAGGAGACCUCCUGGUCGUGAAGAAGUUGAUCGGGCAGAGACCCUGGUCGUAGAACGAGGAGAAUCAGAAUCCCGCAUCAACAUUCUUCAUCUUGUUAGGGCGCAAAAUUAUGAGAAGAAGCAAGCCAAUAAGAGAAGUAGCAAAGGAAGUGCCAAUGAACUGAUCAAUCAUCAACACCAUUCUUUUUUCGGUUAUGAAUUCAGACAAAUGUCUGCGAACAAUGAAUGCAAUAUCUUGAUUGUCUUUCUUGAUUUGUUGGUAAGCUUUUGAUUCGAUGAGUGAUUGUGAGCAGAGGCCAUAGAGGCUUUAUAAAUAGAAAGAUCACAUGCGGGGCGGUGGUGUUUUUGGUAAAGAGAACUUCAAUGCCAAAUUGUAACUUCUGCAAUAUCAACUGCUUUUUGAGUCAGCAGCCAGCUACGACGACUGGGCCUUCAGUGACUCUAAACUCAUCAUGUUUCCUAUUACUCAUUUUUUUAUUAUCACUAAAAUGGAAUCUUGCUAAGUCAAUUAAUACAAAAUUUUACAUCAAUUUAAGAAGGGAAAUUAUCAUUACACCACUUUUAUUUUGCUUUAUAUUCAUCCAACCACUACAAAAUUUUAAUAUGUAUUUUGCACCACUUUUUUUUUUUUUUCACAUUUGUAUCAACUAACCACUUUUGCAUUAACACUAUUAAAUAAUUUUAAUAAAAUGAUAAUUUUACCCACAAAUAAAUUAAAAGACCAUUUUAUUUUAUAAAAACUUUAAAAAUAAUAAAAUAUAAUGAUAAAAAUAUCCCUAAAUUUAAUAAAAAUAAAUCCCAAAAUUAGAAUUUUUAUUUUUAAUAAAAAUUAUUUUAAUAUAAAAUUAUAAUUAUAAAAAUAAUUGCAAAAUUUUGGGAUUUAAUAAAAAUUCCCUAAAUUAUUAAAAUUUUAGGAUUUAUUCUUUUAAGAAAUAAAUUCAGUUAUUUUCAUAAAAUUUUACAAAAUUAUAAUUUUUAAUAAAUAAAUUCAUUUAUUUAUAUGAAAAUUUUGUAAAAUUAUAAUUUUUAAUAAAAAUAAUUAUUAAAAUUUUGUAAAAUCUAAAUUUAGUAAAAAUCAGUUGAGCACCUCUAUUUGGGAUUUAUUUUUUUAUUAAAUUUAAGGAUAUUUUUUAUGAUUAUAAUUUUUAAUUUUAAAAGUUUUUAUAAGAUAAAAUAGUCUUUUAAUUUAUUUGGGGGUAAAAUUGUUAUUUUAUUAAAAUUAUUUAAUAGUGUUAAUGCAAAAGUGGCUAGUUGAUACAAAUGUGAAAAAAAGGUGGUGCAAAGUACAUGUUAAAAUUUUGUAGUGGUUGGAUGAACAUAAGGUAAAAUAAAUGUGGUGCAAUGAUAAUUUCCCAUUUAAGAAUCGUAAAAAAAUUAAUUGUGAAAAAUAUAGAAAUUCAAGCCCAUUUUAAAUUUAUGACCACACUAUAUUUUUUUCACAUAAAAUAAACUAAUAAGAAAACCGGCUUGUACACUUAAAAAUUAUUAAAAGAUAAAUUUUGCUAUAAUCCUUAGCGUUUGGGUCAAUUAUUCUAUUAGUCCUUAUAUUUUCAUUUCAAAAUAUCAAGAUUGUUCUUUCUAUCACUGUUUGAUCUAAUUUUUUAAGAACAAAUUUAAUAUGCUACAGGUGAAAAGUAGAAAAUAAUUAAGUAUAUUUUAAAUAUUAAAAAUAGAUACACAAGAAAACAUUUUAGGAAGCUUAUAAAAUACAAGAAUUACCAAACCCUUAAGGAAUAAAGCAAAACUUUCCUUUAUUAAAAUUAAUAAAAGUUGAUAUAUGGAAUAUUGAGAACGAGUAUCGUAUUGUACAUAUAUUUGUACCCUUUAUUCUCCUUGUUGCUUGACGACAAAGGACCACGGCCAUGACAAAAUAAGUUAUAAUUACCGUCGAGUUCAAGUCUUUAUGAUUGUGAAAAUACCACCAAAACAGCGAACUAUUUGCGAAUCUAUGUAUUUAUGAAUAAAAGGAUUUUUCUAUCUGGAAAUGCACUUACUUGGAGGCUGAAACUAAGGGAGUUACCAGAUAAGAUAUGUUGAGUGUUAUGCACAGAUUAGUGGGUACGCUGGCCAAGAUUGCGCUUGAUUUUGUAGCAGCUAUAUGGUGAUUUACGGGGCAUGCAAGGAACAAACUCGUCUUUGAGGGAAGAAACCAAACCCCAUGUUUUCAUCUACUAAGGGUAAAGCAGUCAUAAAUGUUAGAACUAAAAUUUUUUUUUUUUUGAUAAACUAACAUUCAUGUUGUACCAACAAGAAUUAAUAAUAAAUUAUGCAGAAACAUAUAUGAAUCCAUAACGCUAAAUUGCUCUUUAAGAUUGUGUGGCUGGCCUUCCAUAUCAACACGUUCUCCUGGAGAAUCCUUUGAUAUCAUAUGCGCUCUCUCUCUGAUGAUGGUAUGUCAAUAGAGAAUAGAAUGCUACACGUGACCUAAGGACCAUAACCACUUAUAUAUACAACUUUUUUCUGUUGUCAUUAGGUAUUCCUAAUUCUACCCAUCAUAGAAUUAGAAUACAAUUAGGUCUCUACACAUUAAAGGCCCACACCAUGUUAGAUACAUUAAAGGCCGUAAUACCAAACACCUUAAUAGAUCACUUUUAACUGGACUUAAUCUUAUAUGAUAGUUUGCAAUACAUAAUUAUUCACAUAUAAGCCCGACGUUGGAUUAAGGAUCUAACAAUGCUGAAUUAAAAAUCCAACAAUGGAUGCUUAUCAAAAAGUGAAGGUGAAGGAACAAAAUUGCAAAAAAAGCAAAGAAGAUAGAAAACUACGGGAAUAGAGUCCACCACCUACCAAUUGCUUAAAAGUCAAUGUUGAUGCUGUUGUCCAUCAAGAUAAGCAAGUUGCAUGCAUGUUUAGGGGAACUCACUGGGCCAAGUGUAGCUGCAGCAGUGAAAACAUAAAGUUUCAAGGGAAUAUUUCUCUUGUACAAACUCAAGCUGUCAAAUAGGGGAUGGAGGUGGCAAAAGAGGCAAGCUUCACAAAUGUGAUUUUUGAAACAGAUUGCAGUGAAGUGGCUGACUUAACCAACAACAAAACCAGCAACAAAAUAGAAAUUUGGUGGACUACAUCAUAGAUUCAAAGAAGUAAACACGAUUUUUAAUCGGCAAUAGUCCAACAUGUACCAAAGCAUUGUAAUAUUCUUGCUCACUCUCUCGCUAAAAGAGCUUUUAGAAGCCCGAAAUCUGUCAUAUGGCUGGAUGGAUUCCCAGCUAAUAUAUUGUAUUUGUUUUUUUUUUGUAAUCUCAAAUGAAUGAAAGGGUUACUUUAAUUUCUUCUAAAAAAUAAAAAAAGAUUUUUCUAAGUUACAUGUAUUUAAACUUACAUUCAAAUUUUUUUAGUUUAAAAAUGAGUAAUAAAAUAGUGGAGUCUGAUGGGGCCUAUGAGUGAAUUUUACUUAGCUAUAAGUUACAAUAAACAUAACUUAAAGUGACUCUGAAUAAAAUCGAUAUUGUUUUUUUUUUGUAAUCUCAAAUGAAUGAAAGGGUUACUUUAAUUUCUUCUAAAAAAUAAAAAAGAUUUUUCUAAGUUACAUGUAUUUAAACUUACAUUCAAAUUUUUUUAGUUUAAAAAUGAGUAAUAAAAUAGUGGAGUCUGAUGGGGCCUAUGAGUGAAUUUUACUUAGCUAUAAGUUACGAUAAACAUACUCCUUGGAUUGUCAAUAUUUACAUUUUAAGUAAUUCACACUACUUUUGUGUCAACUUUAAAUUCUAUUUAAUAUAGUAACUUUGCAGUAGCCAUUCACCGCUAAAAAAAAGUAUUAUUUUAUGGAAAAUGUUUGGUGUAAAGAAAGAUGAGAGAAAGAUUGGAGAAAUAAAGAAGAAAAUGGAAGAGAGAGUGGGUGAGUAGAGAGAAAGAAGACAAAUUUCUCUCAUAUUUCUCUACACCUAGCACUACUCUUAUUUUAUUGUUAUAAUUGCAGAAAUGUAGCUAGUCUAUAUAUAAUAGAGCAAGCUAUUUGUGAGUCUAUGUAAGUUUAAAUAAAAUUGAUACCAUUCAACUCUCAGGAUUUUCACUAUUAAUGUUUUUAAACCGUUCAUAUACUGAGACUCUGUUUUGGUUCAAGUCUUAAUAAGCGAAAAAAAAUAAUUCUCGAGAUUCAUUAAAAAAUAAAAAAUAAAUAAAAUUGAUCUCUAAUAUAACUACAAGUUUUAGAUUGAUCAAUUGAUGAUGAUUCACUUUUUUGUAGUCAUAUUAUCCAACCUAAAUAUCCUCUAAAAUAAAAUAUAGAAAGGAGGAUGAGAAAAUUUGGUCCCAUCUACUUUGGGGAAUGAUCACUUUCCAUAUUUACAAAAUGAUCAAGAUUUUUGCCAUAUUUUUGUACAUAAUAGUUAUAAUUCUUGACAUACAUGUGCAUGUGCAUGCUAUAUCUUCUUGAUUCUUAUCAUACAAGCACCACCUAAGGGUCUUGAUGGUUAUAAUAUAUAUCACAUAAUAAAAUUGAUUCCUGUCAUAUAUAUUUACAUCCCAUGUCAAAAUGCCAUGAUUAAAAAGGAUCUUCAUGUGAUUCCUAGAAAUGAUCAUUUAAAUUUAAGCAAGUUGUUUUACAAAUUCAUGAGACUUCAACAUAAGGAUACGCUGGAAACAAUUAAUGAAGUUCUUCAUUAUAUGCAUGAUGUGCAUCCGGUCGAUUUAGAUUGUCACAAAUUAAAAAAUAACGACAACGAUUAUAAUUUUUUUUUUUUGAAUUAAUCGAAUACAAAAAAGUAAUUUUACAAAUUAAAGAAUCACGCUUGAGAUAAUUAAAGAGCACCCCUCGUAAAAAUCUCAAGUAACACACCCUCAAUCACUUUAUGGACACGUAAUUGAUAGCAACAAAACACGAUUAAGAGACAUUAAUGUCAAUAAACAGGAGGAGCUCUAUACAACGCCGGAACAGUGGCAGGGAAAAACAUUUGCCUCACUCCCUCCGCUUUGAUGAUGGGAAAAAGAAUUUCUGAAGCACCCUGUAAGAAUAUGAAAAAGAAUUACUUCUCUCCUACAAAUAUUUGGACUUUACAAAAUACAAAUUGUGGUUAUAUAGUAUCACUUUAUGUUUACUCCAAUUAAUAUUUUGUAAAAUACAGGUAUCCGCGCCAGAUGAGAAUUUUGAUGAUAGAAAAUACACGUACCCAAAUUAGCUUAGCACCAAUCCACAAGCGUUUAGGCGACGGAAAUGGUAGUAACAAACGGCCAACACCAAAUACUGCCAUUGCUAAGAAAUGGAAAAUUAAGCUUGAUGGGCGAGGGUUUAGGCCUGAGAGUAGAGCCAUUGCCCCCGAUGUGUAAAUUCCUCCAAGCCCUAAAUAAUCAACACUUGCUUGCCGCAUUAUCUCUCUUGCUUCGUCAGAUGAUGCUGAAAACACUUGAUAAACAGAAUUUGCCAGAGUGUUUAUUGUAGAUGCCACCGGCUGCAUGCAUGAAAGAAAACAAUUUUAUUUUGCAAACGACAAGAAGUGAAAUAUAAUUGCCGUGAAGUUGUUCAUCAUUGUGGUUAUGAUAUAUAAUUGCUGUGAAGUGAUAUAUAAUUUUGGUUCCUUUAAAAUUCAAGCACUAAAAUUUAAUCCAGUCUGCACCUGCUUAUUUUGUUCACCCAAAGCUUCAAACACUGGCCUCACCAAUGCUACAAAUACCCCAUCAUCACUCUCAUCCCCAUGAUUACUCAAUUUCGAAGCCAAAACUCCCAUUGUUUCCACACAAGCACCCCUCACAACAGAAUCCGAAUCCUUGAGUCGCUUAACAAUGCUAGCAACCAUUUUAUUGACAUGCGGCCCAAUAAGAGCUUGAUGAAACUUAGCUAAUGUACCCAUCAACCUAACACAUUCCUUUCGAACUGCACUCUUCUGUUCUGAAUCGGUGUCCAAAAUACACGAAACAAAUGGAGCAAUCUUCUCUGAGGUUAAACAUUCAGCCAAUUUGUCAAGCUCCUCGACCCCUAUUUGAUAAGUAUCUCUAUCAGCUAGCUUGUUUAGUGCAAGAAUCACUUUAUGCUUAAGCUCAAAUGAGACUUGUUGUACAUUAACCCUAGAAGCUCCCCUUCCUUUCAUCUGUGAAUUUGCCUUCAUCUUGCUAAAUCACCAAAUCGUUCCUAAAAUGAGUAAUUUUUUUCUCUUAUGAAACCAUCGGUGCUACAAGAAUGCAAAUGAAUAAGGAAUUUUUCAUAAUAAUAAGUAAAUAAAUAAUAAAAUAACACCGUAAAUGACAACAUUUUCUAUUUUCAUAAUUUCUUCAAAAUUUACUCUACAGCCUACACUGUCGAGAAUUGAGCAUAAAGUAAAUUUAACAAAAGAAUUAAGGAAUCGACGAACUUACAGAGAUAGCGCGAGCUUAAACCACAAAGACUGAGACCAGCAUUACCAUGGAUAAAAAUUCUUGAGAACUGAAAAAAUUAAAUUAAAAUGAUAAUAGAGAGAUUGAAACAUUGAAAUACUCAAAAUUAAAAUAAUAAAAUAAUUGAAAGGCGACAAUCUCAGAGAACUUGAUGCAGAUAUCGAGAACUCCUCACCUCUCUUCGCUGUGAAUCCUUAAGAGAGAGAGUGCGUGAGAUUUUGUUUUUUCUGUUUUGGCUUUGAAUUUUGCGCGCUUACUCUGUAUUUCGAAUUUCAGGAAGCCUAUGAGCGUGGGUCCAGUUAGUUCCGUUUUAUGAGCCUCGUUGCUAUUUGAUUGGUGACACGUGGAUUUGUCAGACAUAUGCCUGUCCAUUUUUUCGCUUUUUCAGAUGCCAAGUUCAAAACUUAUUUAUUUACUUUCUUCCUUUUUCAAAAUUUGAAAUAUUUAACUCCAUGACGGUUUGUCGCAACAAAAAUAUCAAAUAAAAUAGAAAAAAAUACGGCAAAAUUGAUUUUUUUUUUUAAAAAUGAUGUUCAAAGUUCAAACUGAACCUGAACCGGAUUGGACCGAAUCACGGGUUCAUUAUGGUUCAGCUUUACACUGAAUUGAUCGGGUUUGAUUUUUUAAAAAUAUCGAACAGAACCAGAAUUUCCUAAGUGCACGUUUGGUGGCAGUGUGUGAGAGAGGAUGUUAAAAUGUGAAUAUGGUGUCCGUUUGAUAUGUUGUUGUGGCCUUGGAAUCAAUGCAGUAUGUAAUGCCAAAAAAAAAUAAAUAAUUGAUCACGUUUGAAAGAGAAAUACGGUGACAAUUAGCUUUGGGAGGGCCGGUUAUGUUUUUUUUUUUAAUACUGAUUAGACAUUAGAUUAUUGUAUUACACGGAUAUUUAUAACAACUGCUAUUAUAGCAGAUAUAUUACACUAAUAUUUAGAUAUUUAUAACAACUGCUAUUAUAUCAGAUAUAUUACACUGAUAUUUACAAUCAGAUAUACAUGAUUGGGACUUACAUUAUUACAUUAAAUUCUGUAAAGUACAUGCCCAGACAAAUAACCCCUCACAGAGGAGGGAUGUCCAUACUCCACUCGCAUUUUGCAAGGGAGAAUGAUUUUUAAAUAUUAAGAAUAUUUAACCCCCACAAUGCUUUUGUGGGGGCUUGAACCGCUGCCCUCACGCUUGUGAGGGCAGCAGCCCACCACUUCGACCAAGGCCGAAGUGGCGGGCCGGUUAUGUUAAUUUGUUAGAAUUAGGGAAGUUGAGAUUAGUAGGAAGAAGUGAUCGUUUAAUUUCAUUCCAAUAAGCACUAUAUUAAAGGAACGAGUGAGAGGAAUUAAUUUGUUAGAAAAGAAAGUGAAUAAGGAUUUGCCAUUUACCUUUGAACAAACUGUGCAAGUAGAUAUUUGUUUGUUUUUUGUAAAGGUUAAAUGUGACAAUAUUGGUUACUUAUGGAUGAGUUCUUACUUCCGGGGCAUGUUCUCAUAUGGUUGGAUUUUUGUAUUCUUUACUGUUGACCAAUUACGUACGGACGGAAUUGGGGUUAUAUGAAUUGUUAACUCAGUUCUGUUAAUGGCCUGCACUUGGUUGAUGAAAAAUGAUUUCCUUACUUUAAUUCGUAAACUUGCAUCUUUUCCCCCUAAGAAUUUCCGAUCGUCUUCUUUCAAUUUCACAUUCAGAUUAAAUCUCAACCGCGAAACGUUACUUUGUAACACUUUUCAUGUUAUUUUUUUCAACAUGAUCAUUUUUCAUGUUGUAAAACACUUUGUAACACCGAUCUUUAUAUCACAGCCAACUUAAGGUGUUUGUUUAAUCAUUAUAGCCCGUUCGAAGUUAAAAUCUUGAUUCUGCCACUGAUUAGGAAUAACCAAAGACUUUUUCUAUUAAAAGAGGUCAUGAGAAUAGAAAUUCAGGUGAGACAAUCCGCCUACGUAACUUACGGCUUAGCCCUAAAAUAUUUUCCAUCCCCCUAUACUUUAUGUUAUUUAUAAUUUAUUCAUAAAUAUUAUAAAACUUUCUGAAUUGUAAAAUUACGUUUAACUCCUUACACUCAAUUUUAUUUUAUUGAAAUCUUGAAGUAUGAAUUCGCCUCCUAUAAUUUUAAAUUUCUAAAAUAACCUCCAUUUAAUUAAAAAAUAUAAUAAUUAUUAAAUGAAUUAUAAUUAUAAUUAUUUUAUUAUAAUCAUAAAUAUAAUUAUAUUUUUUUAAAUAGAUGAUUAUAUAUUUUUAAAAAUAUAAUCAUCUAUUUAAAAAUUGAUGAUUUGACAUAUUCACAUUAUGCGAUUAAUUUGUUUAAAGUUCUCCAAUAGUGCACCACUUUCUCCGAUGACUUCCAUUAAUUGCAAUUAAUUUUCUCUUGAUCACAAAAUUUUUCGUACUUUUUUUGCUUGGAUGUUCUAUUAAUGGUGCCAUGCCAAAAUGUUUAGACAACACCAAAAGUGGCAAUGGAAAUUGGUGUGAGCUUCAUUCACAAAAAUGUUGGUACUGUUGCAUAUCAAUUAAAAAGCAAGUCAUUGGAGGAGUUACUAUAAAUACACCCAUUGAAACUCUUAGCAUCAUGGGGCUUUUUUUGUAACCGUUAAUUGGCUUCAUAAAUUCUAUUACAUAAAAGAAAUAGUAGGGACUUGUGACUCUAAUUGCUCCCUCAAAGUCGUUUCCUUAUGAUUUACAAUUCACAAAAAGAAUGUAAUAAAUAAAUAAAUGUUUAACUCUCAUAUACAUAUAAAUAUGUGAAUACGUCAAAUUGUUUAAAGUUCUCCAUCAAUCUUCUCUUUAUAUUGUUAAAAAAAUAUAAUCAUCUAUUUAAAAAAUAUAAUUAUAUUUAUGAUUAUCAUAAAAUAAUAAUUAUAAUUAUAAUUCAUUUAAUUAUUAUUAUAUUUUUUAAUUAAAUGGAGGCUAUUUUGGAAAUUUAAAAUUAUAGGGGGGCAAAUUCGUACUUUAGGGUUUCAAUAAAAUAAAAUUGAAUGUAAGGGGUUACACAAAAUUUUACAAUUCAAAAAAUUUUACAAUAUUCAUGAAAAAUUAUAAAUAACAUAGAGUAUAGGAGGCUGAACAAAAUCUUACAGCCAAGCCGUAAGAAUGAUACGACUUGGCCCAUUGUCGUGAAUCAGAUCGAGCUCUAGGAGACAGCAAGGGAAGAAACCCAGCCUACAGAAAUGGAAGAAGCCCAACCCUUGAAUGAGCGAGAAAGAAACCAGGAUGGCUCAAAGACUUUGUUAUUUAAAGAAAGUUCGAGAAUGCUUGUGUUAUCAGAAUAACGAAUAUUGUCCUGUUUCAAUUAUUGUUUUGCUGUUAUUAUCUAUUUUAUUAUAUUUAGUUAGUUAAGGGUGCGUGACUGUUUCGGCAGGAAGAAUAUAUUUGUACUGUCAAGGGACCCGUGAGGUCAUUCAAGAAAGAUAACAUUUUGUCUUUUUCUCAGCUUCGUCUUCUUUCUUUUCUCUGCAACUCCCCUAUCCCAUUUUCCUUUCUUUCUUCCAAUUCUCUUCCCCACCGAUUGGAGCCUGCACUCGCUCAAAGAGUGUCGUAUCAACUGGUGCUUUCAUUGCAUUUCAUCUCUUUACACCAAAAAAAAAAAACAAAAAAUAAAUGACUAUCACAGAGCCAACGACUGAUUCAGCGAUUCUCUCUACCAUGAAGACGCUCAUUGAAAAUCAAACGCUUGUUGUUCAUCAGACCUUACAACAAUAUAUGUCCACAGUUGAUUCUAGAUUUGAGGAGUUACGUUCCCAAAUCAAUGGUUCCGUCAGAGCUUCAGUGGGUUCUUCCCAUCCAACGGUGCCGGAACCGACAUCUUCGCCUGUAUUGUCAGGUGUUACUAAUAUCUCUCCUCUGUUGCGUUCUAUGAAAAUGGAUGUCCCCAAAUUUGAUGGCACUGAUCCGAAUGGUUGGGAUUUUCGCAUCAACGAGUUCUUCGAUUUUCAUGGCACCCCUGACCAUUUACGCCUCCGUAUUGUAUCUUUUCACAUGGAGGGGAAAGCAGCAGCAUGGUAUCAAUGGAUGAAGGCCAACAACUUACUAAGCACUUGGCAGAAUUUUUUACUCAAUCUUAAGCAAAGAUUUGGUACAUCUAUGUAUGAAGAUCAUCAAGGUAACCUCUCCAAACUUACCCAAACAUCGACUGUUGCUGAUUUUCAAUCCGCCUUUGAGGAUUUGAUGAACAAGGUCACGGGCAUCUCCGAACCACUGCUGGUUAAUUUCUUUAUCACGGGCUUGAAACCCGAUAUCCGGCGAGAACUAUUAUUUGCAAGACCCACAUAUCUCAUGGAGGCUUUUGCUUUAGCCAAAGCUUAUGAGGCACGAUUAGAAGAAAUCAAGACCUCCAACCGAUCUUGGACAAAAUGGACACCUUCAUCUACUCACACUCACCAAUCCACCAUUACUGCUUCACCAAAUCCUGCACAUAAAACCCCAACAACAAGUCCUCUUCCUAGUUUGUCAGCCACUAAACAACCACCUCAACCCCCAUUAUUGCCUACUCCUACCCUGCCCAUUCGUAGAUUAACUCCAGCAGAGUUAAGAGAGAAAAGAGAAAAAGGGCUAUGUUACAAUUGCGACCAAAAAUAUCAUGCCACACAUCGCUGUCGUAGCAAGUUUCUGUUACUAAUGGGUAUUGAUGAUGAAGAUGAUGAGCUGAGUGAUGACACUUUUAUUCAUGAACAACCAGAAGAAGUAGUCACAGCUGACAUAUCCAGUUUGAAUGCCUUGACUAGACAAUCUAAUCCACAAUCUUUAAGGGUGCUGGGCAUCGUUGCCAGCUAUCAGUUUCAGGUGUUAAUCGAUAGUGGCAGUACUCAUAAUUUUCUUAAGCCGCCAUUGGCUGAACGACUUGGCCUUUCCGUUCAAGCUAUAACUCCUUUUCGAGUUUACAUUGGCAAUGGUGAUUUUCUCACUUGUCGUUUUCUCUGCCCUAAGGUGCUUAUCAAUAUGCAGGGGCAUGAAUUUCUUUUGGACUUCUUCCUUUUGCCAAUCGAAGGCCCAGAUGCUGUCCUUGGGAUUCAAUGGUUACAAAGCUUGGGAAGAAUUUCUAUAGAUUACUCUGAGAUGACGAUGAAGUUUAAGUGGGAGGGAUAAUCUGUCAUUUUACGUGGAGACCCAAUUCCAAACCCAAAUCUGAUCUCUUUUAAUCAGUUUCAGGCCUUGCUAUCCAAUUCUAAAAUCGACAGCUUAUUUGAACUUCAUUCUCUACCAACUGAACCAACAACAACUCACACAUCUACCAACACAUUACCAGAUAAUGACUUAGCAUUUCCAGAGUCAUUGCCUGAAUCUAUUACUACUCUCCUUAAAAAAUUUAAAGCAUUAUUUGCUUCACCCACUAGUCUUCCCCCUCAACGGUUAUUUGAUCACAAAAUACAUCUUAUAUUCUUAUUCCCAAUUCCAAACCAGUCAACGUUUGGCCGUAUCGGUAUCCUUAUUUUCAGAAAACCGAAAUGGAGAAAUUGGUGAGAGAAAUGUUAACCCAAGGCAUCAUAAAACCCAGCCAAAGCCUGUUUUCUUCACCGGUAAUGCUAGUAAAGAAAAAAGAUGGCUCGUAUAGAUUCUGUGUGGAUUACCGUGCUGUGAAUGCGGUGACAGUAAAGGACAAAUUUCCCAUCCCCACCAUUGAUGAAUUGUUUGACGAACUGGGCGGUGCUCGGAUUUUCAGCAAACUUGAUCUACGAGCCGGAUAUCACCAGAUAAGAGUUCACAAGAGGGAUACUUAUAAAACAGCGUUUCGCACGCAUAAAGGACACUACGAGUUUCUUGUUAUGCCGUUCGGUUUGACCAACGCGCCGUCCACUUUUCAAGCAACAAUGAACCAGCUAUUUGCUUUUUUUUUACGCAAAUUUGUUAUUGUCUUUUUUGAUGAUAUAUUGGUAUAUAGUGCAUCAUUGGUUGAUCAUGUGUAUCAUUUGGAGCAGGUCAUGAGUUGUUUAUACACAUCUCAAUUUUAUGUCAAACUCUCCAAAUGUUUAUUUUGUCAGGAAUCAAUUGAUUAUUUGGGCCAUAUAGUGUCGGCUCGAGGAGUACAUGCGGAUCCUCAAAAGAUCACAGCCAUGGUGGAUUGACCUUUACCGAAAUCAGUGAAGCAACUGAGAGGGUUCUUGGGGCUGACCGGGUACUACCGACGUUUUAUUCAAGGCUACGCAACCAUCGCAACUCCUCUCACUGAGUUGCUUUGUAAGGAGGCUUUUUAUUGGAAUCCUGCAGCUACUCAAGCUUUUCAAGCAUUAAAGAAGGCCCUUGUGGAAGCUCAUGUACUUCACUUGCCGAAUUUUACCUUGGAGUUCGUCAUUGAGACCGAUGCUUCUAAUGUUGGGAUCGGUGUUGUGCUAAUGUAAGCCGGGCAUCCUCUAUCUUAUUUUAGCAAAAAGUUGGGUCCUCGAAUGCGUGCAUCCUCGACAUAUUUGAAGGAAUUAUAUGCUAUUGUCGCUGCAGUUCAAAAAUGGCGUCAAUACCUCAUUGACCGAUUUUUCUUUAUAUGCACUGACCAUAAAAACGUAAAGGAAUUGUUUCAACAAGUUAUUCACACACCAUAGCAGUAAUUUUACAUUCGCAAGUUGAUGGGUUAUCAAUUCAGAAUUGAUUAUAAAGCUGGUAACUCCAAUAAAGCUGCUGAUGCUUUAUCGCGAAUUCAUGAGGAAAAUGUGAUUGAAGAACCCAAACCAACAGCUCUUUGUUUUUCGUUGGUAAGUCAACCUUCUAGUGAAAUAUUGGCAGCUCUGCACAAGGAAAAUGACUCCAUUCCUGAUAUGAAGCAACUCCAUCAGAGGUAUGCAGCCGGUUCACUCACUUCUGAUUUCUCAGUUCAAGGAGGGUUACUGCUAUUUCGACACCGGUAUUAUCUUAGCCCCCACUCAUCAUUGAAAACCAUGCUACUCAAAGAAUUUCACGAGACACCUAUGGCAGGACAUGCUGGUAUUAAAAAGACAUUGGUACAUCUUUCAUCUACUUUCUUUUGACCUAAGAUGAGGAAAGAUGUUGAGCAACAUGUAGCCGCUUGCCUUGUUUGCCAGCAAAUUAAAUAUUCAACUCAAGCACCGGGGUCUGUUACAACCUUUGCCUGUUCCUUCGUUAGUUUGGGAUGAGUUAACCAUGGAUUUCAUUACAGGGCUGCCACUUUCGAGAGGAUUUGAAGUAAUUCUAGUUGUUGUAGACCGUUUAUCAAAGUCAGCUCACUUUGGAGCCUUGCCUUCUCAAUUUACUGCUGUCAAAACAGCAAAUUUAUUUGCUGACAUGGUUGUAAAGUUACAUGGAUUUCCUAGCUCUAUAAUUUCAUAUCGUGAUCCUAUCUUCAUGAGCAACUUUUGGCAGAAAUUGUUUGAAUUAAGUGGGACACAGUUACGCCACAGCACGACCUAUCACCCUCAAACGGAUGGCCAAUCCUAAGUAGUUAAUAGAGGGCUUGAGUAAUAUUUACGAGCCUUCACACAAGACAAGCCACAGACAUGGUUUUCCUUUUUAGGCUGGGCUGAAUUUUGCUACAAUACAAGUUAUCACAGCAGCUUGCGUAUGACUCCCUUUCAAGCCCUUUAUGGCCGACUUCCUCCUACAAUUCCAAGAUACUCAAAGGGCUCUACUUCAAUCCAAGCUUUAGAAGACAUGUUAAUUGAGAGGGAUUCCAUGCUUGGCUCAUUGAAAGAGAACUUGCGACAAGCACAGCACCGAAUGGCUCAAAAGGCUAACUUACAUCGCCGAGAAACUCAAUUGCAGGUGGGUGAUAAAGUGCUGGUGCGCCUUCAGCCAUAUCGUCAGGCAUCAAUUGCUAAACGCUUAUCUCACAAGCUGGCAAGGCGCUAUUAUGGACCAUUCGCCGUGGUUGAGCGCAUUGGACCUGUUGCUUACAAGUUAGAUUUACCCACGGAUUGUCGAAUUCACCCGGUGUUUCAUAUUUCCUUACUCAAACCUUAUGUGGGAAACUCCUCCAUUGACGUUUAUUCACUGCCUCCGGGAAGUGUGGAUAACAAGCCCCUUUCACUGCCAAUUGCUAUUUGUGCUGAGCGAAAGAUACUUCGACAAGGCAAAGAAAUUCCACAAAUUUUGGUGCAAUGGUCUGAUAGCUCACCAAAAAAUUCAACUUGGGAGGACUUUGAGGAAUUUCUUAAACUCUAUCUUGCACUACACCUUGAGGACAAGGUACGCUUUCAAGGAAUGGGGAAUGAUACGACUUGGCCCAUUGUCGUGAAUCAGAUCGAGCUCCAGGAGACAGCAAGGGAAGAAACCCAGCCUACAGAAAUGGAAGAAGCCCAACCCUUGAAUGAGACUCAAGCUAGAGAGCAGCUCAAGACAGGUCCAGCUCGCGCGAGAAAGAAACCAGGAUGGCUCAAAGACUUUGUUAUUUAAAGAAAGUUUGAGAAUGCUUGGGAUAUCAGAAUAACGAAUAUUGUCGUGUUUCAAUUAUUGUUUUGCUGUUAUUAUCUAUUUUAUUAUAUUUAGUUAGUUAAGGGUGCGUGACUGUUUCGGCAUGAAGAAUAUAUUUGUACUGUCAAGGGACCUGUGAGGUCAUUCAAGAAAGAUAACAUUUUGUCUUUUUCUCAGCUUCGUCUUCUUUCUUUUCUCUGCAACUCCCCUAUCCCAUUUUCCUUUCUUUCUUCCAAUUCUCUUCCCCACCGAUCGGAGCCUGCACUCGCUCAAAGAGUGUCGUAUCAGUUACAUUCAACCUAACUUAGGAGGACCCUUCCGAUAUAACCAUUCUGACUCGGUGAGAUGUUCAAAUUUAGAUUUGACAAGGAUGAAAAUGAAAGAAUGAUUACAAUGCUGGCAAUGCCUACUUGAAACUUAAAUUUAAUUGGAUGGUCCCAUCCCUCCCUCUCACUUGUCAAAAUUAAAUUGAACAGUUUAACGUAAUAAUUUCUCAACAACAUGACAAUGCUUGUUUUAAUGAAAAGUCAAUGCACAUUAUCCGAACAUUACAUCAAUCAGAGAAAUGAUUUCUCUUCAUGUGACAACAUACGUAGGGAUGGCAAAAAUUCACACGGAGACGGGUAUUUUUGAGGAUUUUUUUUAUUCGGGGAGGGUAUGUGGAUAAUUUCAUACCCAAUUUCUUAUUCGGGGAGAGGACGGGGAUGAGGUGGAAUCCCCAUCCCCUACCCAUUUUUUCAUUUUUAUUUUUAAUUUUGUUUUAAUUUUUUAAAAUUACUAGUAAAUAAAUAAUAAAAUUAUAAAUAUUGGUAAAAAUGAAAAAUAUCAAAAUAUUUAUAUUAUUAAACUUUUAGGCCUAAUUAACUAAUUAAAGUCCUAAAUUUUUAUUUAGGACAUUAAAAAGAUCGAGUAGAUUCUAUUAGCCCAAAAUUUUUUUUUAUUUUAAUAUUCUUUAAAUAUUUUAAACUUAAAUCUAUUUUUUAUUUAUUUUUAGAUGUUAUAAUUACCCACAGCGAAUCACAAUUUUAAUAUCUAAUCUAAUCUAAUAUAAUAUUUACUCUUGAUUUGCUCCGAUUUAACUAUUGUGUUGUAAAGUGAAUAUUCCACAUUUAUAAAGUACCCACGCCACCAUUGAAAAAGUUAAUUUUGAAUCUAAAUUCGAUUUUAUUUGUAACAAUUUUGUAUUAGACUAUUAAUUUGUUCAUGAUAGUUUGUAAAAGAAGUUUGUAUCCCUUGCAUGCUGCGUUACUUACUAAUUUAAUGUAUGUGACUUUUGUAAUGGAUAUUAAUGUAAGAUAUAUUUCAAACUUUACUUUUAUUUGAAUUUUUUAUUUUAAUAUGAUUAACUCAAAAUAAAAAAAUAAAAAAAUAUAUUAAUUAUUCGAGGAUCAGGGACUCUCGGAGAUCCUUUGUUAUUAUUCAGGGAGGAAAUGAUGAUUCUCUCAAAUAAUUCUGACGGGGACAAAAAUAAGACAUGGACAUAUGUAAAAUAUCAAAGAUGGAUACAAGAAGAUCGGUCCCCUACCCUCCCCUCCCCAUGGCCAUCCCUAAACAGAUGUUGAAGUGUUAUCCGGCUAUUCGUUUGAUAAUUCAAAGAUUCGCAAGUGCCAACAAGUGGCACAGCAAUAGAAACUGUGUGGCUUGAAUUGUAUUUGUGAGGGACCCUCAUUUAUGACUGAAUCGGCUUUUCUCGUUGCAACAGGAAGUUGAGUUAGAUCUCCAGGGUAUUAAGGUCACUUAGAAUGAAUUUCACAAUCAGAGUCACUUUAAAAGUAGGCUCCAUCACCCAAAAUAAAGUACUGUGUGAUCCCUGUUCAUGUUUACAAGUAAUUGUAGAAUAACUACACUAUAAAAGAUUUUUAAAUAUUAUUAUAUUAUAUUAUCAUAUUGGUAUUUAAAUAUUUAUUUACUUUAAUUUUUUUAUUUUACUUAGCUAAUAAUAUAAAUGUUAGAAUUUCUAAAUUACACACACACACACAAAAUAUUCAGUAGUUUUUUUAUUUAAUAAUGUAACAAUUAAUAAUUUGAAUAUUCAUAUUAAAAAUUUACGUUCAUAAAUCUACUCUUAUAAAUAAAUAAAUCAAUAUUAAUAUAUUUUAUUUUCUUCUAAAUUAGUUUAGUGAGUGAACUAUAUUAGAAUUGAAUAGAGUGAAUUAUAAAUAGUAUUGUCUUUUGUUUGUUAUAAUAUCAUGAGUAUGCUAAAUUUAAUUUAAUAAAGCUAUAUAACUAUUUAAACAGUAUUACUACUUGUUAAAUUUAAUAUUUUGUAAAUAAUUUAUUGAAUAUAAUUUUGAUAUUUAAUCUUAUAUUAAAUACUAGUGUAAACAAAUUAUUGAAUUUAAAUUUGAUGAUUAAUAUAAUAUAAAAUUUUAGUUUAAAUCAAUUACGAAAUUAAAUUUUUAUGUUUAUUUAUAUGAACAUUAGUUUAAAUAAAAUUGAAAAGAGUGAUACAGAAGAUUUUAUCCUACUUAAGUUAUUAGCCUCAUUAUGGAUUAAAUUUUGGACUAAUCAACUAAUUCAAACAGCCAAACAUGCACAAGAUUAGAUUAAUUUUUUAUUUUGUCCCAAAAAUUAGUCCAAUCCUAUCUUUAAUUUUGUUUAGUACAAUGCUAUAGUAUAUCAAACACGAGAUAAAACCAAAUCUAAUAUAAUCUAAUCUUAUCAUAUCCUUCCAAAUACAACAUAAUUUUACAUAUUAUCCAAUCAUAACUUAUGUUAUUCGAUCUUAUCCUAUCUUACGUGCCAAACACAUCCUACUUGUUACGUGUGGCUAUUAUGUUGCCACUUUGAUGAAAUAGACGUCAACAUGACAAUAUCCCAUCACGUAAAUCUUAAAAUUGUAGGCUAACAUCUUAAGAAGAGCAUUGUGUGGACUGUGUUAUAUACAUAUAAAUAAAUAAAUAAAUAAAUAUAUAUAUAUAUAUAUAGAGAGAGAGAGAGAGAGAGAGUCAUGGACUUUAUUAAAGUUCAAAAAAAUUAUUAAGUCAUAUGGUCUAGCAGUGUAAUGACCUAUGAGACUAUAUGAUUUAAUAACUCUAUCAAAUUUUGACAAAAUCUAGAUUCGAGAUUGGAACAUAUCAUAAAAAGUAAGAAUUAGCUAGGAUGACUUUCUAUUUAUAAUUGUUCCUGAAGUAGAAAACCUUCGUUUUGUUCCAAAAUAGCUUCUUGCACAGGAUGGGAUUAUUAUCCGAGAUUUUGUUAAAGUCCAGACCAGAUCCGGGAUUAUGUUAAAGUACAAAAUCCAAAUCACGUGUCACGCACUAUCAUGUUCAUUUUAAUAAUCAUUUAAUUUGGAGACAAGUGAAAUUCACGUGCUAGGCGACGGCUCCUGUAAUGUGAUUGAAUCGUAACGCAAGUAUUAAUUAAGGGUACCCUUGUAAUUGUAAUUAGAAUUAAUGCCUAUAUAAUCACCUUGAUGUAAUGCUAAUUCUUCAUGCACACAUAUUGCUUUGCUUAAACAUUGUGUCAUUGCUGCCAAGUUGCCCCAAAUCUCUUCAUAUAUAGCUUUUUUAUGUUUAUUUAAAGAAUGUGGAAAUUGAAGCUUUCGGAAGGAAAUUGUGAACAUGAUCCAUGGCUUACAAGUUUGAACAAUCAUAUUGGCAGACAAUUCUGGGAAUUUGACCCAAAUCUUGGAACUCCUGAAGAACGGCAACAAGUUAACAAACUUCGCAAUGAUUUCACCGAGAAUCGGUUUCUAACGAAGCACAGUUCUGAUCUCUUAAUGAGACUUCAGGUAAAAGAAUAUCAUUUGUAUGUGUGUAAACUUUACACCAAGAUUUUCAUCAUUUUCGCACUUUAUAAAAUGCAGAUUUAACCAUUAAUAUAAUUCUCAUCAUGAAGUCGUCAGGAUUUGAGAAUUACCGAGUAAUAUAUUACUUGUGUUUAUGUUAUAUGUACAGUUUGCGAAGGAGAAUGCAUGUGAGAUAAGCAGCUGCCUCAGGUGAAAGUAAAAGAUGAAGAAGAAAUAAGUGAUGAGCAAGUUGUGAGUACAACAUUGAGGAGAGCUCUGAGAUUCUAUUCUAGUCUCCAGGCCGAGGAUGGCUUUUGGCCUGGUGACUAUGGUGGCCCUUUAUUCCUUCUUCCUGGCUUGGUAUAUCUAUAUAUACAUACAUAUAUGGUGAUCCUCAAUUAGUUUACUUGUCUUUUGAAUUUUUAUAAUAUUUUGGAUCAAAAAAAUAAAGAUACACAGAAAUGUGUGUGAGUGUUUUUAAUCUCUUAGUUGAAAUACGCAUUCAGCCAACUUUCGGCUUAAAGAAAUAUGAUCUCCUUCUUCAAAUCUUUAUUUAUUUUUGUGAAAAUUAACAAAAAGAAAAAAAAAAAAUUGCAAUAGUCGUUUCAACUAUGUUAAUGAUCCCAGCCUCCCGAAAUCAUAUUUGUUCUCUUCAGAAAUCACAUCAGCACCGACACGAGUAAACUGAACUUCAAUAAUGUUAUCAUUUUGGUAUUUUUUUAGGUCUAUACAUGUCUAUAUAGUUUAAUAUAAGGUUGUUAUUAGUCACAAAGAAUUGAACAAAUUCACUGUAUUUACAAUUUCAUGGUCCCCUUCUCUCCCUUUCUGUUAUUUAAAAAAAAAAUUUGUAGGUAUUUCUAGCAAAAAAAACUGCUUUCAAUGUCUUAUUCAUAUUGUUGUCAUCAUGACAAGCAUCCGCAUUCUUUUUAAAAAAAAAAAAAAAAUCUAUGCAUUUUUUUCAAAAUUAAGAUUAAGAAAUUUUUUUUUUUGAAAUCUAUAUAUAUUUUUCAAAAUUAAGUCGCAUCAUUUAUAUAUCCAUUUUCAAACUCAAAAUCAAUAUUUAUGUGUAAUAAAUUAUGAGACAGUGAUGGGCUUAUUUGUAACCGGUGCCUUGAAUGCAAUUUUAACAGUGGAACAUCGAAGGGAAAUGAUUCGUUAUCUAUAUAACCACCAGGUAUAUGUUUUACUUAUAAAAAUACAUAAUUAAACAAUUCUAUUAACCGUGUAGAUUAAUUUCUCAACAAAUAUUUUACAAACUGAAGGUGUUUAUUGAAACUAAGCCAUAACUUUUGCGGAGUAAUGUGAAACCAAUAAUCUACAGAAUAGAGAUGGAGGAUGGGGAUUGCAUAUAGAAGGGUGCAGCACGAUGUUCUGUACUGCGCUAUCAUAUGUCACUUUGAGACUGCUUGGAGAGACAAUGGACAGUGGGGAUGAUGGUGCCAUGGAAAAAGCCCGAAAAUGGAUCCUUGAUCGCGGUGGGGUCACCUCCAUUCCAUCUUGGGGAAAGAUGUGGCUUUCGGUACGAACCAUUCAUUACAUCCCUGUAAUCAUCCUCCGGUCUGAACGUCUUGGUGCAAAUUUGUUCACGAAUGUUGGCAUUUCAAGGCUAAAAUACACAACAAUUUAGCACUGAAUUGCGAGCAAACCGUAUACAAUUAGUUCACAUUUUAUAUUACUGUUUUUUUAUUUUAUCUUCACAACUCAUUAUUUAGAUUUUUGCUACCUAUAUUUUUCGGCAAAAUAAAAAUAGGUGCUUGGAGUAUACGAGUGGAGUGGGAACAAUCCACUACCCCGGAAAUAUGGCUUCUCCCUUAUUUUCUUCCUUUUCAUCCAGGUAAAAACUAAUUUUGUUUGUGUGUUUGUUUAUAUUAUCUAUAAUUCAGCUUUUUUAUGUGUAAAUUCAAAACCUUAAAUUNNNNNNNNNNNNNNNNNNNNNNNNNNNNNNNNNNNNNNNNNNNNNNNNNNNNNNNNNNNNNNNNNNNNNNNNNNNNNNNNNNNNNNNNNNNNNNNNNNNNGCUCGAGGCUUUUUAAGAAAUUGAAAAGGCUUGAGGAUUUUUAAGCUCUAUUGCCCGAAUAAAAUAUUUUCAAUAAGUUACAUUCUUAUUAUGAUUUUUCAUGAUAAAAUUUCCUGGCAGUUCCAUAGUCUUGGUCCUCUUGGAUUUUUAUGAUUAUUAUUAAAUAAAAUUGGAACCUUUUAUAAGGUCCUCCGCGUACCACUCAUCCAUUCAAGUCCUUCGGCAAGUUCAACGAGCUUAAAUUUAGCGGAACGAAUAUAUUCAAUUUUACCUUUUUUUUAAGUUUUUUUUUUUUUUGAAAAGAGAUUUCCAUUAAAUCAAAGAAGAAAAGAGAUACAUCACUUGUGAAGGGUAUGAACCCUUCCACACAACAGUCUCACACUUCUCUAAAGCUAACUUAGCUAAAGAGUGGGCAAUAACAUUACUUGUGAAGGGUAUGAACCCUUUUUUUUAAGUUACUAGCUGACUACUAAGCAUUAGUAGAGACAACCAAUGGGACGUGCCCAUCCCGUCAGAAGUAGGGCUAUGAGGACACAUGAACCGGCAUUCACUGUAUCACAUUAUCUACACGCUAAUUUUAUAUAUUUUAUCAUAUGGGCAUUUGCUGCACCAAUCAAAAAUUAUGAUAGCAACUUAAUAGUUUCUUAAAGAAAAAGAUUCUAGAAAACCAUUAAGAUUAUCUUGUAUGGUGUUCUUAUCAUUUUUCCUAUGGGGAAAAAGAGAGUAAUUAAUCUUUCACUGAGAUAAAUGCUCGAUGUAAUCUGAUGCAGCGAAAGUUUAAUGUUCAAAAUAUUCCGUUUAUUUAGAGAAUACCGGAACAAAAGAACAACUAAAUUCACGUUGAUUCAAAAUAAUACCGCGAAUUUAGGGGUUAAGACUCGUUGAUUCUGCAGAAUACCGAGAAUUAACUGUUCAAAUACUCACAAAAGAGAUUUGAAAAUUGAAAUAUUAUUGAACUCAAAAUUCUGCUUGUAAAAGCUACAAAAGAACUUAUUUAUACUAAGUAAGACUUAUCCUAAUAUGAUUAGAAAACCUAUUUUAAUAAGACUUAUGCCUAAAUUAUGAAUAUUACCCAAAUAAGCAAUACCUAAACAAUAAGACUCUAAAUAGGAAACCAAAUUAAACUAGAAUACAAAUUAAUUAAAAUAUUCCUAAAUAUUAUACAUUUAAAUCUAAUUAGAAUUUCUUCAAUUUCUUGCUCUGCAUCAUUCCCGCCAGGCUGGAGAAAAUUCGUCCUCGAAUUUUGUAUGUUGUAGUCUUCAAGAACAUCUUCAUGUGCAUAAGGAUUAAUUUUUUAAAACGGAGCUUCAACAUAGACAACGAACUUUAAAUUUUUCUCACUUUUGUAAUAACGUCCAUCCAAUCACUCCAAUGGCGUAAAAUAAAUUCUUCUAUCAACUGCUCUAAUAAUGACUUCUCGUAUUGUUCGUGUCGAACUUCAACAUAGUUGAGGAAAAACGAUUUCUUCUCAUAAUCCACUAACUGUUGAAAAAUAUCACAACUCUUUUUGUCUUCUUUUGGCAAAUCAAGAGAACAAUAAGAGAUUGUAUCAACAACUAUCUCUCUUUCCUCCACAAAAUCAAAAGAUGGAUGAACAAUUACCUCUUCUCGUCCCAUAAUAUCAAGAUACUCAUCAAAUUUCGGCAAUUGAUCCAAAUCAAUGUCUUUGUGUUGAGGAUUUGUUGUGGACACAAAUGGCCAAUUAAUAUUCUCCUCGGAAGGAAUAAUAUUGUCGAGAGAAACAAAGUUACCAUUUUCCUCAUUAUCCUCAUAACAAACAUCAUCAUGAACAACUUCAUCAAAUCCAUAUGCUUGCUUUAUGUGUAAAGAUUUUCUAUCUCGAAGUUUCUCUAAAUCUUGAGAAACCAAACGUAAAAUUCUCAACAUCCUAUUUAAAACUUCUUUCAAGACAAAAUCUUCGAGGCGAUGUUGUCGUUUCAUGAAUCAAUUUUUUUUUUUCUUCUUUUCUGUUUUCUAUAUCUUUUUUCCUUUUUUUUUUGUUUUUGUUUGUUUGGGUUUUUUUGUGCUAAGAUUAGAAAACAAAGGGAUAAUAAUGGUAUAAAUAAAAGAAUUGGUCAAAAAUGUGAAUAAGCAAAAGAUAGGGUCAUCGGCGACGGUGAUCGGAAAUUUGGACAAGGAUGGGCGGAUCUGAAAGAUUUCGGGUCGGUGAAUAUGAUGGUGGUGGUGGGUUGUCCGAAAAGUUGGUGGUUUGGCGGGAAAUUGUAGAUAAAUCUGGCGGUUUUGAGGGCUUCGGUUUCCGGUGGUUUGAGCAUCGAUUAGCGGUGAGGAAUGGUGGGAAAGGUUCAACUGAUGGAGAUGAAUGGAUUGAUGGUGGUGCUUCUGGCCAAAUCACACCAGAAAGUGAUGAACGAAGGUGGCGGCGAUCGCGACUGUUUUGGCUCUUUUUUCGGCGAUCUAUGGCUAAUCGACAGUGGAAGUUUAAUGUUCAAAAUAUUCCGUUGAUUUUAGAGAAUACUGGAACAAAAGAACAACUAAAUUCACGUUGAUUCAAAAGAAUACCACGAAUUUUAAAACUUCUUUCAAGAAAAAAUCUUCGCGGCGAUGUUGUCGUUUCAUGAAUCAAUUUUUUUUCUUCUUUUCUGUUUUCUAUCUCUUUUUUCCUUAUGUUUUUUUUUGUUUGGGUUUUUUUGGCUAAGAUCAAAAAAUUAUAGGGUAAUAAUGAAAUAGAAGAAAGUAUUGGGCCAAAAGUAUAAAUAAGUAAAAGGUGGGGUUUCCGGCGAUGGUGGUUGGAAAUAAUUAGACAAGGAGGGAUGGAUCUGAAAGAUUUUGGGUUGGUGAGUAUGGUGGUGGUGGUUUGUCCGAUUAAUUAGAUUUUUUGGCCGAAAAUUAUAGAUAAAGCCGGCGGUUUUGGAGGGCUUCGGUUUCCGGCGGUUUGAGCAUCGAUCAGCGGUGAGGAAUGGUGGGAAAGGUUCAGUUGAUGGAGAGAAUGGAUUAAUGGUGGUGCUUCUGGCCAAAUCGUGCCGGAAAGUGGUGAACGGAGGUGGCGGCGAUCGCGGCUGUUUUGGCUCUUUUUUCGGCGAUCUGUGGCUAAUCGACGGUGGAAGAUGCUUGGGGUUUGAUGGCCGGCGAUUUAUGAUCUGUUUAGUGGUGGUUGCGUCCGGAUCAGAGACGGAAAACGAAAGCCGACAGCCUUGGACGGUGGCCGCAGGCUUAAGCUUUUGUUUCUGUUUUUUUCGGUUUUUUUUUAAACUAAACGGAAAAAAAUAAAAAAGAAAAAAAUGGAAUGUUUGGUAGAUGGAGUUAGAUUGGUGAUACCAGUUUUUAGCUCUAAUACCAAACUGAUGCAGCGAAAGUUUAAUGUUCAAAAUAUUCUGUUGAUUUUAGAGAAUACUGAAUAAAAGAACAACUAAAUCACGUUGAUUCAAAAGAAUACUGCGAAUUUAGGGGUUAAGACUCGUUGAUUCCGCAGAAUACCAAGAAUUAACUGUUCAAAUACUCACAAAGAGAUUGAAAAUAAAAAAUAUUUAUUGAACUCAAAAUUCUGCUUGCAAAAACUACAAAAGACACUUAUUUAUACUAAGUAAGAAUUAUCCUACUAUGAUUAGAAAACCUAUUUUAAUAAGACUUAUGCCUAAUUAGGAAUAUUGCCUAAAUAAGCAAUACCAAAAACAAUAAAAUUCUAAAUAGGAAACCAAAUUAAACUAGAAUACAAAUUAAUUAAAAUAUUCCUAAAUUAUUAUACAUUUAAAUCUAAUUAAGAUUUCUUCAAUUUCUUGCUCUGCAUCAUAAUCACUAUAUUUUGUGUUAAAUCCCUGUUUGAUCUCUAUAUUUUAGAAAAAAUCUCAAGACACUCCUGUUGUUAAUUAUAUUACAUUUCUAUCCUUACUUUUUCUUUUCUUUUACAAUAAUACUCUUGCAAAAACAUUCUUGGGGAUAUUAAUGAAAAAAAAUAGUAAUUUAUCAAAUUAAUUUUAGAAGUAACAUAAAAAUUGCACAAACAUUUAUAUUAUUAUUUUUCUUUUAGGAUUAAUUUGGUGAAUUAAUUUUUUAUAAAUAAACUACUAGUAAGAUUGUUGUAAGGAUAUUGAACAUUGUUUUUAAGUUGCAUGGGUACAAAAAAUACUAGUUUUUUCAUACUGAUAUUUAUUGGUUAAAUUACUAAUUAACUUUUUUAUAGAUAAAUUAAUCAAUUUCAAGAAUAUCAGUGAAAGUUUAUAAUUAUAAAAGGAAAGAAAAGUAAGGGUAAUAAAUUUAAAAAUAUAAUAUAUUUAACUGCACGAGUGUUUUUGAGGUAUUUUUAAAAUAUAUGAACUAAAUAAAUAUUUGAGUAAAAAUAUUGAAAUUAAAUGAAUAUUAAACCCUUUUACACUGUAAAAAAUAAUUUUUUUCAGUAGAAAUUAAAAGAAGUCCAGCAAUUGGGCCACAUGUUGUUGACAAUGAUAAAUAUAAAGGUAGCACUGACUCCUAGUAGAAAAGUAGAGAAGUAGCAUCGUGAAGCCUUCAAAAAAAAUUUCGCCGUCUGUCUUUAACAAACAAUCAACUUAAAUAUAUUUUUCCCUCUCAACCUUUUGAAUAUUUUUGGUCCAAGGUCAAAUUACCUUUCGCCCUUUCAGAGAAGUUUGGCCCCAUUUUCACUGCAAAUUAAUUUAUCUCUCCAAAAUUCAAAUUGAGCUAGCCAGACAAAAUUAUUUAAAAAAUCAUUCGGUCUGUAUUUUUAUUUUUCAAUGUUCAUCCAUCAAGAUACCUCCCAAUCUGUUCCAAAAAAAAAAAAAUUGGAGCUAAUUUCAAUUCCAAAUCCGGACAGAUCUCUAAUUGCACUUAACUCAUAUAGAUUGAAUACAUUAUCGUUUGGUUCCAGUUGAUGAACCUCUCUUUGAUCUUUCCAUCUUAUUGGAUAGAAGGAUUAUAAUAAUCAACCUAUGUUAAAUCUAUCACAAGAGAUCAGAAUCAAGUAUAAGCAAAGAUCAAGAAAGCAAAAUCUGAAAAACUGGUGUGGUUCAAUUGAUGAUGUUACACAAUAAGUGGUAAAAGCAAGUCCCAAUUGAGUGACUCGACAGCAGCUUAACUUGUAUCCUCAAUAACAAUUAUAAUUUAUCAUGACCUUUUUCGUACUAAAUGACUUAACUGUUAAGACAUGAUCAAGAACAUGUUGUUUCGUUCUUCGCACAUCUAUAGAGAAGAUAAUCUCAAGUUUGAGGAUUUGGCUAAUAUAGGUAUAUGGGUUUAAAUUCUUAAAAUUUAAGUGGUGGACUAAUCAUCCUUUAUCAGUGGUACGCCUCUUCAAUGACGAUGCGUGGAGACCACCCUGUCGUUACGUCUCUUGACUUCUAUUCUUUUGAUUUUUGUACCCUUUCUCCUCUUUUUCUUUAAUAAUGCUUUAAGCAUUUACAUGGGAAAAAAAUAUAGAAAAAAAAGUUCCAAUUGAACCCGAGAGCACUAAAGCCAGCGCAGGGCUCCACUUUGGAAUGCCUAUAACACCCUUCAUAACUUCAUUCAUAUAUACAAAUUAAAGCAUAUGAUGUACGAUAUUUAUUUAACACAAAACUGAUAGUCAAAGCUUACUAGCUGAACAUGUUGUCUUCAAAAUAGAUCCUAAUUAUUUACAUUUCGUUAGCCAUAGAAAUGGCCUUUUGAAGAUUUCUGUAAGCUUUUUCAUAGCGCAAAAAUCCCAUGAACCAAAAUUCAAAAUCGUCCACGGUCACUAUUUCAACGUACUUUUGCUCUGGCUUGUUCACAUUCUCACUUUCGUUGAUACUUUUGAUCUUUUGUAUUGGUAUCAACACCUGUAAAUGUGAAUUAUGUCAAUAAAAUUUUCAUUAUCUGACAUGAUUUAGUUCCAGCUAAUAAAAUAAAUAACUAAUGCCUAUUAAAAGGUGAGAUCUCUACCCCAUUACUUGGGGAUAGGGUUAUAGUAAAAAAAUAUCUUUAGAAUUUGAACGAAAGCUCACCACUUGACUAAAGGCUUCAGUAGGGAUGGCAAAAAAAUUUAGGCCAACCCAAGCCCAGCCCGACCAGUAAGGGUUGGGCCUGGACAAGCCCAAAAAAAUGCAAAGCCCGCAUAGGUUAGAUUUGGACAAGGGUUUAACAAAAAAAUCCGGACUUAACCAGGGUUUUUUUAAUUUAUAAAUAAAAAAUAAAUUUAAUUGAAAUAAUAAAAGAAAAAACAUAAAAUACUAAAUUAGUUUAAUUUUUUAUAUUAGUAUUUGUUAUUUAUUAGGUUGUAUUAUUAAUAUUUUAUGCAUUAGACUAUUAUUCUAUUAUGUAUUAGAUAAUUAUUUUUAAUUAAAAAAAUAUUUUAUAGUUAAUUAAAAAAAAGCCCAAGCCCAGCCUGUCCAAAUUUGGACGGGCUUUUGAAGGGCCUGAACUUUGUUUGAAUAUUGUGGGUUUAGGCUUGGGCUUCGAAAAGCCUGGCUCAAGCCCACAAAUUGCCAGCCCUAAGCCUCGGUGAGAAUUGAAACGGUACUUCAAAUUACUUGGAUUUCAAUAUAUAUAUAUAUAUACACACACACUCACAUAUAUACAGAGAGAGAAUUUUAUAUGAGACAGGGGUAUCACAUCAUCUACACGCUAAUUUUAUAAAUUUUUAUCACAUUAACAUUGACUGUAUCAACCACAAACUAUGAUAGCAAAUUCAUAUUUUCUUAAGGAAAAAAAUUUUAGAAAAUCAUUAAAAUUACCUUGUAUGGUGUUCUUAUUAGUUCUCCUGUGGACGAAGAGUAAGAGAUUGAUCUUUCACUGCAAAAAGCAAUUUUCUUAUUAGAAAUAAAAAGAAGUCCAGCAAUUGGACCGCGUGUCGUUGAUAAGUAGCACUGUGAGGCCUUCAAGAAUUCUUCCCCUUCUGUCAAACCAAAAAUCUGCUUGAAUAUAUUUUCCCUCCCGCCUUUUUGAAUAAUUUUUGCUCCCAAGCUCAACUUACUUUUCACUGUUUCAGAAAAUUUAGGGCCCAUUUUCACUGCAAUUAAUUUGUUCAGAAUAUUCAUUCAGUUUUUCCUAGCUAUAUGAUGUGAUUAUAACAUACAUGAAAAAAAUUUUAGGGAAGAAACUGAUUACCGUGAUCUCGAAUUCUGCAGGCGAAGUUACUACCUUUGCUCUCAAUACAUUUCCUCUGACCCAUUUCUGUAUCUUCUUCAUCUGCAUUGACAGUAAGGUGAGUCAUCGUUUGUCUUGGUCUAAAGGUCUCUAUAAUAUUGUACAGCCAACGCUGUAAAAGGAUGAGUCCGCACUUCAUAAAGUUUGAAUAUCUGCGCUUUAAAAGGACUAUAUAUAGAGUGUAACAAUAUAUACAUUGAUAAAAAUCAUCUAGUUGUACUUUAAUUGUCAGGAUGUGAGCUUGAUGUUGAAUAUCUAGUUAUACAUCUUGUAUUAUCCUAAACGAUUUUACAAUAAGUUCAAUCGACUAUUACCUAAACUUAGUUUCAGUUUGCUUCAUAUAAAGUGUGUUGUGUAUAAAUGUUCAAAAUUAAUUGAAAUUCCAAGAUGUUCUCAAGCAAAAAAAUAUUAAAUAAGUAGAAAAAAGUCUUAAUAAAGUCCAGAAUACUAAAUUAGAACAUUUCUAAUUAUAUUAUCGACUUGUCCGCUCUUUCUUUCUCAACAGAUUAAUGCCAUUAAGAGCUAAAAAUUUUGUCUUAAAAUCACCACUGGGGAUUCGAUUCGUAUCACCUCUAAAAACUUGUGCUAGCAAUUACUAAACUAACUGGAAAUCACAAUAAGAAAAAGCAAAUAGGGAUAAAAUUGAAAAAAAGGAAAAUAAAAAGAAACAGAGAAAAUUAAGAGCGUACUACGCACAAGAGCUGAAGCUGGGAGAGGCAUCUGAAGAAGAUGGACUUUGAAACGAACAGAAUGGUUGCGAUUGAGAAGAACAUCUUUCUGGCGUCGUAUCAUAUGACACCGCCAUCUCAAAAUAUUCUGCUUCUUUUUCUUUCAUCUUCACUAAUUAAUUCCUGAGACACUAAUAAUUAAAAAAAUAAAAAUUCCUGAGAGACGCUUUUUGCUUGUGCCUUGUUACACAAUGGAAGAAACUAAAAAGGCUUGAGACUUUUUAAGCUUUGUCGUCGGAAUAAAAUAUUGUUAAUAAGACACAUUAUUGUUAUGAUUUUUAUGAUACAAUUUCCUGGCUGUUUCCAUAGGCUUGGAAGUCUAUUUUUCCCGGCUUCAUUAGAAGUUCCUCAGGUCAACGAAAGUGGCUAAAUUAGAAAUUCUAGAAUACAUAAUAUUAAAUUGAAAUCUUUCUUUGAGGUCCUUGUUGUCGGCAAAAAUAUCAAAUAAACCAGAAAUUUUGAGAAUUAAAUAAACAAAAUAUGUAUUACACUCACUCCAGUCCUUCGAUCAGGUUCAACAAGCAUAAAUUUAGUAACACGGUGUUAAUUUUUUUUCCCCCUUCCUUUUCCCAAAUUCCAAUUAUGUGUUGAAAAUCCCAAGUAUGUGUUAAGUUUCUGGUCAUUUAAAUAUAUAAUAGUUCACUUCAAAACUAAUUUAAGAUAAAAAUAUAUUUGAAUUAAUUUAACUUUAAAACAUAUUUUUUUAUACUUAAAGGUAGUGUUAAGAGGUAAACUAUUUUUCAAGAGUUAGGAAGGGCGGGAUUCUAAUUCAAGCCAUGAGAUUCAAAUCAAAUGAACCCAUUAUUUUUUAUUUUAAAAUUUCUACAUGGCAGAGCUCACCAUGUACAGAUUUUAUAGGGUUUAUGAACCUCAUUAGUUUCUUGUUGAUGACAAAUGUUUGUACAAUUUUUACUUACUCAUAAUACAUUGAAAAAAAAAUCUAAAUUAAAGUAAACUAUCAAGAUGGCCGCCAAGUAAAUUUUCAUUACCUUAGCAAUUAAUUUUUUUUUAAAAAAGAAAAUUUUAAUGAUUGCAUUAUUCAUUACUUGUGCUCCCAUAAUACUUUUCCUCUUGAAAUCAGGUUCUCAUCAACAAGAAACCGAUAAUAUUCAUUAAUUGUGAUUUUUCUUUUUUUAGCACAUCUAGUGGUGGUGUCAGGAUUUCGAUCUAAUAGGAGUUUAAUUCAAACAAUAAUAUAAUUUAAAAAUUAGUCAACAAAUAACAAAUAUCAAAAUAAAAAUUUAUUAAUAUAUUUAAUUCAAUAUAUUUAUAACAACCUCAAUAUAGUUUCAUAUGUUGAAAUAUUAAAGGAUAAUUUCAUUGCCAGGGCUACUAUAUAAGUUAAGGCACUUAAGCUUUUAGACAAUAAUGCAAACGAGAGGAACUUAUUGAGUCAAUGCGCCGAUUGACUUCAGUUCGAGGGUCAGUGAUAUAAAACGCUGACAUGUCAAAAGUUGUUAUAAGUUCAUAAAAGCAAGUUGAUUAUCAGCACAUGCUGGCUAUUCGAUUUCUUCUUUGUUUGUUAUUCAUUUUGUUUGAAAUUGAAAUUUGUUUCUAUGUGUUCAAUGCAAUCUCCUCUGUAGAUAUGAUUUGUAUUCAAAUAUAAAUAUUUCAUGAGAGAAUCUAUAAUUUUCUUCAAUAUUAUAAUCGAAGGAUCUUGCUAAGUUACCAACAAUAUAACUUAUGUAACACUGCUAUGUCACAAAUUUUUACAUGCUUUGCAAAAGUUACAUUUAUUGUAACUUCGCAAAAUGUAUGGAUUCUUGACAGUUUUGGGCCCCACCUAAAUGCUGAGAGGAUCCUACACCACAGACAUCAACUGUUCAAAUUUGAUAACGAGCAGAUCACAUGACUAUAAAUGGAUGGAACAUUCUGAGAGUUUACACCUGCAUCUCCAAUUCUCCAUACUGUAUAUGUCUGCCACGUGUCGUAGGCUUAAGUUAUUAAGUAAUGAUGUCAUGUCACAUGGACCCUACAUGCUACAUUACCCAAUAUGUUUCUCAUUUUCACUGCAACAUAAGUUCGAUGUCAUUCAAAUGUGUAUACCACGCGCUCUGCUUUCGAUCCUUUUGUUUUCGCAAGAGUUACUGAGCCGAGUGUCUUUUUCACGCUCCUCAAAUCUUGUACCGCACCGGCCCAAAACACGAACUAGUUAUACAGUAGUUAUGCAUCAAUAUCAGCAAUCAUACUGGCUCAACCCCAUCUUAAUCAUAAAUUUGAUACCCACCAUUGGAUAUCUUACUUUUGUUUUCAUUGAUCCCAGGAAAUAAAUUAAUGCAUUUUGAUUGCUUUGAAUGAAAAAAAUGUUUUAUAAUUUAAUUUCUAUUUUAUUAUUUUCAAUCAAGCUGUUUUAUAAUAAACUAAGAAAACGUUUUUUAUGUGAAAAUAAUUUUUAUACUUAAAAAUUUUGUUGAUGCUAUACUCCCAAAGUUUAGAAAAAUUAUCGUAUAGAUAUCAUAAAUUUUUAUUAAAUAGACAUUGAUGCCCUUUUUUUUAAGCAUAAUACGUUUUAAGUACAAUAAUUAAAAAUUGACUUCAAUUUUUUUAAUAAAUACUAAUAUAAUAUAAGUAACUUAAUUUGUCUAGUAGACUAAUAAUAUUAAGCAUUUUUACAUUUAUUUUAAUAUUAUAUCUUUUAUUUAUUACAAAAUAUUAGAAUAAACUUUCAGGUUAAUAGAGACAAAUAAAAUUAUGGUCAAAAUAUAGUCUUAAUGUAUUUUAUUAAAAACUUAGUAGUUAUCGUGACCAUUCCCUAAACUUUGGGAAGUACAAUUAUUCUUUUUCCAAAAAUUUAUUCAUUUUAAACUAAGAGCUCUUUAGGAAACAAAAAGCUAACUAGGUUCACAAAACAAUAAAAAAAUAAAAUAAAAACUACUUUUUUACCAUUAUACACCUUGUUAGAUGACGGUCAUGUGUCCGUCACUAAAACCUGUGUAAAAAAAUUUCUGAUGAUAGUUUAUAUAUGUCAUGGAUUUUAUGAUGUAUUAUGUGUCAUAGAUUUGUUAUUUUCAUAUGACAAUUGUCUAUCAUAAUAUUGUCCAUCCAUGAAUAAUAUAUGUUAUACAAAAUUAAAUAUUUAAUUGUAAUUGAUAUUAAAUAAUUUAAAAUGAUAGAUUUUUAGUUUGGCGGGAAUUUAUGAAAUUAUAUUGGUCAAAAUUCAAAUUAGUGUGGAAAUUAUUAGAUAGGUAACGGUGGAAGAGAAAAAAGUUUUUAAUUAGAAUCAGGCUAUAUUGGAACUGCUUCAUGAUAGAGCACUGUUGAUGACCGUACGAUCAUAAAGAUAAAUAUUAUUAUAACUUUCUGUUUUCGGUUAGAAGUUUGAAUUAGUAUACAAACAUCCUUAUUCAUUGAACAUGACUCGCUAUUGAGCUCAAACUUUUUAAUUAUGCUUAAUAAACCUUUGGAUUAUAUUAUAAUUAUAUAGGUUUUUAGAUUCUUUAUAAAAUCAUUAUGGCUAGUACUCCUUCCUUUUUAUUUCUAUUUUUACUUUUCUUUUUUUAAUUUUUCUUCAACUCCUCAAGGCUUUUUUUUUUUAAAAAAAAUGUUAGAACAAGAAAUCUUUUGGUGAAAACUAUCACCUAUAAUCCAGGACCAUUCAUUUUAUAUCAUUAAAAAUUAAUUUAAAAAAAAACCAAAAGCAAACCUAAAUCCAUAAUGUUUAAUUACUCUCUAGAGUUGUGGUUUGCCUUCCAGAUCAACACGUUCUACUAAAAAAUCCUUUAAUUUUCUCCUAUGCUCUCUCUCUGAUGAUGGGAUGUUAGAAAGAAUAGAAUGAUACAUGUGACAUGUGGACUGUUGUGCAAAUUUUGUUGAACUCGCAAGCGCACGAAUCUAUUGUAGUAUAGACUAAUGGUGACAAGUGUCGAUCCCACGAGGAGGUGGAUUUUAAUUAUAUGUAGAAUUAAUUUUGUAUGAGGGUGGUUGAAUUUGUGGUGAAAGUAACUUAGAUUAUCCUAAAAUUGGAAUUUAAAUGACGAGAAUAAAUUGAAUAGAAAUCUAUUGAAAUGACGUACUUGGGUAUCUGGAUCCGUAUCAACAUGCACCAUAGGCUAAAUAUUCCUUAUUAAUGCCAUUUAAAUCAUGAGGGGGGAAUCCACACCUCAUGAACCACACUCUAAUCAAUAUGGUGCUAAGGGCUUAUCGUGCCAAAUAAUAAUAACCUUGUACUAGAGAGCCGGUGAAACCAAGGCGGUAUCUAGACAAGAUUAUUAUUAUUUGUCGAUGAGAAGUCAAAACAUCCACAAAAACUAGAGGGGAAGAGAAAAUAAAUUUACCAAAUAAAGUCCAUGACACAUGUUGAGACUUCACCUUCAACCCAAGCUUGAAAGAAAAUUAGCUACUCAUAAUAGAACUAGGGGCAAAAAGGAAAUUUAUUAAAAUACGUAGAAAAUACAAGAUGGAGAGCGAAUUACAGAAAAUGGAGACCAAAAAUGGAUUCAGAGAUAUCAAAUUAGGGGGGGAGGCCCCCUUUUUAUAGAUACAUUGAGUAAAUCAUGGCCAUCGGAUUAAAGACAGUUUGGACGCUCAGGAUUGCGCCACGUCAUCAGUCAACAGUAUGCGGUUUGACCACGCGGGUGAACAGUAACACGGUUUGACCCGGCUUUGAACAGUAACGCGAUUUGGUUGAAAAUAAUCCUGUGUAAUGCAUGUACCGUACGCGCAAGUUUUGGUCCACUAAUAUGCUGCCACGUCACCAUCAAUAGUUCAUAAGAAUUUUAGACCAACACGAUCAUGACACCUCAUCAGUCAAUGCCACAUCAUCGAUCAAUGCCACGUCAUCGAUCCGUCUAUGUGAACAGUGUCGUGAACAGUAACGUAGACAGUACCGUACAUGUGAACAGUGCCAUAGGUAAAUCCAGAAAGCACACAAAUGUUCUUGAAUUGUCUAUUGGGAGUAGCUGCCAUUGGAAUAUUUCUCAAAAAUAAUUUGUGAGUGCUUAACAAAAAGUCAUAUUUAAGAAGCUUGGUGACAGUGGGUCACAACUGUGUAUGAGGUGGCAUGUCAGUGUCAAAUAACGCGUAAAGCACAUGGCUCGCGAGUCAAAAAGGAAACAGUAAAAAGAAAAAGAAACAAUGAUAAAAUAAAAUUAUUAAAGACAAUGAGGGAAAAGAUAAACAAUAGUGAAAUAAAAUAACAGUGAAGUAAAAUGAUAUUUACAAGUAGUUGCGACUGUGGCUCACAUCUUCCUCUGGUUUUACGUCCAGAAACGGCUUAAACACCCUCUAUGGGUCGAGGAUAGGCUUCCCAUCCAGUUUUCUUAUAAACUGGCAAACAGGGUCGUUUAUAGUCAGAUUCCCAAGACUAUAUCGUGCAUGCUCUUUCUGGAAUAAUGGCCAUAACUGGAGAAUCGCUCCUUGCACAUAUCCACUGGGAUGCGUUUCAAGAGACAAAAGAAUAUCAUCCAAUGACUCCUUAUUCAAGCCAUCCCUAAUGAAUUGAAUCUUAUCUUCCCUGUUAUCAGACACCAUUCCUAAAGAACAUGGGUUUUUAUCGCAACUCAUUCUGGCCCAAUUUCCUUUACCACAACCAGGCAUGUAUGCAAUAAAUUUUGGAGGUAACUCACCUGCCAAUCGUACUUUAGCCUCGAUUAACCAACAGAUGUCUGCAGGUAUGUUAUUCCUCAUGAGCAAUCGCAUGCGUUCGGACCGGGCUUUAUAGAUCGUAAGGAGGGCAUUCUGAGGGGGUGAAGGGAAUCGCUUGUGAAGCUUCGCUAGAAUCUCGUUUUUGUCCAUACCUUUGCCUCAGAAUAUCAGUUAUUAUGGGAAAACUGAAGUAACUGACUUAAUUAUCACGGAGUACCGUUAUCCGCCACUUCACCGGGGUAACAAACUAAAGCACACAAACAGAAAAAUAAAUUAAAACACACAAAGAAAAUUAAAAUUGUCCUCUUAUUGAAUUUACCUCAAGCUCCAACUGGAUGUCGUAAACACUUCUCUCAAUGUCUCUGAGUUGGCUUUCUAAAUUCUCAACAUGUGUAGAGCCAGGCUACUAACUCUGGUGGUUAUAGAGCCCAAAUGCGAUGUGUUUUACAAAAUCGAAUCUGCCAUUUGAGAUGAGAUUUUACACGUUGAAGUGGUUUAAGAAUGUUUAGGAGGAACAGUUUAAGUAUGGUACUCAUGAUUAACAAUGAUAAGAAGAAAAAAAAAACUUAAUCGUUAAACAAACACACUUAUGCAAAAAUAAUUUCAAUUAGCAAAAGAAUAAUAAAAAGAAAGAAAAAAAUCAAAUCACCGAAAAAAAGAAAAAAAAUCAAUUCAAAUCUGGUGGGUCACUCAAAUUUAUUUCGGUGUCUUCUCCAUGUGGUUGGUACUCUAGAUAUGGCUUUAAUCUUUGACCAUUAACUUUAAACGUGACACCGUUCUUUGGGUCCUUAAUUUCAAUUGCCCCAUGUGGAAAAACAGUAUGCACAAUAAAGGGACCAGACCAUCGAGAGCGUAACUUACCUAGGAAUAGGUGCAAGCGAGAAUUGAAUAAAAGCACUUUCUGACCUGGAAUGAACGAUUUUCUCAUAAUUUGCUUAUCAUGGAAGACUUUCAUUCGUUGCUUGUAAAUCUUGGCAUUUUCGUAUGCAUCAUUGCGAAUUUCUUCAAGUUCUGCCAGUUGUAAUCUUCUUUCUGAGCUGGCUUGCUGCAUGUCAAAGUUGAAUUUUUUGAUAGCCCAAUAUGCACGAUGCUCGAGUUCUACAGGUAGGUGGAAAGCUUUUCCAUACACUAGCCUGUAGGGUGACAUCCCAAUCGGGGUCUUGAAAGCCGUUCUAUAUGCCCAUAAUGCAUCAUCAAGUCUUAAUGACCAAUCUUUUCUGUCUGGCCUCACCGUCUUUUCUAAUAUGUGCUUUAUUUCUCGAUUGGAGAUCUCAACUUGGCCACUGAUUUGCGGAUGAUAUAAGGUCGCCACUUUGUGAGUGAUUGAAUACUUUGUCAAAAGAGAUUUGAAUGCUUUGUUACAAAAGUUGGCACCACCAUCACUGAUUAUUGCUCGAGGGAAUCCAAAGUGUGAAACAAUGUUGCUUUUCAAAAAUCCUAUCACCACCUUGUGAUCAUUGGUUCUAUAUGGAAUUGCUUCUACCCAUUUCGAUACGUAGUCAACAGCAACCAAUAUGUAUUGAUGGCCAAAAGAAGGGGAAAAGGGUCCCAUGAAGUCGAUACCCCAUACCUCAAAAAUCUCAACCACUAAAAUUGGAUUUAGUGGCAUCAUGUUCCUUCGUGUAAUGCUCCUCAUUCGUUGACACCUAUCACAUGAAGAACAGAAAGUGUAAGCGUCUCGAAAAAUAGUUGGCCAAUAGAAACCACAUUGUAAAACUUUAGUCGCUGUUUUCUUAGCAUUGAAAUGGCCUCCACAAGCUUGUUCAUGGUAGAAUGAAAGAAUAUUCUGAAUUUCACUUUCUGGGACAUGUCGUCUAACAAUUUGAUCUGCACAAUACUUGAACAAAUACGGGUCAUCCCAAAAGAAAUUCUUUAUUUCUGCAAAGAAUUUAGCCUUGUCUUGCUUGGUCCAAUGCUCUGGAAGUUGACCUAUAACAAGAUAAUUAACGAUAUCAGCAUACCACAGUAAUACUUCCACACUCAUCAAUUGUUCAUCUGGGAAUGACUCAUUCAAUGGUAAUGAUUUUGUAAUUGUGUCAAAAUGGAGACGAGAGAGAUGGUCUGCCACAACAUUUUCUGUGCCUUUCUUAUCUUUAAAUUCCAAGUCGAAUUCCUGCAAAAGUAACACCCAAUGAAUUAGUCUAGCUUUUGCAUCUUUCUUUGUGAGAAGAUAUUUAAGAGUAGCAUGAUCUGUGAAUAUAAUUAUUUUACAACCAAUGAGAUAAGAUCGAAAUUUCUCUAAUGCAAAUACUACUGUUAGCAUUUCUUUUUCAGUAGUUCAACUGUGCAUCAUUCAAUGUCAUACUAGCAUAAUAAAUAACAUGGGGAAUUCGAUCAACUCUUUGUCCUAAUACUACUCCUACUGCAUAAUCAGAUGCAUCACACAUGAGCUCAAAUAGUAAACUCCAGUUUGGGGGCUGAAUGAUGGGUGAUGAUGUCAACAAUUGCUUUAGUUUUUCAAACGCCACAAGACAUGAAUCAUUAAAGACAAAAGGUACAUCUUUAGCAAGUAGAUUGCAUAAGGGUCUAGAAACUUUGCUAAAAUCUUUAAUGAAACGUCUAUAAAAACCAGCAUGCCCAAGGAAAGAUCUUACUUCUCUAACUGUUUUGGGUGGAGGAAGAUUAGAAAUGAGAUCCACCUUGGCUUUGUCAAUCUCAAUACCUUUGCUCGAAAUAAUGUGACCGAGAACAAUACCUUAUUUUACCAUAAAAUGACACUUCUCCCAAUUUAAGACUAAGUUCUUCUCGAUACAUCUCUGCAGAACUAGUGUUAGAUGAUGUAAACAUUGAUCAAACGAGUCACCAAAAACAGAAAAGUCAUCCAUAAAGACUUCAAGGAAUCGUUCAACCAUAUCAGAAAAAAUGCUCAACAUGCAUCAUUGAAAUGUAGCAGGUGCAUUACAUAAUCCAAAUGACAUUCUUCUAUAUGCAAAUGUGCCAAAAAGGCAAGUGAAAGUAGUUUUCUCUUGAUCUUUUGGUGCUAUGGGAAUCUGAUUAUAUCCUGAGUAGCCAUCUAGAAAGCAAUAAAAUUCAUGGCCUGCUAAUCUAUCAAGCAUUUGAUCGAUAAAUGGUAAAGGAAAAUGGUCUUUACGUGUGACAUAAUUCAACUUUCCAUAAUCAAUGCAUACACGUCGUCCUGUAGUUACUCUAGUUGGUAUCAAUUCAUUAUCGGCAUUGGUAACUACUUUGACUCCUGACGUUUUAAGGACAACUUGUACAUGACUGACCCAUGAACUAUCAGAAAUUGGGUAAAUGAUACCUGCGUCUAAUAGCUUAAGGACUUCAGUUCUAACAACUUCUUUCAUGUUAGGAUUUAACCGAUGUUGCAUUUCCCUAGUAGGUUUAGCAUUUUCAUCAAGGUGAAUGUAAUGCAUGCAGUCUACUGGGUUUAUACCUUUUAUGUCUACUAUGGUCCAUCCUAAUGCUCCUUUGUGCUCUUUUAAAACAUUCAACAACUUACCUUUUUGUUCGUCAUUUAGGGAUGAUGAGAUGAUUACCGGUAGAGUACUUUCUUCUCCCAAAAAUGCAUAUUCCAAAGUGUUGGGUAAUGGUUUGAGCUCGAGUUUCGGUGGUGAUUCUGAUGAUGGGAUGAGUUUCUUCUCUGAUAGUGCUAGUUGCUCUUUUAAAACAUCUAACUCUUGACUUCCAUUUAUUAGUGUCCAUGGAUGGUACUGAGUCAAGUAGGGCGUUGACCUCAUCAACCGAUCUGUCAAUAUCAAAUUCCAAACCAAAGUGAGUUAAACAUGUUUGUAAAGGAUCAUCACUAAGGUUUGAAAGAAAAGUGUCAUCAACUAUUGUUUCUAUUAAAUCCACAUCAACAAUUCCAUCAUCUGCAUUGUGAGGCUGUUUGGCAAUGUUGAAGAUGUUCAGCUCCAUAGUCAUAUUGCCGAAGGACAACUACAUAUUUCCAGUUCUGCAUUGAAUGUGAGCAUCUGCAGUUGCCAAGAAAGGUCGGCCUAGAAUAAUGGGGAUGUGCUUCCUUGAAUCCUGUAUUGGUUGAGUGUCAAUUACAAUGAAAUCAACAGGAAAAUAAAAUUUGUCUACCUGGAUAAGCACGUCCUCCACAAUACCACGAGGUAUUUUUGUGGACCGAUCUGCAAGCUGUAACACCACUGGAGUUUGGUGUAAUUCUCCCUGUCCAAGUUUCAAAAAUACUGAGUAAGGUAACAGAUUUACACUAGCUCCUAAAUCCAACAAAGCAUUCUCAAUUGUGUGGUUCUCUAUGCUACAUGAGAUAGUGGGGGAACCUGGGUCUUUACAUUUCAAAGAAAUUUUGUGUUGGAGUAUAGAACUAACAUUUUCUGUUAAAAAUGCAUUCUUUUGAACGUGAAUGUUUCUCUUUUAAAAAUCCAUCUUUAAAUCCAUGGCUUCAAGCCAUUUCUUAGAGUCAAUAUCUGAUAUUGCCUCUUCGUAACUAGUAGGAUCAUCUCUAUGAUCCAUAUCACCCAAUAAAAAUAUAUUGUUCAUCUGAUGAAAUAAACCAUAUCUUUCUGGUGGGUGAAUUAUCUUACUAGAUCUACGGAGCUGCUGUGUUCCUUGUGUUUGUAAUUGAACAGACUCUUCAUUGGAUUUAUCCUCAUUAGAAUUCUCAAUAAAUUCUAAUUUUCUUCCUUGUCCACCUUCUUGAAUAAACUCUUUUUCAAGAAAUAUGGCGUUUCUACUGACCAAUACCCUUUGGUCAGAUUGGAUGUAAAAGUAAUAACCCAAAGUUUCCUUUAGGUAUCCAAUGAACCUCCCACUAUCCGCUUUAGCUUCAAGUUUCUCACUCUUGAGUCUCUUAAUAAAAGCAGGACAUCCCCAAAUCCUAAGAUGAUUUAGGUUUGGUUAUUUACCAUACCACAUCUCAUAUGGUAUUUUAGGUACAGACUUGGAAGGUACUCUGUUUAGCACAUAUGUUGCAGUAAGGAGAACAUAUCCCCAAAGAGAAAUUGGUAAGUCUGUAUAACUCACCAUUGAUCGCACCAUGUCUAACAAUGUACGAUUUCUCCUCUCAGAUACUCCAUUAAGCUCUGGUGUACCUGGAGGUGUCCAUUGUGAAACAACACCAUUUUCUUUAAGGUAAGACUGGAAUUCUCCACUGAGAUAUUCACCACCUCGAUCUGAUCGUAGGGUUUUAAUAGCUUUUCCAGUCUGUUUCUCUACUUCAUUUCGGUAUUCUUUGAACUUUUUAAAGGCUUCAGAUUUAUACUUCAUUAAGUAUACUGAACUAUACCUUGAGUGAUCGUCGAUAAAAGUUAUGAAGUAGUAAUAUCCACCCCUUGCCAUUUCAUUAAAUGGUCCACAUACAUCAGUAUGUAUAAGUUCAAGUAAAUCAGUGGCCCUUGUACUUCUUCCAACGAAGGGUGCCCUGGUCAUUUUUCCUUGAAGACAUGAUUCACAAGUUGGAUAAGGUUCUAAAUCAAAUGGACCUAUUAGUCCAUCUUUAGUCAAUUUUGUGACUCUAUCUUCUCCAAUAUGACCUAGCCUUAAAUGCCACUUAUAUUUGGGGCUUAUUUCUUCUCUUUCACGUUUAUGUGUUAUGGUAUUUACAUUCACAACAUGCUCAUUAUUUUCUUUCAUGUUUAGUACAUAAAGAUCAUUAUCUAAAGUACCAUGUGCAACAUAUUUAUUCUCAUGAUAAAUAUUACAAAUUUUAUUUCUGAAAUAAAAUUCAUAAUUGUCUUUGCAUAAACAUGAAAUUGAAACUAUGUUCCUUACAGCAGAAGGAACAAAUAAACAAUCAUUCAAACUUAUUACAUGCCCAUAUGUCAUUUUUAAGAAAAAUGUCCCUAUAGCUGAGGCAGCAACCAUUGCUCAAUUUCCCACUCUAAAAGACACUUCUCCUUGUUUAAGUCUUCUACUUCUUUUUAGAUCUUACAUUGACAUAUAAAUAUGUGUGGUUGCAGCAGAAUCUAAAAUCCAAGAAGUAGAAUGAAUGAUUGAAAUAUUAGUUUCAAUAAUGAGCAUACCUUCAGAAGGAUUCUCUUUAGGCUUGACUUUCAAGCUGUUGAGGUAAGCUUUGCAAUUUCUCAUCCAAUGCCCAUCCUUACCGCAAUGGAAACAUUUUCCCUUGUCAUUGGGCUUAUUAGCUUUCCCUUUCUUAAUCCCACCUUUAGCCUUGGGUUGAAAUUUUUUCUUUUUACCCUUUUUAGUUGAGGGCCCUUUCUAUAGCCAUAACAUCUUUUGGCUUCUUUAUGCAAGUUUCAGCAGUAUUAAGCAUCUUUAGCAGUUCAGCAAGACUGCACUCCGUUUUAUUCAUGUUAAAAUUCAUGAUAAAUUGAGAGAAUGAGUCUGGCAAGGAUUGUAGGAUAAGGUCGAUAGCUAAUUCCCAAUCCAUUGAGAAAUUAAGAGCUUCCAGCUGCUCUAUGUAGUCAAUCAUUUUGAGUACAUGCUCAUUGACCGAUCCUUCAGUCAUUCUCAUUCUGAAUAGUUUCUUAGAUAUCUCAUAUCUAACUGUUCUUCUUUGUUCACCAUACAACUCUUGUAGAUGAAGUAUCAUGGAACUUGCAUUAGGCAUAUUUUCAUGUUGCCUUUGUAGUUCAUUGGACAUCGAUGCCAAUAAAUAGCUUUUAGCACUUAGGUCAUCAUUUUGCCACUUCUGAUAAGUGACACGAUCUGCCUCACUUGCUCCCUCAGGAAUUUCAUUUAGAUUAGGUGUAUCAAGAACAUAGCUAAUUCUCUCAUAAUUAAGAACAAUUCUUAAAUUUCUAAACCAAACAACGUAAUUGGGUCCCGUCAAACGGUAGUUUUCCAGAAUUCGUGCCAACGAAUUAUUCAUUAUUAAAUAUUUCUGCAGAAAAUAUAAAUUAAAUUAUUAGCAUUUUAUUUUAUUAUAAUCUAUUUGAUUUUGGUCUUUAAACCAAAUAGUACCUCCCACUAUUUUAUCAUUUCAUUACACUCCCAUAUGUAAGAAACAGAAACUCUCAUUGGUAAAAGUUUCUAGUAGGAAUUGGAUUCUCAUUAGCAUAAGUUUACCUUACCUAACAGUUCUUGGCUUACUUAUUAUAAUGAGUAGGUAACUCUUACCAAAUGCAUCUCAUGCAUGUACCGAUUAUCCUUCGGCCUCUAAAUCAUUAAUACCUCACCUAACAGUUCUUAGUAUAAAUGAUUUAGUUAAGUUUACCCUAAUACCCUUGCAUAUUUCAAAACAUCUUACUAACCUCACCUAACAGUUAUUGGUAGCUUAAUGUAUGAAUCACGCAUCAUCGCAUGAUAUAUGGUUUGUUUUCAACAUUUUAAUGAAUGAGUAGCCCAUGUAUCCAUGACAACUAGCCCAAGCAUAAAAUAUUUUAAAUAUUCCAUUGGUAUUAGUAGGCCAUGAUGGAUAUUCUCAAUAUUCAUCAUUACAACUUAACAAUAAUUAUGUUUAUUUAAUAAGGGAGUAUUUGGUCAUUAUUAUGGUCUCACUUUUUAGCAUGUUAUUCCAUUUUCUAAAUUCAAAUAUGUCUAAGCACCCUAAUAUACAUCUCAUGCAUAUUAUAGACACACCAACUAAGGAUGAUCAUGGAAUUUUCUAAUAAAACCAAUUUGAGCCAAAAUUGGUUUUAAGGUCCACCUAGGUAUCAAGCAAACAAUAAUGAUUAUGAGACAUCUCAUGCCUCAAAUUAUUACAAUUAUUAAUUUCUAUUUGAAUGGCCAAAAUAUCAUUGGAAGUGCUGCAACGAUCCAUAAAGACUUCUUGCUCCAACCUCCAAGGCAUCGUAAAUUCGCCGUCCCUCCUCACUCACUUGUAGAAAUUACAUAUUUAGAAGAAUUGGGGUACAAAUUUAGGGUAAUGGGAUACAAUCAGAUCUUAAUAGAAGCAGAGACAUGCAAGUCCCUAUUUAAAAAUAUUACAACCAUUUAAGCCUUUAGAAAUCGGCCAAAUCAACAAAUAAAUCAAUAGCUCAUUCAAUCACGCAUAUAUUCAAUCAUCACAUGACAUAAAUAUAUCAUAAAAUAUCCAGAUCUUUCCAUGAUCAUCCUUCAUGCUAUUAUAAAUGGAAAUAACAUAUAUCAUGCUUCAAAAAUUCGAAAUUGAAUGAAGAUGGCUCUGAUACCACUUGAAGGACAACAUUUGUCCAUGAGAUUCCUAAAAUCGCAACUUUUGUGCAGUAAAAAUAAAACGGAUGGCGGAAGCUCUAGAAACCUCGGAUCAGCUUCAUUCAAAAACUAAAAUCAAGAAGAAAGAUUGAAGUUUAAUUACCUCACUUGCAGUUUCGAAAACGACUUCGUGAAGUAGGAGAAAAUGACUGAAAACAGCAAGCAACGAACACUGUCCAGAAAAUACAGCUCUGCACGAACAGCUUCUGUUUUGCCACGAUCUGAGAUCCUUAAAGCACCCCAAUUGUGAUGCCUCUAAUUAGUCCACACUUAGAAAUUUUCUAGGAGUUCAUAGGAUUUGGAAUCUCGAAAUUUCGUUUAGAAAUGAGAGAGAUAAUGAAGAAACAUGAAUGCUAGCUCAUGAUGAUUCAUCCCACCAAAUAAAGCUACCAUUAUCUCUAAUAAUGGCACCAAACAUUAUCAUGUUCUAGACCCACCCACUUAGCUAUUAUUUAUUGAAAGUGAUCUUAUCACUUAAAUAAAUUAUUUAAUCAAAUAAAUAAAUAGCUAAAUUAAUUAAUUUCGUAAUUAAUUAAUUAACCCCAUUUUGAUCAAAUCAAAUGGUUAAAUGUGGGCUCAUUUUGUGACAUGUUCUAAUGCUUUCUCUUAAUCCAUAUUAGAUCCAAUAAAAGCCCAAAAUUCUAAACCCAAAAUUGGUCUAGAAGUCCAUAAUCAUAUAUGAACCGGAACAUGUCCAAAAUGGUCAUUUUACGUGCUCGAUAUUGCAUAAUGUUUAAUGGAGGAUUUAUGAAAUUUAUUUUGUUCCUUAAACUAUUUAUGGAACAUCUAAAUUUCUAUCUUAAAUCAUAUUUAAGAUAUAUUUAUAUAUAUAUUCAUUCUCAAUGAAUUAUAAUAUAAAUAUUGAUUUUCCUAAAAUUAGGAAAUUUAACUUCUCAUUUUCUAGUAACUCCUUUUUCAUUUCUAUUUAGUGUGUGACCUUUUAGGUUCUUAGUUAUAAGGUAGUAGAACUAUUUUAAUGAUAACUCUGUAUUCAUUAAAUGAUGCUAAACUCUUUAGUCAUCAAUUAGAACUUUUCUAAUGACCUUAAGAUGCAUUGCUAAUACGCUUUACCAAUAUUGAUCUUAAGGUUUCUACAAGUCAUGAGUGACACCUAGCAGUAUAUCACAACUAUCCAAAUAACAAGAGUUGUUGGAUCUAUAGAACCUAUUCCAUUGUAUCUCUAUGUCUUGGUCUCUUCAUCAUCCAUGUCCAGAGAAAAGCACGGCUUAUGGUUCAUUAUGUUAAGCACUUAUGCUUUAUCUUAAAAUAAAUCUAAAUGAACUUGACAUGAAAAUAUAAUUUGAACUCCUUCAAAUAUAUUUCACCUUGGCCAAGGAUUUCUCAUGCCAAUUCAUAUUAUCUCAUAGGGACAUCCUUUUUGUAUAUUACAAAGUGAUGAAUUCCAUAUUGGCCAUACACUUGUCUUCAUACAUAGCCAACCAUGACAGCUAUUGCUAGAUCUCUUCCGUGAUUAGGAAUCAAUCAUUAUGCUUUCACAUAUCAGAGAUGUCUAUGUAUAAGACAUCUGUUAUGCCUCAGGUCUAAAGACCACUACUAAACAUAGUGUCUAUUACAAUGUAUAAUAAGCCAUUAACACUCAAAACCAUAUGGCUUACUAUAUUUGGUCAAGUUUAGUAAACUCGUUCUCUCAACAAGUACCUAUGUGUUUGACUUGACAUCUCAUGUCAAUGAUAUGAAACUCACCAUCCAUUUUAGUAUCACAUACCAUAAGGAGUCAUAACACAUACUAGUGUUUAUAGGAAUUUAUAAUGUCCAAUUAUAAAUCCACCACUAGGAACUAUUUUAGAAGUAUAGUACAAAGGAUGCACGUUUCAUAUUCUCGACAAACUCGAGAAUGUGUUCCUUAACUAUUUUACUUCUUGGACUAUAUUCAUUAAAUUAAUUUAUGAAUAUUGAUAACUUUGCCAUUUUAUAAAUAUCAAAAUGCUAUUCAAAUACAAUAAUUCCCUAAACAAACAAACACCAUUUGAUUGGCCUUUAGGGCAUAUUACUAACAUGGAUAUCUUAUGUUUGUAUACAAUCUAACAAUAACUAGUUGUUAAAUUAACAUUAAACAUAACAUUAUACGACCUAGACUCUAUUUACCCAACAAAAUGAUCUUUAUGUCUAGUUCUUCACUAAUUUUAGAUUAAGUAUGACUCUAUUCAAAUUGAGAUUUACUCAACUUGGGAAACCCAAUUUAAAACCACCUAUUGUCUUAAUUUGUUCCACUAAAUCAGACAUUUUUUAGGCUCCUUCUUAGCUAGUAUCCACUAAACGGGUGGUCAAUCGAAAUAGGAAUUUGCUAUAUGUAAAAUCAAGACAAAAUGACAUAGUUAGAUUCUAAGCAACAUACAUAUAUAUAAGUCAAAUAACUAUUAAGCUCAUUCAAAACCCAACUACAUUAAAGUUUAGCUCAUGAUGAGCUUUAAAACACUAAAAACAUAAGUAUGUGCCAUGAAAUACAUCAUUCAAGAGAAAAUACAAUAAACCAAAUAUAAGAAUGAAGUUGAGAUGCAAAAGGAUCAAGGUGUCAUGCUUCUGUUUUCAAGUUCUCUCCUUUUUCUCCACGAAAUACUCUCUGUUUUAGCUUUGAAAUUCCUUUGUGUCUUUUGCUUCUUUUUUUUUUUUUUGUGUUGACGGAAAAUCCCUCUUUUGUUUCUUUAAAAUGUGUCCUUUUAUAGCUUGGAAUUAGGGCAACCCAAAAAGGGCAUGAGGACACUUGCCUGUUCUUGGUAUUUUAGGACCACAUUUCUUUUUGUGCUACUCGCCACAUUUGCCAUUUUUGCCUGCACCUGAUAGUGGUAGUGCAAUAACGACUUUAGCAGAAUCUGUUAGAUAGCGUGUGUACAGCCCAGACAGUUUUGGUGUUUGUGAUGGUGCAGCACCUCCAGAGAUUUGUGCCCAUAUUCUCUUACUGGAGACUCUGAGAGUUGUGGCAGGAGACUUCUUGGGGUCUUCUUUGUCGUAGAUGGUCGAGGAGAUGCUGCUAAUUGCUUAAUAGUUGUGCUAGUAAUGAGCUCCUUCAAGCUCUUCUUUUCUUCUUCUGUUCUUGCAACCCUGUUAAUGACCUCUUCAAUAGACAUAUCAUAUUCAUCUUGUUCUUUUUCAUCUGAAUCUUUAUCAAGCAGGAUUUUCUGCUUUCCUUUGCUUUUAUCCCCUUCCUUUUCAUCCUCUGUCUCUUUUGCAUUUUCAUCCCCUUCACUCUCUUUUUCUUUUUCUUCUUCUUCUUCAACUUCAACUUCGUCCUUCUUUGGGUGCUGCUCUUCUUCUGAUUCCUCACCCCAUUCCUCUGCUACUGCACUUUCUUCAGUUGGUUCAUCUAUUCAAGUAGUCUCUGCUACAGUUUGAGAAUUGUAUUAUUGCAGCAAAGAUGUUGUGCAAAUUUUAUUGUACUCGCAAGCGCACAAAUCUAUUGUACAAUAGAUUUUGUGGUGACAAGUGUCAAUCUCACGAGGUGGUAGAUUUAAUUAUGUGUAGGGUUAAUUUUCUGGGUGUAAAUGUGAGUUGGUUGAAAGUGAAUUCUUUUUUAUCUUAACAUUUAAAAUUAAAAGGCAGAAAUGUGUUAAGGAUGAAAUAAAUGCAAAUGAAAUGCUUGAGUUUUUAGAUUCACACUCAACAUUCACCAUGUGCUUAAUAUUUCCUUUUUAGUUCUAAUUAAUUUAUGAGGUGGAUAUUUCCAUUCCUCAUAAUUUCCACUCUAAUAAAUAUGCUAUCAAGUGCUUAAUGUGCCAGAGGUAAUGAUCUUCCACUAAGUGUAGUGUAAAGAACACGUUAUGCCAGACAAUAAUAAUCCUUUUGUCGACAACGUGGCAAGACCAUCCACUAAGUAGCUUACAUACACUCUCUGUGGACACUCAGUCAAGACGACCUACAAAAUACUAGAGGGGAUUUUUUUGCUAAUUAAUAUGGUGUUAAGUACUCAUUGUGCUAGACAGUAAUGGUCUGUCACUAGAGAGCCGAUAUACCUUGCAAAAUCUAGACAUGAUAUGUUGUCUGUUAACAAUGAGUCAAAACAACCACAUAAAUCACAGAGAAAACUAAAAUAAACUUACCUAAUUAAGCCCAUGGAUCAUGUUGAGGCUUCACCUUCAACCCAAGCUUAAAACUAAAUUAGCCACUCACAAUUGAAUUAGGGGUAAAAUGAUAAUUUUAUUAAAAUACAUAGAGAAUGCAAGAUAGAGAGAGAAUUAUAGAAAAUAGAGCUAAAAAAUAAAUUCAGGGGCAUCAAAUUAAGGGAGAGCCCAUUAUUUAUAGAUACAAUAGGUAAAUCAUGGUCAUCAGAUGAAAAUAAUUCGGAUGAUUAGGAUUGGGCAACGUGACAAGCUUUAAUUGGUUGGAACACAUCAUCAGUCAACACCAGAUCAACAUUUCGGUCCAAUAAUAUGCUGCUACUUCAUAGGUCAACGCCACAUCAGUAUUUUGGUGCAAUAGCAUCCUACCACAUCAUCGGUCAACGCCACAUAAUCGGUCAACGUCACAUCAUCGGUCAAUGCCACAUCAUUGCUCUAAUACGAUGUUACCAUGUCAUCGAUCAAUGCUACAUCAUCAUACCCUUCUAUGAGCGAAAUCAAAUCCUAGCUAUUAUUGGAACUCAAACCCAAUUGGGCACAUGGGUUAUCAAUAGGCUACGAGCCCUUUAGUGUAUCAAGGGCCUUUUUUAUAUUGUAUUGCUACUUUACGCCUUACGGUGCUAUAAAAGAGUGAGUGUGAAAUUUAUAAAAUUCGGAUAUCCACAACUUACUACAAUAAUUUUAUAAAUUAGUAAAAUUAAAUAAUGGCACUACAACAAAUAUGACUUUUGAUAGCGCUAAAAAAAUGUUAUAUUAUCGUUAUUAUAGCAUUUAUUUAAUGUCGUGAUUGCCCAUGCUAUCUUUUCUCUAUAGCAUUUUUUAAAACCGCUAUCGAUGUAUAGCAGUUUUUAAAUGCUGUUAUAAAACUAUAAUAGCAUUUAUUUAACGUUAUCAAAUAUCAUGAUAGAGCGUUUUUUGGAGUGCUAUUUGUUUAUAACGUUUUUUAAAUGCUAAAGGAAUAACUGUUAUUUAAGUAAUUUAUAUCAUUUAUAUCAAUGUUAUAAUUUAGCCGAAGAGCUAUAGCAUUAGCCGAAACGCCAUAACAUGUUUUCAUGCUACAAACUGUUGAUAGCAUUUUAUGAAGUUUGGUAAUGCUAUAUUAAUCUUUUCUGGAAUGCUAUUGUGCUUGGUUAAUUUUGUAACUUUUUUUUUAACUUUAUAGCAUUUAUCAGAUAUUUAUUAAAAUAUAAGUGUGCAACCCAAGAGGGGGGUGAAUUGGAAUUUUAAAAUUUAUCCUAACAAAUCCACACAACAAGCAAUCUAAUGUCUUAACAAUAAUUGAAAACAAUAAGUUCAAUAAUAGCACAAUAAUUAAAGAGUAAGGGAGAAGAGAAACAAACACACGAAUUUUUACGUGGUUCGGCAAUCCCCGCCUACGUCCACGCCUCCAAGCGAUCCAAGCUCGAGGAUUUCACUAUCCAAGCCUUUCCAAGGCUUCAACGAUUACAAUUGACUUCGAGGUGUCAAUAAACCUUUACAACAAAGAGAUUAUCUCCCAAUCUCUUCACUCAAGUGUCUCACACACUCAAACUCUUACAAAUGAAUUGAAGAAAUGAAAGUUACAAUGAAACUCACUCAAUGAGUAGAUAUUCAAAGAUGAAGAACAAUGAAUGAUUCAAUGAUUUGUGUUUUGCAAGUUGAAGGCUCAAGAUAUCACGUGUGCUUUUUGUUUUUGCUUAUUGGAGAGCUUCAAAAUGAGUUGGAUUUGAGUUCUUAUAGUUUGAGCUCAAAAACUAGCCGUUACUCACAUUACAGGUGUAUCCGGUUUGCCGUUUAUGGAAUCCGGUAAGCCGGAUUUAUGUUACCGUUAAGGCAAAAAUUUGAAUUUUGCCUAUCUGGCUUGCCGGUUACGGAAUCCGGUAAGCCGUUUUCGUUUUGGACACUUGCUGCCCGUAUCCGGAUUUUGGAUUUUCAGAAUCCGGAUAGCCGCUUGCUACAGUGAAAAUUUUUCCUAAAUUUUUAGUUUGACCCCAAAACUUUAUAAAACUGUGGUAUGGCCCAAAAUGUUAUGAAACUUUGCAAAUAAGUCCAAUUUCAGAAUUUCUAAGUAAUGCUUUGUUAAUCCCAAAACUUUUUGAAAUUAUGAUUUCGCCCAAACUUUGUGAAAUUAUAGAAUGACCCAAAAACAUUUAAAUAGUUUCAAAUAGUUCCAAAUCUGAAAUUUAAAACACUAUCAAAGAUUUUGAAAUUACUUUCAUUUUAGUCCAAAAUGCUUUAAUUCCAUAACAUCAUUUUCUUAUUAUAAAAGCACAAUUCAUAAAUCUUUACUUAAUAAAUACAUGUGGUUUGUUAUCAUCAAAAUCAAUAUUUAUAGCCAUAUAGGCUAACAUUUAUAACAUAAUCGAAUAAAAUAUGAUUUAUAAUUAAAACUGACAAUUUUAACAAAAGGAAUAAACUACAUUUCAUUAAUUCAUGAACAACAAAUACCAUCAGGUAUUUUAGGAGUGAAAAAAUUAAUAUCAUACAUAUACAAAAACAAACUAAAGUUAAUGUCCAAAAGAAAACCUAGCAUUACAGUAAACAUCAUUCAAAACUGUGAAUGCCAAGUUUAUCAAAUACCAAUAAUCACUCUAAUAAUGAUAUAUACCAUUAGACCCAUCAAAAUCAUCUAACCAAAAUACUACCCUUAGACCCAUCAAAAUCAUCUAAUCAAAACACUAAGUCAAAAUAUUGUCUUCAAUUAAACUUUUAACCAUUCAUACCAAAAUUAAUCUUCCAUAACAAUAAUCGCUUCUGUUGGCCAUGCAAUUGAACUUCCCAAAGCAUCUUCUAUUGUUUCCAUAUCUGCAUAUUUUUUCCACAACUCAGCAGAAGGAUUUUUCACCUCAUCUACCCACACACGAGAAGCAUUUUUUCCAAGAGCUACACAAUGCACCAUUGCAUUAGGAUCAUUUGUUACCCAACGUCCUAUUGCAACUACUUCAUCUACUUCAAGCCAAUUCAACAACUUGCACUUUUGGCCUUUCCAAUUUGGGCUUACAUGCUGUACUCAUAAGCAAAACAAAGAAAACAACAUUUCUAAUUAUAAUUAAGUUAAUAGUUACUAAAUUAUUAAUUAUGACAACAUAAAUUGUUGUAUAAGUUUAAACUUUACUUGUGGAGUACUAUUAGAUUGAGUUGAUGUAGAUAGAUUUUGAUUUUGUCCAUCAUUUGAUGCUUCACUCUGUACAAAAAGAAAUUAAAAAAAGAAGUUGAUUUCACCAUUUUAUGAAAUUAAAAUUCACAAGUAAUUAACAUAACAUUUAAUAAGGUACUUGCUAUUACCAGUUUGCUCAUCAAACUUUGUAUGAGUUUGUUUUGAUCAUCCAUGAAACCUUGCAUUUGCUUCAUUGUGUCUUGUAAUGUGUCAAUUUGUUCUUGCAUUUUGGCUUCCUUCUUAGUUUGCUGAGAUAUUACCUCUAAUUUGGAUAGCGUCACUCCUGCUCCUUGACCUCUAACACGGCCUCCUUGCUCAGGUCCAAUAAACUUUGAAAGUAUAUCAUUUUUAACAGAUUUUGAUUGUGCUUCUGACAAAUCUGAAUUUUUUUCAGCUUCAUACAUUUCCUAAACUCAAGAAAGAGUUAUUUAUUAUAAUAUUUCCAAUAAUAAUUGCUAGCAUAUCUAAGUUAUUAUCAAUAAAUUUGACACAUACCUUCACUUCAACAACUUUUGAACUAGAUGGUUCACCAUUCUUUUUAGUAUGUGCUUUUAUCCAAACAUCAAUUUGAGUUAUUUCUUAUGGAUUUGAACUGUUUUUCUUCUGUAAUGAAAAUAUUUUUAAGUCAUAAUUAACUAUAUAUAUAUAUCUCAAAGUAAUAACAGACACUAGCUAGAUAACUACUAUAUUGUUUGAAUAUAAUUAAAGAUUUACCAUCUUAUCUUGCAUACGAGCAUAUCCCAUUCGACUUCCAGUAUAUGGAAUAUCUUGCUUCACCCUCAUUUCCGUAAAAACCUUGCUUUUAUCCUGUUUUAAUAUACAUUAAUUACAUCAUUCUAAAUAAAAUAAAAUAUGCAUGAAUGAAUGUUUCAGCUAGGACUAUAAGCAUACAUACCAUGAAGGCUUUUGAGGUCUUUUUUUUAAUAAAAGUUUCCCACUCGGCAGGUUUGACAUGACUAGGUCGAGCAUCCAACUUUUUUGUCAAUCUUGAUUUAUGUGCUCGCCAGACUUUUCCCAUCAUCUAUAGCGUAUACUUUUUGAUUGCAUCUCCUUCCAAAACAAAUUUUUGCUGAAUGUUUCAAGCAAAUAAAAAAUAACUAAUGUUAGUGUCAUGUUAUAAUUUGAACUGCACUCUAAAAAUAUAUGUGUACAUAUUUACCUCGAGUGCUCUCAACAACAAAGUUUUUUGCUGUUUUGGAACAUAUCUCCAAUCAUCACAGUUUAUAGACACAGCCUCCUUUACCAAACUACCAUAAAACGAUGAACAGAUGAUUUUCCAAUAGGUUGCCCCAAAUUAUUCAAUUCUAAGACUAUCUUCUUCCCAUCUUCAUUUGCUACAUCAUGACAUACAGUAGGGCCCCGUUUCUUCUUUGUCAAAUUCUCUUCAUUACAAGAUUGAUACGGAUUUUUGGAUGUGACAUCAUUGAGAUCUUCAUUAGUUAAGUGUGUCUCGGUAAUAGGCGCAUCACUAGACUCAAACCUACUUGAUAGACUUUCCUUCCUUUUUCUUUUGGAAGCUUGUCGAGAACUCUAUUGAUCAUAUAUAAAAUGAAUUGGCAUAAUUUCUCAUUUUUAACAUAUAUAAAUAUAGUAAUCUUCAAAACAAUAUUAAUUAUUUACCUCUGGGGCACACAUGGUACAUCCCCAAUGUUCCUGAAAUACAGGGCAACUUCAAAAAAUAACAAAAUAUUCUACAAAAACGAUAUUAACAUGAAACUACUUUUAAAUGAAAGCUACUUAAGUCUAGAAUGCAAUAAUAUUCAUGAAUCACUCUAGAGUAUAACGGAUCAAUACAAUUUAUUCAUUGUUUCCAGGUCUGUCAGUAAGUUCUUUGUCAGCGUUCUUAAAAUACAUGGUCGAAUUCAAAAAAUCACAACAAAUUCUAGAAACAUGAUAUUGACAUGAAACUAAUUUUAAAUGAAAGCUAAUUAAAUCUAGAAUGCAAACAUAUUCAAGAAUUACUCUGGAAUAUAACCGAUCAAUACAGUUUAUUCAUUGUUUCCAAGUCUAUCAGUAAGUUCUUUGUCUGUGUUCUUAAAAUACAGGGUCGAAUUCAAAAAAUCACAACAAAUUCUAGAAACAUGAUAUUGACAUGAAACUAAUUUUAAAUGAAAGCUAAUUAAAUCUAGAAUGCAAACAUAUCAAGAAUUACUCUAGAAUAUAACCGAUCAAUACAAUUUAUUCAUUGUUUCCAAGUCUGUCAGUAAGUUCUUUGUCAGUGUUCUUAAAAUACAGGGUCGAAUUCAAAAAAUCACAACAAAUUCUAGAAACAUGAUAUUGACAUGAAACUAAUUUUAAAUGAAAGCUAAUUAAAUCUAGAAUGCAAAAAUAUUCAAGAAUUACUCUGGAAUAUAACCAAUCAAUACAGUUUAUUCAUUGUUUCCAAGUCUGUCAGUAAGUUCUUUGUCAGUGUUCGUAAAAUACAGGGUCGAAUUCAAAAAAUCACAAAACAUUCUACAAAAAUGAUAUUGACAUGAAACUAAUUUUAAAUGAACGCUAAUUAAGGCUAGAAUGCCAAAAUAUUCAAGAAUUACUCUGGAAUAUAACCGAUCAAUACAGUUUAUUCAUUGUUUCCAGGUCUAUCAGUAAGUUCUUUGUCAGUGUUCUUAAAAUACAGGGUUGAAUUCAAAAUAUCAUAACAAAUUCUACAAAAAUGAUAUUGACAUGAAACUAAUUUUAAAUGAAAGCUAAUUAAGUCUAGAAUGCCAAAAUAUUCAAGAAUUACUCUGGAAUAUAACCGAUCAGUACAGUUUAUUCAUUGUUUCCAGGUUUGUCAGUAAGUUCUUAAAAUACAUGGUCAGCUUCAGAAAAUCACAAACAAUUAUACAAAAAUGAUAUUGACAUGAAAUCACUUUUAAAUGAAAGCUACAUAAGUCUAGAAUGCAAAAGUAUUCAAGAAUCACUCUAAAAAGUACCCAACCAAUACAGUUUAUUCAUUAUUUCUAGGUCUGUCAAUAAGUUCUUUGUUAAUGUUUUGGAACUACAGCAUCAACUUAAAAAAUAUAAACAAUUCUGCAUACAUUAUCUUAACAUGACAAAUACAAAAGUUUGCUAGGUACGAGUGUUUCCAUACCUAAUAAAAGUGAUCGCACAGAAUUGCUGAAAUGAAUCAAAAUAUAUCCUCGUACGACAUGCUUUAUAAUGAACUGCAUAAAAGAAAAACAUUUAAUUAGCUUACUAAUAUGUACAAGAAACUAGAAUAAAUUAUUUAUAAAUUUCUUAUUGUAAUCAAAACUACAACAGAAUAUGUAUUACAGUUACCAAAGAAAGUUAAAUAUAGAUCCCUUCACAAUUCUCUCUGCGGGAGCUACCAUCUUCAACCUUUAUAUUGUUAUCAAGCCUUGAUACAUCUAAUGGUCGUAAGGUUGUAAUACAAUUUUCAGCAUAAUUAUCCAACUCAUGAAAUCCUCUUGGAGGUGCUCUCAAUACAACAUACCAACUAGACGAAUCAUUCUCCCUUGAAUAGAACACUUGUUUUGCUUGAGAUGCUAAAAUAAACGAGUCCCUUGCAAACUGAUGUUGUCCUUGAUGCAGAUUAACCAAAGUAAAUCCAUCCUCAAAUUUGACACCAUUUCUAAUGUUAGCCCAAUUACAGUCAAACAAUGGAAUUUUCAGAGUAUAGUAGUCAAGCAACAAAAUAUCUUUUAUGACACCAUAAUACGUAAUUGUAUCGAUGCAACUAUUUGUAUCUUUUGAGCUAGAUUGACAAACUGUAACUGACUCAAUUAAAACACCACUAUUCUGUGUAGAUUUCUCAACAUCCUUUAUAUGAUAACGCUAAUCAUUGAUGAUGUAUGCAUUAUAGCUCACAGCUUGCCUUCGAGGACCACAUGCAAGGCAUUUUAAUGUCAUUGAGAUGUCGUUUAUAUUUUCUUCCUCAAUCUGUUUAGAAAUUAAAAAAUAUCAAUUAAUGGGAGUUCAAGAAACAAAAUAAAAUAAAGCAUAGAUCCCACAAUGCUACUAUAUUGGAACCUUUUGUCCAAACCAACUGGAAAACUCUUCUGAAUGUCUCUUCCAAAGUAAACCUUCAUUUCUUGAGAGUCUCUUAUCCGAAUGUUUUAACUCAGCUAAGUGCAAACUAAAAGAAAGGAGAUAAUUAAAAAAGGUGAUUACCGGCUUCUCAUCUAAAGAAAUUUUAAAUUAAAAGACUUACUGUAAAUAUGGUUCUACUUCAGCUAUAUUAAAUAACACAUAUCGAUGAGCACUUUCCAAUCACUCAUCUGUUAACUCAAUUAUUGAUCCUUUAGAGAUUGGUCGGCCUUCAAGUAUCAUACCAUGCAUGUACUCUUCAUUUCUCCUCUGGUGGCAAUCCAUAUCUGCUACUUGCUUUAUGCAUCUACUAAAAUAACUCAUGCAUUCAUCGGCAAGAUAGCAUUUAACAAUACAACCCUCUGGUCUUGCACGAUUCCUAACAUAUCCUUUUAACUUCUUCAUUUCUCUAUAAAUACAAUCAAACAUUAUGUCAACAAAAAAGGCUUUUUUACUUAAACUAACACAAAAGAAUUAUUAAUUUAUAUAUAUUGACAACCUUUCAAACGGAUACAUCCAACGAUAUCGAACCGGCCCACACAAUCUUGCUUCACAUCCUAAGUGGAUUGGCAAAUGAACCAUUAUAUCAAAGAAUGUGGGAAGAACAAACCUUUCAAACAUGCACACAAUUUCAACAAUAUCCUCCUCAAGUGCCUCAAGUUUCUCUCGGUCAAGGACUCUUUGACACAAAUCAUUGAAAAAUACACAUAACCUGAAUAUUGCAUUCCUUGGUCCUUUUGGAAGUAAGCCUCGUAAAGCUACAAGCAACAACUGUUGCAUUAACACAUGAAAAUCAUGAGACUUGAGGCCUGAAAUUUUACAAUCUUCCAUUGAAAUACAACUCCCAAUGUUUGAACUAUAACCAUCAGGCAAUUUCAAAUAUAACAAUCUUUUGCAGAAGAUUUGUUUUUCUACCCUUGAUAAUGUAUGUGGUGUUGGUGGAAGAAAAGUACUCUUUUCACGCACAUCUGGAUGUAAAUCUUUCCUUAUUUUUAAUUCCUUCAAAUCCAUACGAGAAUGAAGGCCAUCCUUUGAUUUUCCCUUUAUAUUGAGCAGAGUCCCAACUAUGCUAUCACAUACAUUCUUCUCUAUAUGUAUCACAUCCAAAUUAUGACGCAACAAAAGAUGCUGAAAAAUCAAGAACAAUAAGAGUAUCAUGAGGAAUUUAUUUAGGCAUUAUCAACAUAAUUACAGAAAAUUUAUUCAAUAGAAUCAUACCUGCCAAUAUGGUAAGUCAAAAAAUAUUGACUUUUUUUUCCACACCGAGUAUUUUUUUAUCUUCCUUUUGUUCUUUCUUGAACUUUUUCCCCAAUCAUUUUCUAUGUCUUUUACCUCAUUUAAAAUUUGCGUUCCAGACAUUAUUCUUGGUCUUUCUUCAAGUUCUUCAUGACCAUCAAACCACGACUUUUUGAAUCGAAGGGAAUGGCCAGAAGGAAGGAAGCGUCUAUGACCCAUAUAUACAGUUUUUUUACUGUAUUUUAACCUUUUUGAGCAUGUAUUAGAACUGCAUAUAGGACAAGCUGCCUUACCUUUUGUGGCACAUCCUGCCAAGUUGCCAUAUGCAGGAAAAUCGUUAAUUGUCCACAUCAAAAUUGCUUUCAAGUUGAAAACUGUCCUAGUGAAUGCAUCAUAAACCUCUACACCAUUCUCCCAUAGCUGUUGUAGAUCAUCUAUUAGCGGUUGUAGAUAAAUAUCUAUGUCAUUACCAGGUUGUUUAGGCCCUGAUAUCAACAAUGUCAACAUUAUAAAAUCUUUUCUCAUGCACAACCAUGGUGGGAGAUUGUAAGUCACUAACAUUACUGGCCAGCAACUAUAUGUUGAACUACGAAUACCAAAAGGAUUAAACCCAUCCGCUGGUAGACCUAACCUUAGGUUUCUAGGAUCUUUGGAGAAUGAAGGCCAUUUUUUAUCAAUUGUCUUCCAAGCUAAGCUAUCCACUGGGUGCCGCAUUUUAUCAUCAUUACUUUUAUGAUCAUAAUGCCAUCUCAAUUGUUCUGCCAUUUUUUGUGACUCAAACAUCCUUCUAAACCUUGGUAUUAUGGGAAAAUAAGUCAACACUUUUGCUGGACUUCCUUUAUGAAUCUUUUUAUUUCGACCAUCUAACUUCCAUCUAGAAGAUCCACAUUUAGGACAGGUUUCACUUUUCUCUAGGUCAUUUCUAAACAAGCAACGGUCAUUAACACAAGCAUGUAUCCUUAUACAAUCUAGUGAAAUGGUUUCAAUAACAUUUCAACUGAACGAGUAAAAUUCGGAAUAGUAUUUAAUUCAGGUAACAUAUCACACAAAAUCUCCAAGAGGUUAUCAAAACUCUUAUUUGAGUAUCCGUACAUAGUCUUGUGCUUAUAUAAGACAGCCGCUGCAGAUAACCUAGUGUACUUUGAGCAACCUGGGUACAAUGGGAUUUCAGCAUCUUCUACAAAAUUCAUUGGGCAGUUAUCUUGCUGCUCAUCAACAUUUUCAUGAAUACCUCUAUAAUGGUCAUCUACAUCUCUAGACAUGCUAUAUGUAUUAGUCAUUUCGACAUCUAUACCUUUUUUCCCUAACUGUUCCCCAUGCCAUAUCCAAGUAGUGUAAGACAUAUCCAUCCCGUCUUUCAACAAAUGCAAUACAAUUGUUUCACCAUUUUGAUGACAUAGGUUUUGACAUUUUUUACAUGGACAUCUCACUAAACCUUGGUUUUCUACAUUUAAUGUUGCAUUUUCCACAAACUUUUUUACUCCUUCACGAUAUUCUUUUGUAUUUCUACAAAUAAACAUAAAAUAUCAAUUAAAAUUAAUAACAUUAUAAGAAAAUAGUAAAUACAUAAUUGUUAUUUGGUGAGUUAAAACAUUUUAAGUUGAACCCAAGUUUUGUCCAGCAUCUUAAAGUCCUCACUUGACCUGAGACCAUGGAGCCAUGAAAUAUAUAAAAAAGAAAGGAUAUUUUUAUUAUUUUUACACCUAAAAGGAAAAAAAAAUGCAAGUAAUAGAAAGCUUAAAGCUUUGUAUUAUUUUUAUUAUUCAUUUUGAUAUUUUAAAGCACGUAACAAGCUUAAAGCUUUGUACAUACCUGAUGGAUUGAUUUGAGAAGAUGAACUAGCUACUUUUGACCGAUUAGGAAAAGGAAAAAAGAGAAAGUUUAGAGCUGCAAAGAGAAAAAGAUGAAAGGGAUUUGGAGAAAAAGUAAUAGAAAGCUUUUGGGCUUUUUCUUGGGAUGGGAAGAAUGGGCGCCAAUAUAGAAAAGUUAGCGCCAUUUUAGAGAUUUUUUUUAUAAUAAAUUCUAUAACACUUUAUAAAAAGUUAUAAAGUAACUUUUCAAUAUUUAUUUUAUAAUUUCUUUACAAUCACGCUAUCUUAAGUAUAUAUUUAUUUAGCAUUUUAAAAAAAUGUCAUAAUAAAAUGUUAUAAUAUGGGCGCCAAUCUAAUGAAAUUUGGUGUCUAAAAAAGCAUUUUUUAAUGAUUUUUUUUUAUUUCUAUAGCAUUUUAUAAAUGUUGUAAUUUAUUUUUUCCAAUAACUUUUACAAAAAAUGUCAUAAAAACUAUUAAGUAACAAUUUAUUUUAUAACUUAUUUUACAAAAUGCUAUGCUAACUAACGUUUUUAUAACUUUUAAAAAAUAUGUCAUAAAAGUAAUGUUAUACAUCUAAUAAAAUUUUAGUUUAAUAGCAAUUUUUAUGAAAAAUGCUAUAAAAUGUAUUAUUUUGAUGACAUUUGAUAUAAAACGCUAUAAAUUAGUGCUAUAACAAGUCAUAUUUGUUGUAGUGUGGGAAUAUUACAAGCAGACCAUCAUUAUUUUUAUUUUGCAUGCAGUUGAUCCAAAUAAAUGCCUACUUGAAUAGCUUACCUCUCAUUUAAUUUAUACUCUAUCUAUUCCUAUCUAUUAAAUUAAAAUCAAGAAUCUAAGUAGCAUAUUUUAGAAAAAAAUUUACCAUUAUCGCCGAGAUCUACAUCAUAGUUACAAAUAAAUAAGAGAUAUGCUACAUACAUAAUUUUUUUAAUUUGGGAUUAAAGUCUUGGAAGAGCUUAUGAUGUCAUAAACAUAUUUUUACAAUGUUUUAAAUUCAAUUAUGACAUCAUAAAUCAAUCUUGAAUUUUAAUUUCAGUAUAAAGCGAAGUCAUGCUACAUAUACCUGUUACUGGGAUACACUGUUUAAAUCCAAAAGUAAUGAAACAUAUGACAUGUCAUCAUUUAUUAGGUGAUAUAAUAUUAUCACAUUAAUUAAGAAAAAUAGAUUCAACCAAUACUAGAUACAAUUGUCACUAUUCUUAAUUUAUGGUUCUUCUAGGAACUCCUUAAUUAAAGAAAAAUAAAUAGUGGCCAUUUAAAUAUUAAAAAAUUACUUUUUUUAACGAAGUGAACAUUCAAAAUUAAAAAAUAGCAGUUUAUAGAAAACUUAUCAACUUAUUCACUUUCUCUCUCAACGGUUUAAUGCCAUUAAGAAGUAAGACUUAUCUGGAAAAGUUAUAAGGACCCACUAGAGAAUCGAUCGCAUCAUCUCUAAAAUCGAUUACUAUAAUUAUUCAACUAAUUGAAAAACAUAACUAGAAAAAUAAAAUAGGAAUAAAAUUAAAAAAUAAAAUAAAUAGAAAAAGAAAGAAAAUUAAAGAGAACUCACAAGAGUUGAAGCAGGAAGAGGCAUCUCAAACCCCUAGAUGGGAUGUCAGAAAGAAUAGAAUGAUACAUGUGACCUGAGGAUCAUGACUACUUAUAAAGAUAACUUUUUUCUAUUGGCUUCAGGUAUUCUUAUUUCAACCAGUCAGAGAAAUAGAAAUUACUCUUAAGUCUCUACACAUUAAAAGUCAACACCUUAUUAAAUACAUUAAAGCCUAUAUUAUUGUAGACCUUAAUAGAUCACUUUUAAUUGAGUUUAACCAUAUACGACAGUUCGCAACACAUAAUUAUUCACAUAUAAGCCCAACAUUAGAUUAAGGAUCUAACAAUGCUAGAUUAAAAAAUUCAACAAUCUCCCAUUUGGGCUAUAUAUGUAACCGUAUAAUUAGGCUUUGUGAAAAUAAUUGUAUGAGCUCAACAUUACUAUUAUUAUCGAAAUGUUUCUAUAACCAAUCAAGUCUAUCAAUUAUACCAACAUAGGAUCAAAGGCGGCCUUUGUUACAACUACUAUAACUCGAUCCAGGCAUGGUCACUAUGCCUAGAACUAAAAGACAUGGAUUAUAAUGUUGAUGUGUAGCAUAGAAAUUUCAUGCAAUGUGAUCUUAACAUACUUAUUUCCAACUGGUUUACCUUAAACAUCAGUGAGAUCAAAGCAUAUUAAAAUUAGAGUGUGAAUAAAUCAAAACUUUAUUUCUACAGAAAAUAACCUGAAAUAUCGAUAAACUGAAAUAACUGAAAAAUGUCUAUAUUAUAUAAGAAUCUAAAAUCGCAAUCUCCAACUAAACUAAAUAUCCUCUAAUAACAUGACACCCAUACAAGUAGCGUGCUCAUGAAGUAUCUUGGGUAGCAAUACCUUAGUAAGUGGAUCCGCAAUCAUAGAGUUUAUGCUCACAUGCUUUAUACACAACUAUCCAUUCUAAAUUCUUUGUUUAACAACUAGGAAUUUUAUGUCUAUAUACUUUGACUUCAUCAAGCUCUUGUUGUUAUUGGAAUAAGGCAUUAUUGACUUAUUGCCACAAGAUAACUUAAGUGAUCUAUCUAUACCAUCUAUUAUUCAUAGUCCCAUAACAAAAUUUAUUUUGCAGCUAUAUUCUGUGAUUGGAUACUUCAUAACAUGCUAUGAACUUUGUUGCCAUUAUAGAAGAGGUUGUAAAAGACUGUUUAACAUUCUUCCAAGAGACAACAACCCUAACUAGAAGAUAGAUGUAGUCCGAUGUGGACUUCAUACUAUCUUGGCAUCCAGCAAAAUUGGAGUCAAUAUACCCCAACGAUCUCAAUCAAAUCUAGCCUCUGAUAUUUGAGCAUGUGGCCUUUUGUUUUCUCUUCAGAAUCAUUUUGAUAUAACUUUUUUGUGAUAAUUCAAGAAUACCUUAGGAGCGAUUCAGGUGUAUCUAUAUGCCUAAUACAAAAUAGGCUCACCAAGAUCUUUCAUCUUAAAAUUUUAGCUAGAAAUCUCUUAAUGUCGUGCAAUAAGCCUACAUUAUUACUGGCACGCAAAAUGUCAUCGAUGUAUAAAACUAGAAAAAUAUACUUGCUCACAUAGAACUUAUGGUUUAUGAAAUCAUUGACCAAAUUCAUCUCAAAAUUGAAUGAGAUAAUCACUUGAUGAAACUUGAAAUAUCAUUGUCGAGAUGCUUGCUUGAGUUCAUAAAUGGAUUUCUUAAGCUUACAAAUCAUAUUUUUUGGGUUUCUUGACACAAACUUUCUGCUUACACGAUAUAGAUAUUCUCAUAAAUGUCACCAUGGAGAAAUACUAUCUUCACAUCCAUUUGAUGUAUAAGAUUGAAUCCUUAAAGAGUCUUUCAAAGAAAUCGGAGAGAAGUUUUCUUUAUAGUCAAUGCCUUCGUUAUGUAUAAAGCCCUUUCCGACAAGACACACAUUGUACUACUCUACAUUGCCUUUCGAAUCUCUCUUGGUCUUAAAUAUGUAUUUGCAACCAAUAGGUUUCACACCUUCUGGUAAUGGGAUAAGAUCUCACACGUCAUUGUCCUUCAUAGACUUCAUCUCCUCAUUCACGCCAUCAAUCCACUUCUGAGAGUUAGAACUUUCUAUGGCUUAACUGUAAUUGAUUAGAUUAUCUUUCGUCACUCUAAUGUUUACCUCAUGCUCUUGGAAAAAACAAUGUAGUCAUCUGGCAUUGCACUUCUCCUUUCUCUAGCAAACCUCCUUAAUAGAGUAGGUUCUUAAGAUGGUAAAGUUUGUUCUUCUGGAGCAACUUCUUGUAUAGGGGAAUGAGACCCUGAUAAAUGCCAAUAACAUCUAUAGGAAUAUCAACAUAUCCCUAUUCAAAGACAAAGUCCCUAGCUGUAUCACACCCGCAAACUGGACAUCCUUAAAGAACUAAGCAUUUUCCAACUCGAAAAUCAACUUACUCAUGGAGUCAUAAAACUUGUACCUCCUGGAUCUUUCAGAGUAUCCAAUAAAAAUAACAACUCAUUCUUUCACGUUAGGCCUAUAAGGCCUUGCCUCAACUAGACAUCCCAAACAUGCAAGUGUUUUAGAUUAGAAUUUUUGCUCGUCUAAAGCUCGUAAGGGGACUUGAUAGUCGCUUUAGUUGGAACCCUGUUAAGGAUAUAUAAUAUAGUUUUAAGCACUUAAAAUUUAGAAAAAUUAUAAGCCGCAUGCCCUAACUUUACAUGUUAUGAAAAAUAUAACAAAAGUUUGAGUUUAUUUGAUUUUCCACCCUAAGUUUGUAAUUUAUAUCAAUCAUUCAGCAAAAUGUUCACACCGCUAGAAUACUUAACAAAAUUUAAGUAAAAUGGCAAUUCUCCCUUGAAUUCAAUGGAAUUUUUUACUUUGCACCAUAAAUAAUAAAAAUUAAUUUAGCUUUUUUUUACUUAAGAAAAUGAAUUGGCUAAAUAGAUUGGGUGUCCACGAAUUUAAGGAAAACAUUAGAGUUUUAAGUGUAUUUAAUUGAAUACUGGUUAUCACAAUUUUUUUUUUAAAUUUAAACUUUUAUUUUAUUUUGAAAAUUUAGGAUGAAAAGUUAAAACAAAUUGAAAAUUUUGUAAUAUUUUUUAUAACAAGGUAAACUUAGGGUGUACGGCUAUUAAUUUCACAUAAUAUAAUACUAAAAGACAUCUCUAUAUCAACAUAGCCAAUAGAUCUGCUAGUAACAUGUUUUGAUCAUCUCUUGUAUAUGUUUACAUCAUUUUUUGUUUUCAAAUUCUUGCUGCGAUUUUUGAAUUAAAAGACAGGGCUCAUGUUGUGCCUCCCUAGACAUAUGCUUUAUAAUUUCUUUGCUACUUUAAUUUUUCAAUAAACUCGUCGCUUGACCAGGCCAACUUCAGUUAAAAAACUUGUUCUUUUAAGAAUAAACAUAUAUACCAUGCAAAACAAAAUGACGAAACCAUCAACAAAGACACAGGAAUCAGAUCUAAAUUCCGUUAAAUUUACUCUAAGAGAAAAGAUAAGGGUAUUGACUUCUAACUCUAAACUAAAUCUUUGACUUUCUCAUUAAAUUACGCUUUCCAUAGCUUGGAAUUUGUAUUAAAUCUUCUAAUCAGGAUGUUUUGUUUUUUUUUUGGGGGGGGCGGGGUGGUGGGUGGGUUACAGCACACAAAGCAGAAUCUGAUAAUCCGCUCAUGUCUUAUGGGCGGCCAUCGGCUUCUCGAAUCGGACAGUCAAAUCCAACCAACAUGCUGUCCGUCAAUUAGCUAUACUAGCCUAAUUCUAUAAAUUUGGUCUCAUAAGGGAUAUUUACAUGCAACAACAAAAGAUAAGAACAAAAAAAUAUAACGAUAUAACAAUGAGAAGCACGUUAGUCUUACCCUCGCUGAUCCUUCUCCUUGCCUUCACUGCAACGCCAUUGCCUGUCAAGGGCAAUGCUCAACCUGAUCCGGUGCUGGACAUCUCUGGUAAGCAGCUCCGAGCUGGCAGUAAGUACUACAUCUUGCCCGUUACAAAGGGCAGAGGCGGCGGGCUUACACUUGCUGGCAGAAGCAACAAUAAGACAUGUCCCGUAGAUGUUGUUCAAGAGCAGCAUUCAUUUAAAAAUGGUUUUCCGGUAACAUUUUCGCCCGUUAACCCUAAAAAAGGCGUUGUUCGUGAGUCCACUGACUUAAACAUCAAAUUUGACGCUGCAACAAGUUGUGCGCAGUCCACAGUGUGGAAGCUUGACAAUUUUGAUGCGGCAUUUGGGCAGUGGCUUGUGACAACUGGGGGAGUUGAAGGCAAUCCCGGCCCCAGAACCAUGAGAAAUUGGUUUAAGAUUGAGAAGUUUUUUGGUGAUUACAAGCUUGUCUACUGUCCUUCGGUUUGUAAUUUCUGCAGAGGUUUGUGCAGAGAUGUUGGCAUUUUUAUUAAUGGUGGGGUGCGGCGUCUGGCUUUGAGUGAUGUUCCGUUCAAAGUUGUGUUUAAAAAGGUUUGAAGAUCGAACUGCUGAGAGCUCCGCAAAUGCUUCCAAUUAAAAAUAAAGUUUGUUUUCUUUUAAGGCUGUACGCAUGCUUUAAUAAAUGAAUAAAUUAAGUUGUAAUAAUAAAAGUUGCAUCAAUGUUGCAUGUCUAUGAAAAAUAAAUACUUUUUUUCUUCACGUGGCUAUUUUGGUUCAUCAUUUUCCUGAUUGGUGUCAACAUUUUCAUUUUAAAUUACGAAGGAGAUUAAAUCAUUGUGAUAGUUCAAUUCCAGUAAGAAAAAAUUAGGCAUUAAUUUCUUGUAAUGCAGGAUUUUGAUUUGAGGGGAGCCAUAAGAAUCUAUGAACUUGACUCGAUUAUAGCAUAAAAUAUGUAGAAUUAAAGAAGCCAACCAUGGGACUGUAAUGGAUAAACCAUACAUAGAUGAUAUACAGAUAAUUUUUUUUAUAAAAAAAGAGAUUAUUAGUUUUCUCCUUACUAAAAUAAACAUAUAUAUUAUUUAUUUCUAUAUUAUUUUUAUAAUAAGUAAUAACCACUACACACCAUUAUUUAGUAAUAUUAUUUUAUUUUGUUUUAUUUUCGAAUACACUUUUUUUAAAUUUAUUAUAAAUUAAGUAAAUCUUAUAAAUUGAAAUUAAAAUAAAUUAAAUAAAUUGAAUUAAAGUUUGUUUCGUUUUAAAGUUAUACGCAUGCUUUAAUAAAUGAAUAAAGUCGUAAUAAUAAAAGUUGCAUUGAUGUUGCAUGUUUACGAACAAUAAAAACUUUUCUUCGUGUUGGUAUUUUGCUGUUCAUCAUUUUCCUGAUUAGAGCCCACAUUUUUGCACCAAAUAUAUUUCAUGUGUUCCAUUUGAUCUAUCUUCUUCAUCUGCAAAUCAUUGGUGGUGAUUGAUUAUUUAUUAUUAUAUCAUAUUCAGAGAGUAAAUGGUAAAAUAAGAAAUACUAAGGACGACUGAUAUAGGAGAGUGGAUUAUUUCGGAGUUUAGCAUUUUAUUUUCAAAAUAAAAUUCUGAUUCUUUGCUUCCUAAGGAAUUCAUAUUCAAAAAGUAAUAUUUGUUAAUUAAGAUUCUUAGUCAAAUUUAUAAUUUUAAAUUUAAUACAAAAAUCAUUAAGUGGUAACACUAGUUUUGUAAUUAACUGAUGAAUAAGACAAAAAUAAAAGUAUGAUUAUAGAUGAACAAAUUAAACCAAUCAAAAUUCGAUUAGAUUCAUUUGUUACUUAAAGAUAAAGGAAUCAAAUCAAAAAAUAAUUUAUAUUAUUAUUCGUUUAAUAAAUAGAUUGAAUUUAAAUUCUAAAACUUUACAACAAGUUAUUUAGGAUUUGACACAAAUUCAACCCAUCAACCCAUUUUGCCCCCUUUAAAAGAUGGCAUUCAAAAAUGUAAGAGGAGUGUUAUUAAUGGAUGGGGAUGUUGUUUUCGAGAUAUCAAACACGCCUAGUACUUUUGUUAAGCAUAUAAUAAAGCAUUUUCUUGUUCAUUGUCAAUUCUCAUAAACAUACCAACCCGCGCAUGCGCGCGCGCGCGCACACACACACACACACAUACACACACCAUCUACCAAUAUCUAGUUCGUCGAGCGCCAUUUGAUCAAGCUACUUCAAUCUAUCAAUGGCAAGUAUCCAUCCAAAUGUAAAUUCAUAAUUAGCUAUGAUGGAUAUGUCCAUAUUCAUAUCUAAUUUUUAAAAUUUGAUAUGGAUAUGGAUAUGAAUAUCCGCGGAUAUUUAAUUUUUAUCAUAUGAAAAGAAAGCAAAAAAAUAUGAAACAAAAAAUAAUAAUAUAAAAUAGUUAAAUCACUAUCAGAUUUUAAUACUAAAUUAGAAAUAAUAAACAUCCAAAUAACAAAUAUCAUAACUACAAAUCCACAAAAAAGAAACUAUCAUUUGAAAUUACAAAUUAAUUUCAAACUAAAAAACAAAAAAAUUUAUUCUUCUAAUAAGGCUUGUUUGUAAUGACUUACAAUUAAGCUUUCAAUCUCGAAUCUUAUCAUCAUCAUAAAUCUGCAAAUUAAUACAAUUAAAGCAUUAAAUAAGUAAAUAGUUUGUAUUAUGUAUGACCAUGAUAGCAUCAUAAUGAGCAUCAAGUGCAUACACAAAAACAGAAAAAAUAAGCACUAUUCAAAACAUGUGUUAUGUCUCCUAUUCAUCAUUAUUAUUAAUCACUUCUCUAUUUAUUUCUUCUUUAUUAUCAGCUUAUCUUUAGGAAUUCCAUUUUUCUUUUUUCUUUUUUUGGUUAAAAAAGCUGAAAGUGGUUUUGAAAUAGAAUGUAAACAAAUGUUAUCAAACUUAAAUAAAGUGUGGAACUCAUAUGAGUUUGAUACCUUUUAUUUGAACUCAUAUCUAAUUCUAAGCACACACUAAAGUCUCUAAUAUAUUAGGAUGAAGUCUACUGCGAUAUGGGAUUAAAAAUCAACCACCCAUACUAAAUUCUACUACAUGUGUUGGCAUGGAACAUCAAAUCUUGCACUCACAAAUAUUGACCAAAGUGUUGUUUACGGAAUAUUUCAAAUCCACUAUUCAUCAAAUUAUACACUCACAAAUAAAAGUAAUUUAAACAAUAACCAUUUUUACCUAGUAAGUAUUAGUUUACAAGAAAUGGCAGGUGUUUGAAAUGAAUUUUUAGUCCAUAAAAUUUAUUUAGCCCAUAAAUUUCAAAAAUAAUUUCUACAUAUGAAUUAUGUCGAAUUAUCCAUAAAUUAACAUGCGAACGCCAAAUUAUCAGUAUAUUUCAAAUGUUUCAUUUAACUCAAGCAAAGAAGAAAACUUCCACAGUUCACGCAACAUUUGGACCAUCAAUUGAUAUCAAAACACAGACAUAAAAUAAAAGCUAACACAUGCAGUUAUUAAUGCACUGAGAGAAAGAUAAAAAGAAAGAUAUGUUAAAUAAGAAAAAGAAGAAGCUGUAACGCUGAAGAGAAGAUAGCAAAGUCGGGAAUAAACUAAUAUCAAUGUCCCGUGAAUAAGCAACAACCGGUGUGAUCAAUGGCUCGCGAGCAACUAGUAGCUGACGUGUGAAGUAAAAAGAGAUAACCUAGGAUUUGCUAAAUAAAAAAUAGAAAAGGGUAUGACAUUCGGGUAAAUGAAUAUUAUGCCAAAUAUAAUUCUUCACUUCGUUUUAAUUUUAUAAAAUAUUACUUUUUAGCCCAAUCAGAUAAAUGAAUUCACAUCUAAUAUUCAGAGCCAUCCAAUAUCUAAUUAUAUAUUUUUUUUUAAAUCAUAUCCAUAUCCAAAAUGCAUCGGAUAGAUAUUAUCUAACCCAAUUAGAUUGGAUAUAUAGAUAUCCAACUUGGAUGGAUCAAUUCAUCAUCCCUACUCCAAUCCCUUUUAAAGACAAAUUCAUUAAUAUUGUAGUCCGUUUGGGCUAAAAAAUGGGCCUAAACAUUAAUAAAUAAAGGAAAAUUAUUUACUAUAUAUACUAAGUUUACCUUACUAUAAAAAAUAAUACAAAAAUUUGAAUUUAUUUGAUUUUUCACCCUAAGCUUGUAAAUUGUAUUACCGCCCACCAAAAUGUUAACACUAUUAUAAUAUUCAAUAGAAUCUAAGUGAAAAGAUAAUUUUACCCUUGAAUUCAAAGGCAUUUUUGACUUUUCACUGUAAAUAAUAAAAUAAAACUUAGAAAAAUUAUAAGCUAUAUACCUUAAGUUCACCAUGUUAUAAAAAAAUACGAUAAAAAUUUGAAUUUAUUUGAUUUUCCACCUUGAGUUUGUAUACGGCUAUAAUUUACAAACUUAGAGUGGAAAAUCAAAGAAAUUCAAAAUUACAUAAUAUUUUUUAUAACAUGAAAAAUUUAGGGUAUACAACUCAUAAUUUCACAUAAUUUAAUACUAACAGGCAUCUCCAUAUGAGCUUAGCCAAUAGAUCUCCUAGUAACAUGUUUUGAUAUCAUCAUCUAAAUGUCUUUCUACAUCAUUUCUUGUUUUCAAAUUCUUGGUGCAUUUUUUAUAUUCAAGAAGAGGGGCCAAGUUGUGCCUCCCUAAACAUAUGCUUUAUCAUUUCUUUGCUAAUUUAAUUUUUCGAUAAACACCUAGCUUGACGAGACUGACUUCAGCACAAAAAGAAAAGAAACAUGAUCUUAAAAUUAAACAUAUAUACUAUGCGAUUCAAACAAAAUGACAAAAACCAUUGACAAAGACAGAGGAAUCAGAUCUAAAUUCGAUUAAAUUUAGUGUAAGAGAAAAGGUAAGAUUAUUGACUUCUAAUUCUAAACUAAAUCUUUGACUUUCUUACUAAACUACGCUCUCUAUUGUUGAAUUUGUAUUAAAUCUUCUUAUCAGGCUGUUUAGGCGGGAAAAAAAAUAAUAAUUACAGUUCACAAAGCAGAAUGUCAUAAUCCGCUCUUGUCUUGUGGGCGACCAUUGGCUUCUCGAAUCGGACAUUAGGCCAAUCAAACCAACUUGCUGUCCGUUAAUUAACUAUACUAGCCUAACUCUAUAAAUUUGGCCUCAUAAGGGCUAUUUACACGCAACAACAAAAGAUAAGAACAAAAAAUAUAACGAUAUAACAAUGAGAAGCACACUAGUCUUAACCUCGCUGAUUCUUCUCUUUGCCUUCAUUGCAACGCCAUUGCCUGUCAGGGGCAAUGCUUCACCUGAUCCGGUGCUGGACAUCGCCGGUAAGCAGCUCCGAGCUGGCAGUAAGUACUACAUCUUGCCCGUUACAAAGGGCCGAGGCGGCGGGCUUACACUUGCUGGCAGAAGCAACAAUAAGACAUGUCCCCUAGAUGUUGUUCAAGAGCAGCACUCAUUUAGAAAUGGUUUGCCGGUAACAUUUGCGCCCGUUAACCCUAAAAAGGGCGUUGUUCGUGAGUCCACUGACUUAAACAUCAAAUUUGACGCUGCAACAAGUUGUGCGCAGUCCACAGUGUGGAAGCUUGACAAUUUUGAUACGGCAUUUGGGCAGUGGCUUGUGACAACUGGGGGAGUUGAAGGCAAUCCCGGCCCCAGAACCAUGAGAAAUUGGUUUAAGAUUGAGAAGUUUUAUGGCGAUUACAAGCUUGUUUUCUGUCCUUCGGUUUGUAAUUUCUGCAGAGGUUUGUGCAGAGAUGUUGGCAUUUUUAUUAAUGGUGGGGUGCGGCGUCUGGCUUUGAGUGAUGUUCCGUUAAAAGUUGUGUUUAAAAAGGUUUGAAGAUCGAGCUGCUGAGAGGUCCGCAAAUGCUUGCAGUUAAAAAUAAAGUUUGUUUCGUUUUAGGGUUGUACGCAUGCUUUAAUAAAUGAAUAACUAAGUUGUAAUAAUAAAAGUUGCACGAACGUUGCACGUUUACGAAUAAUAAAAACUUUUCUUCAUGUUGGUAUUUUGGUUCAUCAUUUUCCUCAUUAGUGCCAACAUUUUCAUUUCAAAGUACGAAGAAGAUCAAAUUAUUGUGAUAGUUCAACUCCAUUCAGAAAAUGUUUAAUAUGAACUUUGCUUGAUUAUAGCAUAAAAUAUAUAAAAUUGAAGAAGCCAACAAUGGGACUAUGAUAAAUAAACCAUGCAUAGAUGCUAUACGGAUGAAAUUGCCUAGAAAAAGGGUGAUGGUAAGUUUCCUCCCUAUUGAAAUGAGUAUAUAUUACUUAUACCCUUACUAUUUUCAUAAUAUCUAAUAAUCACCUGGCACCAUUAUUUUAUAAUAUUACUCUUAUUUUCUAUUAUACUCUUAUUUAUAUUUAUUAUUAAUUAAAUAAAAUAUAUAAAUAAAAAUAAAAAAUAAGUACAUUUCCUAAGUUUUGAUAUGAAUAAAAAAUUUAUCACAAGAUAUUUUCUUGUACUUUAUUUUUUUUAAUAUUUUUCUUCUAAUAAUUUUAUAUUUCCAAUACCAAAUAUCGAGCAAGUGACUUAUUUACUUCUCUUCUUUUUUUUUUUUAAUUUUUAUGCCAAGAGGGUUAUUAAAUAUUAUAAAAAUAGUAGAAGGUAUGUGAUAUAUAUUCAUUUCAAUAGGAUACAAACUUUCAAUCUCCCUUUAGAAAAAUAAGGAGGCUAAACAUAAAUUUACAAAAUGGGCAAAUUUUCAAUUCCUUCUAAUAACUUGGGUAGCCAAGGCCAUCCUACGAGAGCAAACAUGUAAAUUAAUGCAAACGUUUUCUUUUUUUAUUAACGGCUGUGCUGCUUUUAUCAAAAAUAGAGUUUCAGAAAUUUGACACCAUCUAAUGAAAACUCGUUUACUUUAUCACUAAUUAUUUAAAUCUUCUGUAAGACAUCGAUAAAUAAAUAUUCAAUAAAUUAAUGUACUAAAAAUUAAAAAUUAAUAAAUUUAAAACUUAUGAAAAAUCUAAAAAUUAUUCAUAUUUUUUAUUAAAUAAAAAAAUCUUCUGGUCCUGACUUGGUCAUUGCACUAAAUUAACAAUUUUGAUAAAUGCAUAAAAUAAUAUUUUUUUACAUGAAUCCUUUAGGGUCCAAUGAAAAUAUAAAUUAAAAAUUAGUUAAUUACAAGAAAUAUCAAUAAUAAAUAACAUAUAAAAUUCAUUACAUUUAAUUAGGAUUGUUUUCUUAAAAACUAUAAUUUUUUUAAUUAAACUCUUUUCUAAAAAUAUGCAUAAAAUAAUUUGACACUAAUGACCAAAGUACUUAUAGACUUUUUAAUCUAUGUACUCUAAGCAUCUGAAACACUUUAUCUUCAGAGGGUACUAAAUUUGAAACUAUGUACAAUGUACUUACAUUAUUUUGUGCGUCUAUGUAUAUGUUCAUUACAUUUAUUAGAAUUUUUUGUAUAUAUAUGAUAACUUUUGAAAUUCAUGCACGAAUAUUUGUGAAAAGAAUACUACACAUGCCUAAAUAACACAAGUAAUUAAAAAGUAAUACUCGUCUUAAAUUAAUAAAUAUUCAUUAAUUUACCAAUAAAUUAACAAAUUCUUCAUUAAUUAAUAAAUAACCAUUAUCAGGAUAAAAAAAUUUCUUAGUUCCAACAAUAUCAUUUUAUAGAGAUUUUACUGUAUAUGAACAUUUUAGUAUUUUUGUAAGUUUUAUAAAAUUUUGUAACUCUACUAUAUCAAAGUAGCAUUGUAACUUUUGUAGGUAUCAUCUGUUCCAAAUUAUAAAAUCAUUUCUGUUAAAAACAAUAGAUUCAAGGGUUCCAACUUUGUUCACAUGAGUAGGAUGAAACUUUGGUUGACAUUAAGCUAAAUAAUAAUAACCAAAAGAAGUAGCAUAAUAAUUAGAAUUAAUGCACUUAUUUAUUCAAUUGUGAAAUCUUUCUAAGAUUUUGAAUUGAAAAAGGAAACAGAGAGUGCCCUGUGUAUUUGUAGUAGACAUUGUUUGAGUUAUUGGUGGCUAUUGAAUUUAUAGAUUUUUAGAGUAGUGACUACUUAAUAAAAAUUAAUUAUCUUGAAAAUUUUAUUUCUCGAAUGAAGAUUUCACUCAGCAGCAAUGCAAUAAAAUGAAUUAGAUGAAAUUUCCAAAAUUUACAUUUUGAGAUCGGAAAGCGAAGGAAAAAAAAAAAAGGAUUGGCAAAACUCAAAUCCAUUUAAGUAUUUGAACAUUUCAUUACGUAUUAUUAACUCAAUAAAUAAAUUUGGAGCAAUACAAAUGUCAGUUAAUAUAUAUCGUUAUAAGCAGGGGCAUUAUCGUACUUCAACAAAUCAAAUCAAAUCAAUGAGUAGUUAAAACUUAAUAGAUUUUGCAUUGACUUAAUAGAUUUCGCCCAAUUAGAAAUGGCCACAAGCAUGCCCAUGCUAGCUUCUGUGUUAGUGUAUUGUGUCGUGCCAGACUGUCAGUCUAGAAUGAGUUUGGCCCGGCCCGGCCCAUGGCCUGGGACCGGACUGCAGGUCGUAUACCAGCAAAAGCACGCGUAGGUUUUCAUUUAAAAUGUUUUGUACUGUGAAGCGCUCAUCAAAUCUUUACUAUUGUUUUGGAAAAUAAAUAAAUUAAUACUAACAGAUAUUUCCAGUGAACCUAGCAAAUAAAUUUGUUGUUAUCAUUGUAAUUAUAAAUGUAUUUUAAUUGAGAGUAGUGUUGAAUUUUUUUUCUAAUUUUGAAAAAAAUAUAAUUGAUAAUAUUUGGAUGGGAAUACAAAUUUAAUUGUAUAUUACUAUACAUACAUGUGCGGUAGAAAAAUUAUAAAUAAUUACCCCUAGUUCAACUUAAUACUAGAUCCAAAUCCAUACAAUAUUUUUUUUUAAUACAUGCGGGUAUUUUAUUUCAGAAUUCAGCUUGCAGAUAACAUUUUAAAAAAUUAGGAUAAUCUUCCAACCAAACUAAAGACUAUGAAUACUGAAAAGUAAAUUUAGAUAAUACAUCAACAACAUGGUUCAACAUCUUGAAAUAUUCUACAUUUUGAAAUUCUGCCUCUGAGAUUAGCAUUUCAAUUUUUGAAAUAAUCCAAAAACGCUCGAUACAUGUAUGAUGUUUGCCGUUGACAAACUAAAUAACCCGCAAUGAAUUCGAGUCCACCACCAGUGAGACAAACUAGCCUCACUAGCGCGUCGUAAGCCAAAGCGAAGAGAUUUAGCCUCUGCAAUGUCCACAUCAUCAGAAGAAACACCUUAAUCAACCCCCAAAUCCAUACUGUAUAAAUGCAACACAAAAUGGCAAUACUUUUGACCCAAACACAAAAAUUGGAUCCGAAAAAAAUAUAUUUAGAGUAGGAGAAGAGACAAUGGUAUUUGACUUCUAACAUAAACUCGAAAAUUUGACUUUCAUAGUGUUGAGUCCAUUUCAUUUGGGGGCCAAAAAGCCCAAAGCCCAAAAGGGUUUGCUUGAUGUGCAAUUAAUAUUAAGCUUUGGAGUUGGAUGAAAAUUGCCAUGAAAAGUGGUUUUAAAAAGCAAGUUAUGCAACCCAAGAGAGGGGGUGAAUUGAGAUUUUAAAAUUUAUACAAUACAAUUCGCACAACAAUUUAAUCUAUUGUCUUAAUCAAAUAAAAAAUAAUAAAUUCAAUCAAGCACAAUAUUAAAAGAGUAAGGGAAGAGAAAACAAACACAAGAAUUUUUACGUAGUUCGGCUAUCCCUGCCUACGUCCACGCCUCCAAGCUCACCCGGCUUGAGGAUUUCACUAUCCAAGCCUCCCAAGACUUCAAAUGUUUAUAAUUGACUUACAAGGUGUCAAUGAACCUUUACAACAAGAGAUUAUAUCCCCAAUCUCUUCACCCCAAGUGGUUGUACGCUCACAAUUUGAUGAGAAAUGAAAAUCACAACAAUGAAACUCUCUUUAAGAGUGGAUAACGAAUUAUAGCUCAAUAAUGAUUCAAUAAAUGAUGAUUUACGAAAUGGAAGCUCAAUAUAUGUUAUAUGAUCUUAUAUUUGCUUGCAUUAGUCCUUAGAAUGAAGUUUGAGUUGAGUUUUUAUAGUGAAAGCCCGAAAACUAGCCGUUAUAGGCAAAUUCCCACGCCCAUGCGGUUAGCCGCUUGAUUAUUCGGCUAGCCGCUCAGGAACAAUGAUAUUACCGUUAUUUUUUAAUUUUACUACAGUAACACUGUUCACUGAAAUUACACUUUGACCCAAAAUUUUCUAUAAUUAUACUAUGGCUCAAAACGUCAUAAAACUUUAUAAAUAGGUCAAAUUUCAGAACUUCCUAAAAAUAGUUGUCUUUCCCAAACUUUCUGAAAUUAUGAUAUGGCCCCAAAGAUUUUAUUAUUUCGCACAAAGGUCAUUUUCAACAUAAUACCCAUGUUUUUUAAAGUUCUCAAAACCUUUCACUUUAGUCCAAAAUAUUCAUAAAUUAUAGUAUGGCCCAAAACAUUUCAAAUGUUUGUAAAAACGUCCAACUCUGAAAUUUAAUACUUAUUAAAAUCAAAGAUUUCAAAUCUUAGCAUUUAAGUCCAAAUUACUCAAAUCCACAAAAUACUUUACUUUAUAAAAAUAAUACCUUUUAGUUUAUGAAAAGUAUUUAAUUAAAUUAAUCUAUUGAGCUUCUCAAAUGCUAAAUCAUGCAUCAAUUAAAUCAUACCGGCUUUAGAAGAAUUUAUCGCACUAAUUUGUUCGUUGAGCUCUAAACUAUAUUCUUGAUGUUGCCGUUGUCCGUUGAGUGUCUUCAAACUUGAUUUCACUUGCAUAAAUAUUAUUCUUCAAAAACUAGUGAAAAUGUGAAAUACAAUAUUUAUUAAAUCACUUAAUACAUAUGUUUGUUAUCAUCAAAAUUACAUUAUGUAUAGCCCUUUAGGCUAACAAUCUCCCCCUUUUUUAUGAUGACAAACAUCUCAUGUAUUUUGACAUUUAUACUCCCCCUUAAUACAUGGCAUAUAUAAUUAAACAUAUAAAUCAAAUUCAAAACAAAAACUCCCCCUGAAUAUUUGAUUUAUGAUAAUUUGUAUACUCCCCCUUAAUACAUGGCAUAUAUAAUUAAACAUAUAAAUCAAAUUCAAAACAAAAACUCCCCCUGAAUAUUUGAUUUAUGAUAAUUUGUAAACUCCCCCUUAAUAUUUCAAAACCAUGCAUAAAUACUUGAAAUACAAAAUACGUAUUACAUGUCUUCAUAUUCAAAAUACAUGACUUCUCCCCCUUCAUCAUCAAAAUUACUAGAAAUUCAUGCGAAGAUCGAUAAUAUGUCAAUGGUUAAUCAAGAAACAUAUAAUAACCAAACACCCAAUUAACCAUUAAAUGAUCAUGAAUCAUCAUGCCAUCAAAAGAAUGCCCUAAAUGCAUAUUAUCCAAAAUCAUAUUGUAUGCUCCCCCUAAAUAUAUGGCCAAUUAAAAAAUUUAACCAAAAUGAUAUUAUCCAAAAACAUAUCAUAUUUAUCUCCCCCUUCAUAAAAAAUAGAUAGAUGCAAUCGAAACAAGAGCAUAAAAAAUAAUUCGAUAAAGAUAUUACCAAUUUUGUGCGAGCAAAAAUUUCGGCAGAGUCUCCCCUUAAAAUGAACAAAUCCUUAAAUAUACAACAUGAUUAAAAACACUUCCAUAUAAGCUAAAACAAUUAUAACAAACCAACAACUCCAUUAAUUCAUCAAGCAAUACACAUAUAAUCAUCAAUCAUCAAAAGUACUAUAAAUCCAUGCUUAUACCAAAAAGAAUAUCUCAAUGAUUAAUCAAGAAGCAUAAAAAUAAAGCAUGCAAUUAAUCCAAAGAGUCAUAUUCAUUCUAAGAAUUCAGAAAAUAUCAUCCAAAUAUAAAUUAUCCAAAUAUUAAACAACCAUCAUCUGUAAUCCACAAUUAGAACAAUUAUGCAUAUGAAAAUGUAGGUGCAUAAUAUAAUAAGGAACCAUGGUAAUUUAAAAUACCCAAAAUGCACAAAUUCGGUUUUGUAAAAUAAUGAGUGAAAUGGAUUAUUUUAAACCGAUUAUAUUGAUCCAAGAGAUGAUUUAAGAUAAUGGAUGGUGUUGAUUGGAUCAAAAGUGGACUAAAAAGAGCUUAAAUUGGAAGAGAAAGAAAUGGGUAAGUUAGGUUUUUGAUUUUGGGUUUUAUGUGGAGAGAUAAUGAAAUCAAGUUUUGAGAGUGAAAAUUGAAGGAGUAAUGGAUGAAUAAUGAGUUGGAUGAUUGAUUUUGGCAAGAGAAUGAGUGAAAGAUGAAGAAAUUUGAGAGAGAAAUGAAGAGGUAAUGUUCACGUGUGAGAGAUGAUGAUGAAAUGAUGAAGAACAAGUGAAGAAAUGAAGAUUGGGAAGUGUUUAAUGAGAGUGAAAUGCAUGAUUAUUGGUUUGAAUGAUUAAUUUUGGCCUAAAAAUGAUUGAGAAAUGAAGAGAAAUUGAUUGGAAAUGGAAGAGAGUAGCUCACGGUUUUGAAGAGAGAAAGAACAAGUGCAGAAAAAUAACGAAGGAAGAAGAAGAAGCAAAAAAAAAAUUUACUCCAACCCGUGACCAAGCGGCUAGCCGCUUGGGGCAGGCGGCUAGCCGCCUCAUGGCUGCCCAUCUGCACCAAUUGUUUUGAUCUCCGGCUAUUUUUGAUCGAUUUUAAGACCAUUUCGUGAUCCGAACACUUUCAAAAACUAUUUUAAUGCAUGGAUUAAUAUAAUUAACAUCCAAAAAAUCAUAAAACUCAAAUUUAUAACAUAUUCAUCAUGCAUAUCCAUCACAAUUAUGAGAUACAAUAACACUUUAUGGUUGAAAUUAUAAACAUUUAAGACAUGAUUAAUUCACACAUAAAAUUCAUCCAUCAUGUAUAUAUUUUACUCAAUCAUGAAACAUAUAAGCAUUCAAAGAUUAAUAAUUCAAGCAUAUUACUCAUUUAUCAUACUUAGGCAUUACAUAAUCAUUAAAAUCAAACAAAUCCAUCAUGAUAAAGCACUCAAUGUUAAACACAAUGAUAAUUCGAUCAUGUAAAUAUAAAAGUAUACUUUCACAAAUUCAAGCUACUAUCCAUUUAUCAUGAUCCACUCAACAUAGUAAAUAGACAAGAUAAACUUAUCCACUUCAUGUUAAUGCACUUAAUGUUAUGAUACCAAAUGAAUUAUUAGAUACUUACUAAGAUUAAAAGACCAUCACUUAUAAUCAAUAAGGCAAUAAUUGUUACCAAAACAAUUAAACCAUCUUGCCUCAUUAUUUUUGCCUAAACCAUGAUCAAGUGAUUAUCCUUACAAGCUUCAUCAAGGAACUCUUCACCCUUCCUUGUUUGUGGUACCUACAAGAAAUUAUUCAAGUUGUGUACUUUGGUACCCAAAUAUUCUUGGGUCCUUGAGUGUUAGUAAUAGUUCCUUUUGGAACCCAAAUACAUUUUGCUUCAUAAUAUGCAUUUCUUUUAACCGGACAUCUAAGCUUCAUGUGACCAUUUUGAUUGCAAUAAUGACAUACAAUUUGAUCAUUAAUGGAGGUAGUUUUAACAAAAUAACUCUUAUAAUAUUUUUGUUUCAAAUUUGGCUUAUAACCAAUACCUCCUUUAUCAAACACACAUUUUGUGAAUUAAGCAAGUUAUCCAACAUCUUUUGCCCAUUUUUGAAUUUUAACACAAUUUGAUUUAGCUCAUUGCUCUUCUUUUUAAGCACUUCAUUUUCUUUCAUUAAUUCAUCAACAUGUGAUUUCUCAUGCUCAUAUGAAGUACUUUGUUUGCAUUUAAAUGAUGCAAUUCUAUCAUGCAACAUUUUAUUAUCUAACUCUAGUCCUUUAAUCUUUUCAUUUAAUGAAUCAUUGCAUUUUUGUAAAGCAUCCUUUUCAUUUUUCAAGUCAUCUACAUAUGAUUCUAAAUGCUCAUGUGAAGUGCUAGGUUUCUCAUUUGAUAAUGCAACUCUAUCAUGCAAUGUUUUAUUAUCUAAUUCUAGGCAUGUAAUCUUUGCACUUAGAGAUUCAUUCUCAUUUGUGAGCUUUACCAUUUUCUUUUUAAGACAUGCAUUCUUUUUACCAAUUUUUAUCCAAUUAUCAUGCAAUUCUUUAAAAGCAUCAUAUAAUUCAUUAUAAGUAGAAAGAUCAUUUACCUCAUCAAGUUCAUCAUCCGAUUCAUCUCUAAUUGCCAUGAGAGCUAGAUUUGUCAUUUCUUGAUGCUCUUCAUCAUCACUUGUUUCCUCAUCGCUAUCAUCCCAUGUGGCUACCAUUGCUCUCUUCUUGAACUUGUUGAGAAGAGGGCAAUCCGUUCUUAUAUGGCCAGACUUCUUGCACUCAUAACAUUUGAUUACUUCCUUCUUCUCCUUUCAGUUCUUGAGGCCUCUAAAUUUUCUUCGCGCACUGGAUUUCUUAAAUAAUUUUCUAAACCUCCUAGCCAUCAUAUCCAUCUCCUCCUCAUCCAGCUCGCUUUCCUCAUCACUCUCAUAUUUCGAGGCUUUGAGAGCAAUGCUUUUCUUCUUCUCCUCAUUGCCUUUUUGGCUGCCAAGUCUUCCUCAUAAGAAAUAAGAGAACCAAUUAAAUCAUCAAUAGGUAAAACAUUUAAAUCUUUGACUUCCUCAAUGGCAGUCCUUUUUGGUCUCCAUUCCUUAGGUAGCGACCUAAUGAUUUUCUUAACUUUCUCGCUAUUUGAAAAGGUCUUUCCUAGAGCUCCUAGGGUGUUUACUAUGUCCGUAAAUCUAAUAUACAUAGAAUACACACUCUCAUUUUGUUCCAUUUGGAACAAUUCAUAUUGUCGAGUGUACCUACUAAUUUUAGACUCUUUCACUUGAUUCGUGCCUUCAUAAACAACUUCAAGUUUGUGCCAAAUUUCAUUAGCACUUUCACAACUAGAUACUCUAUGAAACUCUUUCUUAUCUAGUGCACAAAACAAGGCAUUCAUAGCUUUGAAAUUUAGAGAAGCUCUUCUCUUUUCCAAUUCAUUCCAUUCCCGUGAAGGUUUUGGAAUAUCUUCCCCAACUUCGUUUUUAGUCAAAGGCAUAAAUGGACCAUCACAAACAAUUUCCCAAAUUUCAUAAUCUAAAGCUUGUAAAUAAAUUCUCAUCCUAGUUUUCCAAUAUGGGUAGUCAUUACCAUCAAAGAAUGGUGGUCUAAUUGUGGAUUGUCCUUCCCUAAAGGUUGAGUCAUUAUGGGUUGCCAUGGAUCUUUAACUCUAGACGGUUAAGUCUACACAAGAUCACCUUGCUCUGAUACCAAAUGAAAUGCAAGUUAUGUAACCCAUGAGGGGGGGUGAAUUGGGAUUUUAAAAUUUAUACAAUACAAUUCGCACAACAAUUUAAUCUAUUGCCUUAAUCAAAUAAAAAAUAAUAAAUUCAAUCAAGCACAAUAUUAAAAGAGUAAGGAAGAGAAAACAAACACAAGGAUUUUUACGUAGUUCGGCUAUCCCCGCCUACGUCCACGCCUCCAAGCUCACCCGGCUUGAGGAUUUCACUAUCCAAGCCUCCCAAGACUUCAAAUGUUUAUAAUUGACUUCCAAGGUGUCAAUGAACCUUUACAACAAGAGAUUAUAUCCCCAAUCUCUUCACCCCAAGUGUUUGUACGAUCACAAUUUGAUGAGAAAUGAAAAUCACAACAAUGAAACUCUCUUUAAGAGUGGAUAACGAAUUAUAGCUCAAUAAUGAUUCAAUAAAUGAUGAUUUGUGAAAUGGAAGCUCAAGAUAUGUUAUAUGAUCUUAUAUUUGCUUGCAUUAGUCCUUAGAAUGAAGUUUGAGUUGAGUUUUUAUAGUGAAACCCCGAAAACUAGCCGUUAUAGGUAAAUUCCCACGCCCAUGCGGUUAGCCGCUUGAUUAUUCGGCUAGCCGCUCAGGAACAGUGAUAUUACCGUUAUUUUUUAAUUUUACUACAGUAAUACUGUUCAUUGAAAUUACACUUUGACCCAAAACUUUUUAUAAUUAUACUAUGACCCAAAAUGUCAUAAACUUUACAAAUAGGUCCAAUUUCAGAACUUCCUAAGAGUAGUUGUCUUUCCCAAACUUUCUGAAAUUAUGAUAUGGCCCCAAAGAUUUUAUUAUUUCGCACAAAGGUCAUUUUCAACAUAAUACCCAUAUUUUUCAAAGUUCUCAAAACCUUUCACUUUAGUCCAAAAUAUUCAUAAAUUAUAGUAUGGCCCAAAAACAUUUCAAAUGUUUGUAAAAACGUCCAACUCUGAAAUUUAAUACUUAUUAAAAUCAAAGAUUUCAAAUCUUAGCAUUUAAGUCCAAAUUACUCAAAUCCACAAAAUACUUUACUUUAUAAAAAUAAAACCUUUUAGUUUAUGAAAAGUAUUUAAUUAAAUUAAUCUCUUGAGCUUCUCAAAUGCUAAAUCAUGCAUCAAUUAAAUCAUACCAGUUUCACAAGAAUUUAUCACACUAAUUUGUUCGUUGAGCUCUAAACUAUAUUCUUGAUGUCGCCGUUGUCCGUUGAGUGUCUUCAAACUUGAUUUCACUUGCAUAAAUAUUAUCCUUCAAAAAACUAGUGAAAAUGUGAAAUAUAAUAUUUAUUAAAUCACUUAAUACAUAUGUUUGUUAUCAUCAAAAAUUACAUUAUGUAUAGCCCUUUAGGCUAGCACAAACAAGAUUCUAGGGAUACAAAAUCACUGAGAAAGAAAUAACAGAAAUAUUUGGCUUCUUAGAAGAAUUACUUGAAGAAAAUCUUACGCUGCUUCAACAUGUAAGAUUGUAAACUAAAUUUCUACCCCACUUCCUAUUAAUUUCAAGUUAUCCUCAAGUAUGUGUCCUAACAAUGAAGCAAAGAGGAAUGAGAUGCCAUGAGUACCGUAUGCAUCAGCAGUGGGAAAUUUGACGUUCGCAAUGAUAUGCACUAGAACAGAUAUUGCACAAGCAGAGAUAGUGGUCAAUAGGUAUAUGGUGAAUCCUAGUGAAGGGCAUUGGAAAACUGUGAAGAAGAUUCUGAGAUACAUCAGAGGAUCCUCGAAUGUUGCAUUAUGUUAUGGAGGAUAAGAGUUUACUGUCAGGGGCUACGUAGAUUCAGAUUUUGCAGGAGACCUUAAUAAAAAGAAAUCUACUACUAGAUAUGUGUUUACACUUGCAGGAGGAGCUGUAAACUGGAUUUCAAAAACUGCAGACUAUUGUGGCUUUAUCUACAACAUAAGUAGAAUUUAUGGCAGCUACACAAGCUUGCAAGGAAGCUAUUUGGAUACAGAGGUUAUUGGAGGAGCUCGGACACAAACAAGAAAAAAUUCAUGUAUUUUGUGACAGUCAGAGUGUCUUACACAUUGUAAGGAAUCCAUCCUUUCAUUCUAGGACAAAGCACAUAGGGUAUAAUAUCACUUCGUUCGAGAAGUAGUGAAGGACGGAAGCAACAUGAUAAUGGUGAAGAAGAAAUGAUGGUGUGGAGACAUGAUUGGUUCUCAAUCAAGUCUCCAAGUGGGAGAAUUGUUGAACAUAUGCAUACAUGUGGCAAACAAUUCUUUAUGGCAAACAAUUACAUGUGAACUGGCAAUGCAACUUUUUUAUCUUGGCAUAAAGUUGUUGAGUAAGUGGGAAACAAAGGUAAGUGGGAGGCAUCAACUUUUGACUUUGGCACUAAAGUAGAAAAGUUGGGUGGAAAUUUAUAUGAUUUUAAUGCCUACCAUUGUUGAUUUUUUGGCAUGGCUUGGCCUAUAAAUAGAGGCCUCAUUUGCCCUCUUCAUUCAUCCCAUUUUCCUCUAAUUCAAGUGAGAGUACCAAGAGUGUAAGUUGAGAGUGUUGAGAGUGUUGAGAGCUUUGAGCUCUAGUUCUAGUGUUUUGAGAGUUUGGGUGUAUUGGAGUUUUGGGUUGUGAGACAAAUAAUUACAAUACUUGGAACUCCUUUCCACUAGUAAAAUAUUUUCUUCUGUCUUCACCUAGGGAUGUCGGCUAAAAGCCGAACUACGUAAAUUUUGGUGUCCUUAUGUGAUCAUUAUUUCUAAAUUUCACUUUAGUUGCGUGUUUGCUGCACCCUCGAAUUUCCAACAAUGACAAUAAACAUUUUCGCUACAUGUUGUUCAAGAGCAAAACAUACAAAAAAUAUGGUUUGCCAAUGACAUUUUCGCCUGUAAACCCCAAAAAGGGCGUUAUUUGUUAGUCCAUUGGUUUAAAACAUCAAAAUUUGAAGUUGCAAAAACUAGUGUGCAAUCCACAAUAUGGAAGCUUGACAAGUUUGAUGUAGCAUUAGGGCAGUGGUUUGUGACAAUUGGGGAGUUGAAGGCAAUCCUGGCCCACAAAAACGAGAAAUUGGUUCAAGAUUGAGAAGUUUUAUGGUGAUUACGAGCUUGUUGCUGUCCUUUGGUUUGUAAGUUUGCAAAGUUUUGUGCAUUUUAUGAACGGUGGGGUGCGGCAUCUGGCUCUGAGUGAUGUCCCAUUCAAUGUUAUUUUUCUAAAGGCUUGAAGAUGGAACUGCUGAAUAAAAGCUUGAGGUUAAAAAAUAAAGCUUGUUAUGUUUUUACGUUAUGCGCAUCGAAAUGUUCUAUAGAAUGAAUGCUUUGCUAAAUGAAUAAAAGUUGUAACAAUAAGAAUUAAUUAAUGUUUGCAAUGCUUGUUCACGGAAUAAUAGUUUAGCUGCCUUUAUCAUGUUGUAUUUUGGUUAACUUAUCAUUUUCCUAUUUAGGUUAUGUAGAGGAUCAGAUUUUUUGUUAUAAUUCAAAAGCCAAGUUAAAAUAAUAAUAAACUAAAAUGUGGGAAGUGGAGCUAUAAUAUCGUCACUCAAGCCUUCCCAGCCAUGUGAUCUAAAGACUGACUAAUCAGCCUAUGAUCAGUCUACCAAGCACUAGAAAUUGAUUUUCAUUUUAAUAGAUAAGAAAUCGAAUUAAGAACAAGCAAGAGUUCUUAGUUACUUCCACACCACUAAUUUUCAAUCAAUCUCCAAAAAAAAGUUAUAAAACAAUUUCACUAAACGAAGCACUCUGCAAAUCAUUUUUGCAAGUAUUUGAGACAUAAAAAGGAAAUUAACCAAUUAAUAUAAAAUAAUUUAGGAAUAAUGAUGUAUUAGUAAAAAUUGAGUCAAUCAAUCUUUAUUUAUUUGACAAUCAAUCUUUCUAAAUUAAUAGUUAAGAUAGAGACAAAUAAUUGUGUAAUUAAUUUUUUGUUUCCAUCAAUAUGGACCAAAUCUUGUCUUGGUUGUACAUUCAGAACUAAAAUAGGACUAAUUAAUCCAAACCAUUUCUAAUACUCAGUCCCACAUUCCAGGUAUUUAAAAUAUUUUAAUUACCAAUUUAUUCAAUAAAUUAAUUAAAAAAUAACACAGAUUCGGAUAUCUGUUUUUUUGGAUGCACAUGCAUUCAGAUCUACACCCGAAUCCGUAUGGAUUCAAUUUUAAUAAUCGAGGCCUGCAUUUUUUAAAGCACAUAUCAGAUUUUUUUUCGAUCCAGACCUUUCAGAUCUUUGCAAAUCUAAACUGGACCCGAAUAUUUUUACCAUCUCUACUAGCAUGGACGUGGACCUUGUCAUGUUUAGAUCAAGUUUUAGUGAUUAGAGAUUUUAGUCUUUGUUCCCUUUUUCUUAAAUGUAGAGGGAUAGGUAAAAUUUAAAUCAAUUUUUUAAUAUCUAAUUUCUCAAAAUUUAAGCUAAACUAAUUAAAUAAAUUAUUUAAAAACCACUAUGUUAGUAUUUUUUUUUUCUUUUUUAAGUUUCAGAUACAAAUUUAAAGAAAAAUAGUAGAAAAAAAUAGUAAAAAGGUUCAGGAUCCCAAGAUAUUUCCCAAUCUAUCCAAAAAAAUUUAGGACCAAUUUCAAUUCCUAAUUCUCAUCGAUCUCUAAUUGGUCUUAGAUCGUAUAGAUUGAAUACAUUCACGUUCGUAUGGAAUCCCAGUUAAUAAACUUGUUUUAGAUCUUUCCAUCUUAUUGGAUGUGGACAAUAAUAAUCAACCUAUGAUAAAUCUACCACAAGAAAUCAUACUCAAUUACAAACAAAGAUCAGAUCAUGUCAAGCAAAGAUGAAGAAAGGAAAACCUGAAAAAACUGGUGUGGUUCAAUUGAUGAUGUUUCGGAAAAAAGUGGAAGGAAGUUCCAAUUAAGUGACUCCACAGUAGCUAUAGCUUUUAUUCCUAAUAACAAUUAUAAUCCCUCAUGGUCUCUUCACGCUAGAUGACUUAAUUGUUAAGAUAUAAUCAACAACAUGCGGUUCCACUGUUCCCACAUUUAUAGAGAAGGCAAUCUUGUGGCUGAUACUUUGACUAAUAUAGACUUAAAUUGUGUGAAUCUGACGUGGUGGAAUGAUCCUCCUCAAUUCAUGAUACGCCUCCUAAGGAGGAUGAGUAGAGAUUACACCAUUAUCGUUUUUCUUAACUUUAAUUCUUGUAAUUUUCAUACCCUUUCUCCUGUUUUUCUUUAAUAAAGCUUUACGCAUUUAUGUAAAAAUAAAUAAUAAAUUGUUAAUUGCAAUUGUAGCAAAACCAAAAUGCAAUUUCUUUACUUGUAGGAGGUAUAUAUGAUAUAUAAUAACCUUCACUCAUAUACACAGAACUAAAGCAUAUGAUGUGAAGUACGCUAUUUUAAAAUGAUUGUGAAAGCUUGCUAGCUGAGCUUAUUGUCUUCAAAAUAUAUCCUAAUCAUUUAAUUUUGUUGACUUCGAAAUGGCCUUCUGAAGAUUUAUGCAAGCUUUUUCAUAGUGCAAAAACCCCAUGAACCAAAAUUGAAAAUCAUCCACAGUCACUACUCCAAUGUAGUUUUGGUCAGGCUUGUUCACAUUCUCACUUCGUAGAUACUUUUGAUCUUCUUUAUUGGUCUCAACACUUGUAAAUGUGAAUUAUCUAGUAAAUUUCCAUUAAAUUUAAUUCCAGCUAAUAGAAAAAUCAAUGCCUAUUAAGAGAUGAGAUAUCUACCCUAUCAAACCUGAAAGCAUUGCAAGCCUUCGAAACUUGCCACAAUAAAGUAAGGAAAAAGGACUCAAAUAUGACUCCGAGUUGAUGCACACCGUCUCCAAUAACAAAGCAAAGCAUGCGGGGUUAAAAAAAAACCACAUCUCGCAUACCUAAAUUUCGCCAAAAUNNNNNUUAAUUAAUUAANNNNNGGCUCUACUUCAAUCCAAGCUUUAGAAGACAUGUUAAUUGAGAGGGAUUCCAUGCUUGGCUCAUUGAAAGAGAACUUGCGACAAGCACAGCACCGAAUGGCUCAAAAGGCUAACUUACAUCGCCGAGAAACUCAAUUGCAGGUGGGUGAUAAAGUGCUGGUGCGCCUUCAGCCAUAUCGUCAGGCAUCAAUUGCUAAACGCUUAUCUCACAAGCUGGCAAGGCGCUAUUAUGGACCAUUCGCCGUGGUUGAGCGCAUUGGACCUGUUGCUUACAAGUUAGAUUUACCCACGGAUUGUCGAAUUCACCCGGUGUUUCAUAUUUCCUUACUCAAACCUUAUGUGGGAAACUCCUCCAUUGACGUUUAUUCACUGCCUCCGGGAAGUGUGGAUAACAAGCCCCUUUCACUGCCAAUUGCUAUUUGUGCUGAGCGAAAGAUACUUCGACAAGGCAAAGAAAUUCCACAAAUUUUGGUGCAAUGGUCUGAUAGCUCACCAAAAAAUUCAACUUGGGAGGACUUUGAGGAAUUUCUUAAACUCUAUCUUGCACUACACCUUGAGGACAAGGUACGCUUUCAAGGAAUGGGGAAUGAUACGACUUGGCCCAUUGUCGUGAAUCAGAUCGAGCUCCAGGAGACAGCAAGGGAAGAAACCCAGCCUACAGAAAUGGAAGAAGCCCAACCCUUGAAUGAGACUCAAGCUAGAGAGCAGCUCAAGACAGGUCCAGCUCGCGCGAGAAAGAAACCAGGAUGGCUCAAAGACUUUGUUAUUUAAAGAAAGUUUGAGAAUGCUUGGGAUAUCAGAAUAACGAAUAUUGUCGUGUUUCAAUUAUUGUUUUGCUGUUAUUAUCUAUUUUAUUAUAUUUAGUUAGUUAAGGGUGCGUGACUGUUUCGGCAUGAAGAAUAUAUUUGUACUGUCAAGGGACUGUGAGGUCAUUCAAGAAAGAUAACAUUUUUGUCUUUUUCUCAGCUUCGUCUUCUUUCUUUUCUCUGCAACUCCCCUAUCCCAUUUUCCUUUCUUUCUUCCAAUUCUCUUCCCCACCGAUCGGAGCCUGCACUCGCUCAAAGAGUGUCGUAUCAGUUACAUUCAACCUAACUUAGGAGGACCCUUCCGAUAUAACCAUUCUGACUCGGUGAGAUGUUCAAAUUUAGAUUUGACAAGGAUGAAAAUGAAAGAAUGAUUACAAUGCUGGCAAUGCCUACUUGAAACUUAAAUUUAAUUGGAUGGUCCCAUCCCUCCCUCUCACUUGUCAAAAUUAAAUUGAACAGUUUAACGUAAUAAUUUCUCAACAACAUGACAUGCUUGUUUUAAUGAAAAGUCAAUGCACAUUAUCCGAACAUUACAUCAAUCAGAGAAAUGAUUUCUCUUCAUGUGACAACAUACGUAGGGAUGGCAAAAAUUCACACGGAGACGGGUAUUUUUGAGGAUUUUUUUUAUUCGGGGAGGGUAUGUGGAUAAUUUCAUACCCAAUUUCUUAUUCGGGGAGAGGACGGGGAUGAGGUGGAAUCCCAUCCCCUACCCAUUUUUUCAUUUUUAUUUUUAAUUUUGUUUUAAUUUUUUAAAAUUACUAGUAAAUAAAUAAUAAAAUUAUAAAUAUUGGUAAAAAUGAAAAAUAUCAAAAUAUUUAUAUUAUUAAACUUUUAGGCCUAAUUAACUAAUUAAAGUCCUAAAUUUUUAUUUAGGACAUUAAAAAGAUCGAGUAGAUUCUAUUAGCCCAAAAUUUUUUUUUAUUUUAAUAUUCUUUAAAUAUUUUAAACUUAAAUCUAUUUUUUAUUUAUUUUUAGAUGUUAUAAUUACCCACAGCGAAUCACAAUUUUAAUAUCUAAUCUAAUCUAAUAUAAUAUUUACUCUUGAUUUGCUCCGAUUUAACUAUUGUGUUGUAAAGUGAAUAUUCCACAUUUAUAAAGUACCCACGCCACCAUUGAAAAAGUUAAUUUUGAAUCUAAAUUCGAUUUUAUUUGUAACAAUUUUGUAUUAGACUAUUAAUUUGUUCAUGAUAGUUUGUAAAAGAAGUUUGUAUCCCUUGCAUGCUGCGUUACUUACUAAUUUAAUGUAUGUGACUUUUGUAAUGGAUAUUAAUGUAAGAUAUAUUUCAAACUUUACUUUUAUUUGAAUUUUUUAUUUUAAUAUGAUUAACUCAAAAUAAAAAAAUAAAAAAAUAUAUUAAUUAUUCGAGGAUCAGGGACUCUCGGAGAUCCUUUGUUAUUAUUCAGGGAGGAAAUGAUGAUUCUCUCAAAUAAUUCUGACGGGGACAAAAAUAAGACAUGGACAUAUGUAAAAUAUCAAAGAUGGAUACAAGAAGAUCGGUCCCCUACCCUCCCCUCCCCAUGGCCAUCCCUAAACAGAUGUUGAAGUGUUAUCCGGCUAUUCGUUUGAUAAUUCAAAGAUUCGCAAGUGCCAACAAGUGGCACAGCAAUAGAAACUGUGUGGCUUGAAUUGUAUUUGUGAGGGACCCUCAUUUAUGACUGAAUCGGCUUUUCUCGUUGCAACAGGAAGUUGAGUUAGAUCUCCAGGGUAUUAAGGUCACUUAGAAUGAAUUUCACAAUCAGAGUCACUUUAAAAGUAGGCUCCAUCACCCAAAAUAAAGUACUGUGUGAUCCCUGUUCAUGUUUACAAGUAAUUGUAGAAUAACUACACUAUAAAAGAUUUUUAAAUAUUAUUAUAUUAUAUUAUCAUAUUGGUAUUUAAAUAUUUAUUUACUUUAAUUUUUUUAUUUUACUUAGCUAAUAAUAUAAAUGUUAGAAUUUCUAAAUUACACACACACACACAAAAUAUUCAGUAGUUUUUUUAUUUAAUAAUGUAACAAUUAAUAAUUUGAAUAUUCAUAUUAAAAAUUUACGUUCAUAAAUCUACUCUUAUAAAUAAAUAAAUCAAUAUUAAUAUAUUUUAUUUUCUUCUAAAUUAGUUUAGUGAGUGAACUAUAUUAGAAUUGAAUAGAGUGAAUUAUAAAUAGUAUUGUCUUUUGUUUGUUAUAAUAUCAUGAGUAUGCUAAAUUUAAUUUAAUAAAGCUAUAUAACUAUUUAAACAGUAUUACUACUUGUUAAAUUUAAUAUUUUGUAAAUAAUUUAUUGAAUAUAAUUUUGAUAUUUAAUCUUAUAUUAAAUACUAGUGUAAACAAAUUAUUGAAUUUAAAUUUGAUGAUUAAUAUAAUAUAAAAUUUUAGUUUAAAUCAAUUACGAAAUUAAAUUUUUAUGUUUAUUUAUAUGAACAUUAGUUUAAAUAAAAUUGAAAAGAGUGAUACAGAAGAUUUUAUCCUACUUAAGUUAUUAGCCUCAUUAUGGAUUAAAUUUUGGACUAAUCAACUAAUUCAAACAGCCAAACAUGCACAAGAUUAGAUUAAUUUUUUAUUUUGUCCCAAAAAUUAGUCCAAUCCUAUCUUUAAUUUUGUUUAGUACAAUGCUAUAGUAUAUCAAACACGAGAUAAAACCAAAUCUAAUAUAAUCUAAUCUUAUCAUAUCCUUCCAAAUACAACAUAAUUUUACAUAUUAUCCAAUCAUAACUUAUGUUAUUCGAUCUUAUCCUAUCUUACGUGCCAAACACAUCCUACUUGUUACGUGUGGCUAUUAUGUUGCCACUUUGAUGAAAUAGACGUCAACAUGACAAUAUCCCAUCACGUAAAUCUUAAAAUUGUAGGCUAACAUCUUAAGAAGAGCAUUGUGUGGACUGUGUUAUAUACAUAUAAAUAAAUAAAUAAAUAAAUAUAUAUAUAUAUAUAUAGAGAGAGAGAGAGAGAGAGAGUCAUGGACUUUAUUAAAGUUCAAAAAAAUUAUUAAGUCAUAUGGUCUAGCAGUGUAAUGACCUAUGAGACUAUAUGAUUUAAUAACUCUAUCAAAUUUUGACAAAAUCUAGAUUCGAGAUUGGAACAUAUCAUAAAAAGUAAGAAUUAGCUAGGAUGACUUUCUAUUUAUAAUUGUUCCUGAAGUAGAAAACCUUCGUUUUGUUCCAAAAUAGCUUCUUGCACAGGAUGGGAUUAUUAUCCGAGAUUUUGUUAAAGUCCAGACCAGAUCCGGGAUUAUGUUAAAGUACAAAAUCCAAAUCACGUGUCACGCACUAUCAUGUUCAUUUUAAUAAUCAUUUAAUUUGGAGACAAGUGAAAUUCACGUGCUAGGCGACGGCUCCUGUAAUGUGAUUGAAUCGUAACGCAAGUAUUAAUUAAGGGUACCCUUGUAAUUGUAAUUAGAAUUAAUGCCUAUAUAAUCACCUUGAUGUAAUGCUAAUUCUUCAUGCACACAUAUUGCUUUGCUUAAACAUUGUGUCAUUGCUGCCAAGUUGCCCCAAAUCUCUUCAUAUAUAGCUUUUUUAUGUUUAUUUAAAGAAUGUGGAAAUUGAAGCUUUCGGAAGGAAAUUGUGAACAUGAUCCAUGGCUUACAAGUUUGAACAAUCAUAUUGGCAGACAAUUCUGGGAAUUUGACCCAAAUCUUGGAACUCCUGAAGAACGGCAACAAGUUAACAAACUUCGCAAUGAUUUCACCGAGAAUCGGUUUCUAACGAAGCACAGUUCUGAUCUCUUAAUGAGACUUCAGGUAAAGAAAUAUCAUUUGUAUGUGUGUAAACUUUACACCAAGAUUUUCAUCAUUUUCGCACUUUAUAAAAUGCAGAUUUAACCAUUAAUAUAAUUCUCAUCAUGAAGUCGUCAGGAUUUGAGAAUUACCGAGUAAUAUAUUACUUGUGUUUAUGUUAUAUGUACAGUUUGCGAAGGAGAAUGCAUGUGAGAUGAAGCAGCUGCCUCAGGUGAAAGUAAAAGAUGAAGAAGAAAUAAGUGAUGAGCAAGUUGUGAGUACAACAUUGAGGAGAGCUCUGAGAUUCUAUUCUAGUCUCCAGGCCGAGGAUGGCUUUUGGCCUGGUGACUAUGGUGGCCCUUUAUUCCUUCUUCCUGGCUUGGUAUAUCUAUAUAUACAUACAUAUAUGGUGAUCCUCAAUUAGUUUACUUGUCUUUUGAAUUUUUAUAAUAUUUUGGAUCAAAAAAUAAAGAUACACAGAAAUGUGUGUGAGUGUUUUUAAUCUCUUAGUUGAAAUACGCAUUCAGCCAACUUUCGGCUUAAAGAAAUAUGAUCUCCUUCUUCAAAUCUUUAUUUAUUUUUGUGAAAAUUAACAAAAAGAAAAAAAAAAAUUGCAAUAGUCGUUUCACUAUGUUAAUGAUCCCAGCCUCCCGAAAUCAUAUUUGUUCUCUUCAGAAAUCACAUCAGCACCGACACGAGUAAACUGAACUUCAAUAAUGUUAUCAUUUUUGGUAUUUUUUUAGGUCUAUACAUGUCUAUAUAGUUUAAUAUAAGGUUGUUAUUAGUCACAAAGAAUUGAACAAAUUCACUGUAUUUACAAUUUCAUGGUCCCCUUCUCUCCCUUUCUGUUAUUUAAAAAAAAAAUUUGUAGGUAUUUCUAGCAAAAAAACUGCUUUCAAUGUCUUAUUCAUAUUGUUGUCAUCAUGACAAGCAUCCGCAUUCUUUUUAAAAAAAAAAAAAAAAUCUAUGCAUUUUUUUCAAAAUUAAGAUUAAGAAAUUUUUUUUUUUGAAAUCUAUAUAUAUUUUUCAAAAUUAAGUCGCAUCAUUUAUAUAUCCAUUUUCAAACUCAAAAUCAAUAUUUAUGUGUAAUAAAUUAUGAGACAGGUGAUGGGCUUAUUUGUAACCGGUGCCUUGAAUGCAAUUUUAACAGUGGAACAUCGAAGGGAAAUGAUUCGUUAUCUAUAUAACCACCAGGUAUAUGUUUUACUUAUAAAAAUACAUAAUUAAACAAUUCUAUUAACCGUGUAGAUUAAUUUCUCAACAAAUAUUUUACAAACUGAAGGUGUUUAUUGAAACUAAGCCAUAACUUUUGCGGAGUAAUGUGAAACCAAUAAUCUACAGAAUAGAGAUGGAGGAUGGGGAUUGCAUAUAGAAGGGUGCAGCACGAUGUUCUGUACUGCGCUAUCAUAUGUCACUUUGAGACUGCUUGGAGAGACAAUGGACAGUGGGGAUGAUGGUGCCAUGGAAAAAGCCCGAAAAUGGAUCCUUGAUCGCGGUGGGGUCACCUCCAUUCCAUCUUGGGGAAAGAUGUGGCUUUCGGUACGAACCAUUCAUUACAUCCCUGUAAUCAUCCUCCGGUCUGAACGUCUUGGUGCAAAUUUGUUCACGAAUGUUGGCAUUUCAAGGCUAAAAUACACAACAAUUUAGCACUGAAUUGCGAGCAAACCGUAUACAAUUAGUUCACAUUUUAUAUUACUGUUUUUUUAUUUUAUCUUCACAACUCAUUAUUUAGAUUUUUGCUACCUAUAUUUUUCGGCAAAAUAAAAAUAGGUGCUUGGAGUAUACGAGUGGAGUGGGAACAAUCCACUACCCCGGAAAUAUGGCUUCUCCCUUAUUUUCUUCCUUUUCAUCCAGGUAAAAACUAAUUUUGUUUGUGUGUUUGUUUAUAUUAUCUAUAAUUCAGCUUUUUUAUGUGUAAAUUCAAAACCUUAAAUUGAUAUUUUAAGUGAAAACGAACUCGUUAUACCAUGUAGUUAAUUAAUAUCGGAUGUUUAUGUUUUUUGAUCCGGGAUCUUAAAAUGCGGGAAAAAUUCAGGAAAGUUUUAAAGGCGUGAGAUUUUAAAAGUUUAAAACUUAAAGAAUUAAAACCGCACGGUUUAUACGUUUUCCAGAACUUUCCCACACUUUAAAAUUUCCAAACUUUAAUUACUAUGGCCAUAAAAAUACGGGGUUAACUAUAUAUCAAUAAUCAUAAUUUAAUUUUGGAUUUUAUAGAAUAAAUACAUGUACGUCGGAGAAAAUUUCCCAUAUUGUCGUGUUAGUACAUUUUGGAAUAGUAAAUUAAUUAGUUAUAGUUUUGAAUGAUACAAGUAAAUGGAUCGUAUAAAUUGAUGAAAUUAAUGCACGUAUGCAGGACGUAUGUGGUGUCAUUGUCGGAUGAUGUAUUUGCCAAUGUCGUAUUUGUAUGGAACCAGAUUUGUCGGUCCAUUCAAUUCUCUUAUUUUAUCUCUUAGAAAGGAGCUCUACACGCUUCCUUAUCACUCCAUCGAUUGGGACCAUGCCCGAAAUUUGUGUGCCAAGGUACAAUAAAAUUAAAAUAAUCUUUAUUCCAUUCUAUUUAAAUUUAAAAACUUCAUAACUUUAUGUGCGACAAGAGAAAAGACAAGCCGAAUUAACUUAAUACUCUACUAAUAAUAAAUAUUACAAUUACAGUAUUAAAUGUCAAUUUUUUUCCUCAUUUCUCUUUUAUGUGAUAAUUUGAGAAAAAGAGCGAACCCAUAUUGUUUAAUAAGACUAAUCGAAACCCUUUGAUAUUUUAAAAUAUGUUUAAAUGUUUUUAGGUGUCAAUUUGUUUUUGUUAAUCUUAUCAUUUUAUCCUUUGUGGUUGUUUGACGUUGGGGUUAUAUGAAUAUAUAUAAUUCUUUAAUUAAUUGACUAAUUAUUUUUUUCAUAACUAAUUGCAAAAGUAAAUGAAAAAUUAUGGAACAAGUAAGCAAAAUUGUCAUAAAAUUUUAAUUAGUUAUGAAUUUUUACAAAACAAUUGAAAAUUAAAUAUAAAAGUUUAAUUUAUAUAUAGUCAUUAUCUAAUUAUGGAUUUCUUAAAUUAUUAAAGUAAGAGAUAAAGUAAAAGACAAAAUACACGCUCCAAUAUAAGGUGUUUUAUCCGAUCGUGUAUCGAAUUGUGUGUCUCUUCUGUCUUUUAAUUUAUUCUUUACUUUAAUAAUUUAAGGGAACCGAAUAUAUAUAUAAUGAAAUUCCUUUACUUUUACCCAUAGUUUUUCAGUUAAUUAUAAAUUAUUUAAUUAAUUAAAUAAUUAAAGAUAUUUAUUUAAGGGGUUCCACUCAUUUUCCUUGAUAACUUAAUAGAAAAAUAAUUUUAUUCUAGUGUCAAUGCGUGGUUAAUUGCUCAAAUUAAUAAUAAUGAGUGGUACGAUUCGCCAAUUGGAGCUUUAAAUAAUGUUGGCGUUGUCACUUGUAAGAGAUUAAAUUAUAAAUUUUAGUACAGGUGACAUGAGAAUAAGAUAUAAAAUAAUGAGUGAGAUAAUCUUUUUCAUUUUUUGAAAACAUAAUAUAAACAAAAUUGAUUAUAAAGUAGGGAAGGUAGUAUGAUGUAAUUUUUUUUUUAUUUUUUGAGAAGUAGUACGAUGUAAUUGUGAUGAAAUUCAAAAUAUUUAACUUCCGAAUGAUUUAGAUUGAAUCAAUAAUUGAGAUCUAUAAUAAAAGACAAUCAAAUGAUCAAUCUUCUCGCAUAAUGUACAAUAUUUAAUUUCCUAUCAAAAUCAAAAGUGGAUGGAAGGUCACUUUCUUCAAAAGUAGACGGAAGGACGAUAGAGGUUGCAGAAAUUAUUUUUGAAAUAUUAAUUAAAGAAAACUAGAGUGGUUCCUUUGUUCUAAUAUGAUAAUUUUGGACCUGCUUGUAAAGAGAGCAUUUGUAUUAAAAUUGUUUAAAGAAAAUACCAUACCAAUUUGUAAGCAAAUAAAACUUUGUAUGGCAAUUGGUAUAUUUAGCUUUAUUUGUAUUAUUACUAAUAUAAUAGGAGAAAAAUUAACGUUUUGCAGGAGGACCUUUACAAUCCCCACCCCAUGAUCCAAGACAUAUUAUGGGGGUGUCUUCACAAGAUUGGGGAACCUCUUGUAAAGAAAUGGCCUUUCUCUAAGCUGAGACACAAUGCUCUUAAAACUGUAAUGCAACACAUCCAUUAUGAAGAUGAGAAUACGCAGUAUAUUUGCAUUGGCCCCGUCAAUAAGGUAAUUUUCAGGACGAAAUUUAACCCACUUAAUGUAAAUUUUAAGCCUAAUCCCUUCAUAUUUACAGUUUUUAUCUUUUAGCCUAAAAAGUUUGUUUUUCUCUAUUAUACCUCCCAUUGAACCAAAAUUCUUAUUCUGCCAUUGGUCAAAUCAAAUCCAUUGUAAGCUUUUUUGGAAAAAUAAUUGUAUUUACAAAGUUUUAGAAUGGUUUUUGAUACAUUGGAAGCUAUUUUAGGAAUAUUAAUUAAUAAUGUAAGAUCAAUUAAUUACAUUUGAAGGAUCUUGAUCGGAUGAGUAUUGUCACGCACAUUAUAGUACGCAAUAGGACGCGUGUCAAUUUUUUAUUAGUAGGUUUAUGUUGUGGGCCCACAACCCCACCAAUGAAAUAGUAACAUGUGUCCGCACAUAAUAUCAGCCCACUACAUUUGAAUUGAUAAAUUGUCAAACCUUUGUGCAUACAUAGGUACUAAACAUGAUUUGCUGUUGGGUGGAGGACCCAAAUUCUGAGGCCUAUAAACGUCACCUCUCAAGAAUUAAAGACUAUCUCUGGCUUGCUGAAGAUGGAAUGAAGAUGCAGGUUGCAAUUAGUUAAACAGUUUUAUUUAGGAAAAAUUUAAUCAAUUUGGGAUUUUGAUAUUAAUUAUAAAAUCCUCAAUGACAGGGAUACAACGGGUCACAACUGUGGGAUGUAACAUUUGCAGUCCAAGCAAUCUUGGCCACUGAUCUUGUUGACGAAUGUGGUUCAACACUUAAGAAAGCCUUCAGUUUCCUAAAAAACACUCAAGUAUCUAUUAAUUUCACUUAAAAGAUCAAACCUUUAAACCUAUCUUUAAUCUUAAAUUAAAACAAAAUGUUAGCGGAUUUUCUUGUUCAUAAGUCAUGAUUAAAUUUGUCAAUUAAGGUUCGGGAAGAUUGCAGUGGUGAUCUUAAUUAUUGGUACCGCCAUAUUUCUAAAGGAGGAUGGCCUUUCUCCACUGCUGACAAUGGUUGGCCUGUUUUAGAUUGUACUGCUGAAGGAUUAAAGGUACAUUUCUUUUUCCCAAGUCUCUGUUUCCUGAGCCUAGAUGCUAUGUUGGCAUGUGGGUACUUAUUAAUUAAACCGAUAAAACUUCUUACGAUGGAAAGGUUGGUUCGAUUCAUGAUCAUACAGGCAGCAAUAUUAUUAUCACAAUUGCCAGCUGACAUAGUGGGAGAAGCAAUACAAGAAAAUCAGUUAUAUGAUGCUGUUAAUGUUAUCUUAUCCUUACAGGUACUUCAUAGGCAACGGUCUUAAAAUUGAUUAUCAACUAUUUAAUUUUGUCUUUCGAAAGAAAACAUAUCAGGUUUGUACAAAUGCAUGUCUUCUUAAUUGCAGAACAGCACUGGAGGCUUUGCAUCUUAUGAGCUAACAAGAUCUUAUGCAUGGUUAGAGGUGAGAAAAAUAUUUUCCUUUCAAUUAAUUGGGUCUAUUAACUGAGGAGUGAGGCAUUGAUUAAGUUUUGACAAGAUUUUAUUUGUAUUAAAUUUCAGAUGAUCAAUCCAGCUGAAACUUUCGGAGAUAUCAUUAUAGAUUAUCAGUAAGAUAACCAAAUUAAUUAAUUAUUCAAUUGAUUAAUUAGCAAUCAAAAUCUAUAAAAUACAAAUUUUCUAAGCUACAUUAAAAUGGAGAUAAUCAAUAUGUGCAAGUUAUGACAAACUAAAUUUAAGAGUAGUUAAAAUUAAAUUAGGUGUCUAAUUUAUUACAGGAGUUAUGGUCGCUCAUAUUUCGUGUAUAAUUUAGGUAUGUGGAGUGCACUUCAGCAGCAAUCCAAGGUCUAAAAUCAUUCAUGAAAAGCUAUCCAGGACACAGGAGAAGAGAAAUAGAAGCCUGUAUUGAAAAGGCCAUCGAGUUUAUUGAAAGCAAACAACAACCUGAUGGUUCAUGGUAUGUUUAACUUGUAUAUAAAUGUCAUGUUAAUUUAAAUAAAAGUUUCCUGUAUAUCACUCUCUAAUUAAAUAUUUAGGCAUCUUGAUUUUUAAUAUGUUAAGAAAUGUUAUGAUAAUUUGAAGUGAUUAUUUAUGAAUUUAGGUAUGGGUCGUGGGGAGUGUGCUUCACAUAUGGAACGUGGUUUGGAGUAAAGGGCCUGGUGACUUGCGGUAAAACAUAUGAAAAUAGCAAUAGCAUAAAAAGAGCAUGUAAUUUCUUGCUAUCCAAACAGCUUGAUUCUGGUGGGUGGGGAGAGAGCGAUCUUUCUUGCCAAAACAAGGUAAUUAACCCAAUUUUAAGUUUAUUAAGGAUAUCCAAGUUUGUUAUUUUCCCAGGAAAUUUUGGAAAAGAAAUUGUUGAUUGCAUAGAGGGAGAAAAAACCAUUAUAUUGAUUGUACCUUUUUAUUUUUAUUUUUAAACUGCUCUUGUGAAAUCUUUGAUAAGGUAUACACAAAUCUGGAAGGAAAUAAAUUACAUCUCGUAAACACUGCGUGGGCAAUGCUCUCUCUCAUUGAAGCUGGCCAGGUAUGUAAAUUAGUAAAUAUAUUCUUUAACUAGUUUCGAAUUAUAAUUAAUCAAAUCUUAACAAUAAUGACAAUUUUUAUUUUAUUUUAUUUACAUAAAUGGAUUAGGCUCAUAGAGAUCCAAUCCCAUUACACCGCGCUGCAAAGGUGCUCAUUAAUUCACAAAUGGAAAAUGGAGAUUUCCCGCAACAGGUAAAUCUGCAUACUAUAAAGAUUUCCCGCAACAGGUAAUUAAGUUAAAAAAAAAAGGAGAGAGAGAGAGAUAGAUAAUCAUUUUGAAUAUAAUAAUUGUAAGACUUGAAAGAUAAAACUACUAUAAUAAUUUUUUUUAAUAAUUACCUUUAUAUCUAUUUUUUCUUUUAUAGGAAAUCAUGGGAGUAUUCAACAAGAAUUGUACGAUAAGUUAUUCUGCUUACAGAAACAUCUUUCCCGUAUGGGCUCUUGGUGAAUAUCUCAAUCUCGUUUUGCUACCUUCCAAGAAUUGUUGAAUGUACCAAAAUCAAUGCGAUAAUGAUCUUAUACAUGGUCAAUUAAUAAAUGAAAAAUAAAAGCCUGAAUAAUUAAAUUAAUGUAAUACUCAAUUAGCUAGUGUUCCAAUGACUUGCUCUAUCAUAAAGUGCUUUAUUGGGUAAUCAAAACAAUUAUAUAUGCAAUGUAAUUAUUUGGGUGUAUGUUAAGCUCUUUCUCACACAAACAUUACGGCAUAUCUAUCUAUCUAUAUAUAUAUAUAUUAAGUUGGGACUUGAGGAGGUGAUGUGGAAUCACCAUUUCUCAUCUUUGUAUAUUAUCUAUUAUUUAAUAAAUAGAUAAAUUUUCUUUUAGAUUUGGCUUUUCAUCUUCUCAUAAUUAAUUUGAUUGUUAUUACACAAUAACAAUUAUGUAAAGAUUUUAAUGAGGCAUAUUCUUUGUAAUGAACAUCCAAGGGGGAGUGUUAUGAAUUUAUUAAAAUAAAUAUAGAUGUUCGUAACAUAUAUCUCUUAGUCUCCCCACUAUCUUCCAUUAGCAACCUUUAGCUUCCCUAUAACUCUCACUAUCUCACAAGGAAUUAUGAUCCAUAAUUUUUCAUUAAUUUCAUGGAGUGAUUAUGUAACUAUAAAAAGGAGAGCUCAUCUUUUUGUUUUGUACACACACAAUUGGAAUGAAUAAAAUCACUCUAUAAUAUAUUCUCUCAUUUUAUUCUUUAUCUUGCGUUGCUUCUUUAUUUGUAUUGCUGGCUAAUAAUUUUUUUUUUGUUUUUUAUAAGGCUGCCUCAUCUUAAAAAAAAAUCAAUUCAUAUUUUUUAUCAAUUUCAUCAAGUAUAAAGUAAGAAAAAAAGAUAAUACUAAAUUAUUUUUUCAAAGCCGCGUGAAGCGCGGUUCUAUUUUCUAGUUUAUUUAUAAAUAAGAAGAAGAUGGGCAUUAAUCUUCGCUGACAUAAGUGAUUAAGCCUUGAAUAAAAUAGCAAGCAAUAACUUUAAACUAAUUGCCACAAAAUAAUAACGAAUUUAAUCAUUAAAAGAAUAAUGGUAAUUUUAAUUACAAAGAAUUAAUUACGCUUAAGAGAAAUAAGGAGCUGGUUUCACCUCUCCUAAAAAUCUCAACAGACCCUAAAUCGCUACAUGGACAUGUAUUGAUGGCAACAAAGCCCAAGCUACAAUUAAUUUUAUGCUUUAAUUCAAUUUGAUGCAUCAAUCAGUUAUAAACAGGAGGAGCUCUUCCAUAUAAUGCUGGAACAAUAGCAGGGAAAAACAUUUGCCUCACUCCCUCCGCUUUGAUGAUAGGAAAAAGAAUUUCUGAUGCACCCUGCAGCAUAAAUAUGAUUUUUUUUUUCUUAUGAAUCAAAAAUAUUCCAGACGAUAUUUUAAUAAUCAGUUGUAAAGUAGUAGCCAGAUAAAAAGUCGCUUCUUCUCUUAAAUAUGAAUUGUGGCAAUAAAAUAUCAUUUUAUUUUUGUCAAUUAGUAUGUUGUAAAAUGCAAACGUCCCCAUCUGAUGAGAAUUUUGAUUAAGGAAAAUGCUUACCCAAAUUAGCUUAGCACCAAUCCACAGGCGUUUAGGCGAAGGAAAUGGUAAUAACAAACGACCAACACCAAAUAUUGCCAUUGCUAAGAAAUGGAAAAUUAAGCUUGAUGGGCGAGGGUUUAGGCCUGACAGUAGAGCCAUUGCUCCUGAUGUGUAAAUUCCUCCAAGCCCUAAAUAAUCAACACUUGCUUGCCGCAUUAUCUCUCUUGCCUCAUCAGAUGAUGAUGAAAACACUUGGUAAGCAGAAUUUGCCAGAGUGUUUAUUGUAGAUGCCACGGGCUGCAUGCAUGGAAAAAUAAUAUCAAUCACUGAUGCAGCGGAAGUUUAAUAUUCAAAAUAUUCCGUUGAUUCUAGAGAAUACCGGAACAAAAGAACAACUAAAUUCACGUUGAUUCAAAAGAAUACCGCGAAUUUAGGGAUUAAGACUCGUUGAUUCCGCAAAAUGCCGAGAAUUAACUGUUCAAAUACUCACAAAGAGAUUUGAAAAUUGAAAUAUUAUUAAACUCAAAAUUCUCUUCUUGUAAAAGCUACAAAAGACACUUAUUUAUACUAAAUAAGACUUAUCCUAAUAUGAUUAGAAAACCUAUUUUAAUAAGACUUAUGCCUAAAUUAGGAAUAUUACCCAAAUAAGCAAUACAUAAACAAUAAGACUCUAAAUAGGAAACCAAAUUAAACUAGAAUACAAAUUAAUUAAAAUAUUCCUAAAUAUUAUACAUUUAAAUAUAAUUAGGAUUUCUUCAAUUUCUUGCUCUGCAUCAUUCCCGCCAGGUUGGAGAAAAUUCGUCCUUGAAUUAUGUAUGUUGUAGUCUUCAAGAACAUCUUCAUGUGCAUAAAGAUUAAUUUUUAAAACAGAGCUUUGACAUAGACGAAAAACUUUAAAUUUUCCAACUUUUGUAAUAACGUCCAUCCAAUCACUCCAAUGGCGUAAAACAAAUUCUUCUAUCAACAACUUCUCCAAUAAUGUCUUCUCGUAUUGUUCGUGUCGAACUUCAACAUAGUUGAGGAAAAACGAUUUCUUCUCAUAAUCCACUAACUGUUGAAAAAUAUCACAACUCUUUUUGUCUUCUUUCGGCAAAUCAAGAGAACAAUAAGAGAUUGUAUCAACAACUAUCUCUCUCUCCUCCACAAGAUCAAAAGAUGGAUGAACAAUUACCUCUUCUCGUCCCACAAUAUCAAGAUACUCAUCAAAUUUCGGCGAUUGAUCCAAAUCAAUGUCUUUGUGUUGAGGAUUUGUUGUAGACAUGAAUGGCCAAUUAAUAUUCUCCUCGGAAGGAAUAAUAUUGUCGAAAGGAACAAAGUUACCAUUUUCCUCAUUAUCUUCAUAACAAACAUCAUCGUGAACAACUUCAUCAAAUCCAUAUGCAUGCUUUAUGUGUAAAAAUUUUCUAUCUCGAAUUUUCUCUAAAUCUUGAGAAAUUGAACGCAAAAUCCUCAACAUCUUAACUAAAACAUCUCUCAAGAUGAAAUCUUCACGUCGAUGUUGUGAUUUCAUGAUAUAAUUUUUUUCUUUUUUUUUCUAUGCUUUUUUUGGUGUUGUUUGGGUUUUUUUUUUUUAAAAACUAAACGGAAAAAAACAAAAAAGGAAAGGUUUGGUGGUAGAUGGAGUUAGAUUAGUGAUACCAGGUUUUGGCUCUGAUACCAAGCUGAUGCAGCGGAAGUUUAAUGUUCAAAAUAUUCCGUUGAUUCUAGAGAAUACCGGAACAAAAGAACAACUAAAUUCACGUUGAUUCAAAAGAAUACCGUGAAUUUAGGGAUUAAGACUCGUUGAUUCCGCAAAAUACUUAAGACUCGUUGAUUCCGCAAAAUACCGAGAAUUAACUGUUCAAAUACUCACAAAGAGAUUUGAAAAUUGAAAUAUUAUUAAACUCAAAAUUCUCUUCUUGUAAAAGCUACAAAAGACACUUAUUUAUACUAAAUAAGACUUAUCCUAAUAUGAUUAGAAAACCUAUUUUAAUAAGACUUAUGCCUAAAUUAGGAAUAUUACCCAAAUAAGCAAUACAUAAAUAAUAAGACUCUAAAUAGGAAACCAAAUUAAACUAGAAUACAAAUUAAUUAAAAUAUUCCUAAAUAUUAUACAUUUAAAUAUAAUUAGGAUUUCUUCAAUUUCUUGCUCUGCAUCAAUCACCGAUGCACACACUUAUAUUCGACAGACAGUGACUCAAUUUGACAGUUACCUUGCGUAAGGUGUAAAAGGAUUCGAGAUAUUGGUUAAGAGAAGCAGCAUCGUGAAAAUCCUGAAGAGGCUUUAUAAGAUUUCUAAGUACGACGACGUCAGAGAGAGCCACAGUCAUUCCCCCACCAGUUAAAGGAUGGCGCAUGUUGAAAGCAUCACCCAACAAAAGGGCUCCGGGGGUAGGUUUGGGAGCCGCCGGCAUGCUUCUGUUUGUCGCUGUUCUAAUGCUGCCUUUCUCAACUUUUGAAAUGAAUGCAUCGCGAAGCUCAUCAGGAAUCUGAAACGAACAACAGUGCUCAUCAUGUAACUAUGAUUAGCUUCACAAGGGAUUCCUAAUACUUUUCGUUAACUGUGUAAUUUAACAUUCAAUAAAAUAGCCAACCAUAAACGCAUGUGUGGCAGAAAAUUCAAGAAAGAUUAACACAUGCAGCUUAACUCAACACUGGAUACAAAUUCGAAAAAUGUACCUGCGGUGCCACUUUGGUCUUCAAGUAUUUGGCCAUUUCACCAUUGGCAAUUGAAGGUAAUUUCUGACCAGCUGGUACAUCAACCAAGCAUCUAACUUCUGAGCUACUAAUUGGAUAAAAUAAGAUGGGUGAGGGAUCUGCUAAAACUACGUGUCCGUGAUUUGGGACUGGAAGCUGACAGUUCUCCAAUGCCAUACCGACAAAACAUGAUGGUAUAUCAACCUGUUAAAACAAGUCAAGUUCGAUACUAUCGAUAUUUAUUAGGAUAAACAAAUUAAGGAGACUUAUUUGCAGCCAAUAAAAUAAAAUAAAAUAAAAUACGAAGGAAAAUUUCACCUUUGGAUUGCAAAGAGACCGACGCAGAUUGGAGAAGCCACCGUCAAAUACAAUUGUAAGAGGAGCGCAAGAUUUGUGUUCUUGACCGUCCUUAGUUUUGUAAUGAACCCCUUUCACAAUUCCAUUUUCUUGAAACAGGGAUGUCACUGUCCCUUCCUCCAUCCGUACACUGAAUUGAUCAUUAAAUUGUCAAACGCCAAUUGUUUUUGUUUUUGUUAAAAAUCUGGAGCAAUCAAUGCAUUGUAUUUGAUUGUUAAUAUAAUCUAUGCAGAUAUUCGCACUUGAGAAAAGUAAAAAAUAUUAUAUGCACGUACUUGGAAAGAGAAGCAGCUUUUUCUCUCAUUCUUUGAAUGAACCGGCCAUUGUGGAAACUCCUGCCGGCAACGUUAGCCUGAAAGUUUCCCAGUGGAUAAGGAGUUUUUGUAAUUUUUCCGUCCUUGAACAGAGCGUAUCCAACUACAGGCUGGGCAUCGAUUUCUUCCACACAAUCUGCAUUCAUUCAGAUAAUUAAAACAAGUACAAUAGUGUUAAUUAAUGAAACUUGUAGUAAUUAAUUAGUUAUGUUAUUAUAUAUAUACCAUCAAGGCCUAAUUCAACUAGUUUCAGGUAUCCUCCAGGCUGUAGCAAUUCACCAACAAUUCUAUCAGGCUCCGUCAGGUCUCUUUCGAUCACAUGAACUCUUCUUCCAUCCUGCAUAUCAAUUUAGUUUAUGUUAAUUGAAAUUAAACAAACCCAAAAAGCCAAAAAAAAGAAAAAAAGGAAUUACGUACGUACCUUGCCAAGGGCAUGGGCUAGAGCAGCACCAGCAACACCAGCACCAACAAUGAUAACAUCGGGGCCGGAAACAUUCUCCGGCAGAGAAUGUUCGUUAUCUGCGGAUGUCAAAACGACGUCAUUUUCCAUCUUGUUGUAAUUCUUUCUGCUCUUGGGUAACUUCUUCAUCUUGUUAGGGCGCAAAAUUAUGAGAAGAAGCAAGCCAAUAAGAGAAGUAGCAAAGGAAGUGCCAAUGAACUGAUCAAUCAUCAACACCAUUCUUUUUUCGGUUAUGAAUUCAGACAAAUGUCUGCGAACAAUGAAUGCAAUAUCUUGAUUGUCUUUCUUGAUUUGUUGGUAAGCUUUUGAUUCGAUGAGUGAUUGUGAGCAGAGGCCAUAGAGGCUUUAUAAAUAGAAAGAUCACAUGCGGGGCGGUGGUGUUUUUGGUAAAGAGAACUUCAAUGCCAAAUUGUAACUUCUGCAAUAUCAACUGCUUUUUGAGUCAGCAGCCAGCUACGACGACUGGGCCUUCAGUGACUCUAAACUCAUCAUGUUUCCUAUUACUCAUUUUUUUAUUAUCACUAAAAUGGAAUCUUGCUAAGUCAAUUAAUACAAAAUUUUACAUCAAUUUAAGAAGGGAAAUUAUCAUUACACCACUUUUAUUUUGCUUUAUAUUCAUCCAACCACUACAAAAUUUUAAUAUGUAUUUUGCACUACUUUUUUUUUUUUUUCACAUUUGUAUCAACUAACCACUUUUGCAUUAACACUAUUAAAUAAUUUUAAUAAAAUGAUAAUUUUACCCCCAAAUAAAUUAAAAGACCAUUUUAUUUUAUAAAAACUUUAAAAAUAAUAAAAUAUAAUGAUAAAAAUAUCCCUAAAUUUAAUAAAAAUAAAUCCCAAAAUUAGAAUUUUUAUUUUUAAUAAAAAUUAUUUUAAUAUAAAAUUAUAAUUAUAAAAAUAAUUGCAAAAUUUUGGGAUUUAAUAAAAAUUCCCUAAAUUAUUAAAAUUUUAGGAUUUAUUCUUUUAAGAAAUAAAUUCAGUUAUUUUCAUAAAAUUUUACAAAAUUAUAAUUUUUAAUAAAUAAAUUCAUUUAUUUAUAUGAAAAUUUUGUAAAAUUCUAAUUUUUAAUAAAAAUAAUUAUUAAAAUUUUGUAAAAUCUAAAUUUAGUAAAAAUCAGUUGAGCACCUCUAUUUGGGAUUUAUUUUUUAUUAAAUUUAAGGAUAUUUUUUAUGAUUAUAAUUUUUAAUUUUAAAAGUUUUUAUAAGAUAAAAUAGUCUUUUAAUUUAUUUGGGGGUAAAAUUGUUAUUUUAUUAAAAUUAUUUAAUAGUGUUAAUGCAAAAGUGGCUAGUUGAUACAAAUGUGAAAAAAAGGUGGUGCAAAGUACAUGUUAAAAUUUUGUAGUGGUUGGAUGAACAUAAGGUAAAAUAAAUGUGGUGCAAUGAUAAUUUCCCAUUUAAGAAUCGUAAAAAAAUUAAUUGUGAAAAAUAUAGAAAUUCAAGCCCAUUUUAAAUUUAUGACCACACUAUAUUUUUUUCACAUAAAAUAAACUAAUAAGAAAACCGGCUUGUACACUUAAAAAUUAUUAAAAGAUAAAUUUUGCUAUAAUCCUUAGCGUUUGGGUCAAUUAUUCUAUUAGUCCUUAUAUUUUCAUUUCAAAAUAUCAAGAUUGUUCUUUCUAUCACUGUUUGAUCUAAUUUUUUUAAGAACAAAUUUAAUAUGCUACAGGUGAAAAGUAGAAAAUAAUUAAGUAUAUUUUAAAUAUUAAAAAUAGAUACACAAGAAAACAUUUUAGGAAGCUUAUAAAAUACAAGAAUUACCAAACCCUUAAGGAAUAAAGCAAAACUUUCCUUUAUUAAAAUUAAUAAAAGUUGAUAUAUGGAAUAUUGAGAACGAGUAUCGUAUUGUACAUAUAUUUGUACCCUUUAUUCUCCUUGUUGCUUGACGACAAAGGACCACGGCCAUGACAAAAUAAGUUAUAAUUACCGUCGAGUUCAAGUCUUUAUGAUUGUGAAAAUACCACCAAAACAACGAACUAUUUGCGAAUCUAUGUAUUGAUAAAUAAAAGGAUUUUUCUAUCUGGAAAUGCACUCACUUGGAGGCUGAAACUAAGGGAGUUACCAGAGAAGAUAUGUUGAGUGUUAUGCACAGAUUAGUGGGUACGCUGGCCAAGAUUGAGCUUGAUUUUGUAGCAGCUAUAUGGUGAUUUACGUGGCAUGUAAGGAACAAACUCGUCAUUGAGGGAAGAAAUCAAACCCCAUGUUUUCAUCUACUAAGGGUAAAACAGUCAUGGAUGUUAGAACAAAAAAAUAAUAAUAAUAAUAAUAAAAACCAUUACCUACAAUCCAUGAACAUUCAUGUUGUACCAACAAGAAUCAAUAACAAAUUAUGCAGAAACAUACAUGAAUCCAUAACACUAAAUUGCUCUUUAGGAUUGUGUGGUUGGCCUUUCAGAUCAACACGUUCUCCUAGUGAAUCCUUUGAUAUCAUAUGCGCUCUCUCUCUGAUGACGGUAUGUCAGUAGAGAAUAGAAUGAUAAAAGUGACCUAAGGAUCAUAACCACUUAUAUAGACAACUUUUUUCUGUUGUCGUUAGGUAUUCCUAAUUUUGUCCAUAAUAGAGUUAGAAUACAAUUAGGUUUCUACACAUUAAAAGCCCACACCCCGUUAGAUACAUUAAAGGGCAUAAUACCAAACACCUUAAUAGAUCACUUUUAACUGGGCUUAAUCUUAUAUAACAGUUGCAAUACAUAAUUAUUCACUUAUAAGCUCGACGUUGGAUUAAAGAUCCAACAAUGCUGAAUUAAAAAUCCAACAAUGGAUGCUUAUCAAAAAGUGAAGGUGAGGGAACAAAAUUGCAAAAAAAAAGCAAAUAAGAUAGAAAACUGCAGGAAUAGAGUCCACCACCUAUCAAUUGCUUAAAAGUCAAUGUUGAUGCUGUUGUCCAUAAAGAUAAGCAAGUUGCAAGUCUAGGGGAACUCACUAGGCCAAGUGAUAGCUGCAGCAAUGAAAACAUAAAAUUUCAAGGGAAUAUUUCUCUUGUAGAAACUCAAGCUGUCAAAUAGGGGAUAGAGGUGGCAAAAGAGGCAAGCCUCACAGAUGCGAUUUUUGAAACAAAUUGCAGUGAAUUGGCUGACUUAACCAACAACAAAACCAACAAUAGAACAAAAAUUUGGUGGACUAUAUCAUAGAUUCAAAGAAGCAAACAAGAUUUUCAAUCGGCAAUAGUCCAACAUGUACCAAAGUAUUGAAAUAUUCUUGCUCACUCUCUCACUAAAAGAGCUUUUAGAAGCUCGAAAUAUGUCAUAUGGCUGGAUGGAUUCCCAGCUAAUAUAUUGUAUUUGUUUUUUUUUGUAAUCUCAAAUGAAUGAAAGGGUUACUUUAAUUUCUUCUAAAAAAUAAAAAAAGAUUUUUCUAAGUUACAUGUAUUUAAACUUACAUUCAAAUUUUUUUAGUUUAAAAAUGAGUAAUAAAAUAGUGGAGUCUGAUGGGGCCUAUGAGUGAAUUUUACUUAGCUAUAAGUUACAAUAAACAUAACUUAAAGUGACUCUGAAUAAAAUCGAUAUUGUUUUUUUUUGUAAUCUCAAAUGAAUGAAAGGGUUACUUUAAUUUCUUCUAAAAAAUAAAAAAGAUUUUUCUAAGUUACAUGUAUUUAAACUUACAUUCAAAUUUUUUUAGUUUAAAAAUGAGUAAUAAAAUAGUGGAGUCUGAUGGGGCCUAUGAGUGAAUUUUACUUAGCUAUAAGUUACGAUAAACAUACUCCUUGGAUUGUCAAUAUUUACAUUUUAAGUAAUUCACACUACUUUUGUGUCAACUUUAAAUUCUAUUUAAUAUAGUAACUUUGCAGUAGCCAUUCACCGCUAAAAAAAAGUAUUAUUUUAUGGAAAAUGUUUGGUGUAAAGAAAGAUGAGAGAAAGAUUGGAGAAAUAAAGAAGAAAAGGGAAGAGAGAGUGGGUGAGUAGAGAGAAAGAAGACAAAUUUCUCUCAUAUUUCUCUACACCUAGCACUACUCUUAUUUUAUUGUUAUAAUUGCAGAAAUGUAGCUAGUCUAUAUAUAAUAGAGCAAGCUAUUUGUGAGUCUAUGUAAGUUUAAAUAAAAUUGAUACCAUUCAACUCUCAGGAUUUUCACUAUUAAUGUUUUUAAACCGUUCAUAUACUGAGACUCUGUUUUGGUUCAAGUCUUAAUAAGCGAAAAAAAAUAAUUCUCGAGAUUCAUUAAAAAAUAAAAAAUAAACAAAAUUGAUCUCUAAUAGAACUACAAGUUUUAGAUUGAUCAAUUGAUGAUGAUUCACUUUUUUGUAGUCAUAUUAUCCAACCUAAAUAUCCUCUAAAAUAAAAUAUAGAAAGGAGGAUGAGAAAAUUUGGUCCCAUCUACUUUGGGGAAUGAUCACUUUCCAUAUUUACAAAAUGAUCAAGAUUUUUGCCAUAUUUUUGUACAUAAUAGUUAUAAUUCUUGGCAUACAUGUGCAUGUGCAUGCUAUAUCUUCUUGAUUCUUAUCAUACAAGCACCACCUAAGGGUCUUGAUGGUUAUAAUAUAUAUCACAUAAUAAAAUUGAUUCCUGUCAUAUAUAUUUACAUCCCAUGUCAAAAUGCCAUGAUUAAAAAGGAUCUUCAUGUGAUUCCUAGAAAUGAUCAUUUAAAUUUAAGCAAGUUGUUUUACAAAUUCAUGAGACUUCAACAUAAGGAUACGCUGGAAACAAUUAAUGAAGUUCUUCAUUAUAUGCAUGAUGUGCAUCCGGUCGAUUUAGAUUGUCACAAAUUAAAAAAUAACGACAACGAUUAUAAUUUUUUUUUUUUGAAUUGAUCGAAUACAAAAAAGUAAUUUUACAAAUUAAAGAAUCACGCUUGAGAUAAUUAAAGAGCACCCCUCGUAAAAAUCUCAAGUAACACACCCUUAAUCACUUUAUGGACACGUAAUUGAUAGCAACAAAACACGAUUAAGAGACAUUAAUGUCAAUAAACAGGAGGAGCUCUAUACAACGCCGGAACAGUAGCAGGGAAAAACAUUUGCCUCACUCCCUCCGCUUUGAUGAUGGGAAAAAGAAUUUCUGAAGCACCCUGUAAGAAUAUGAAAAAGAAUUACUUCUCUCCUACAAAUAUUUGGACUUUACAAAAUACAAAUUGUGGUUAUAUAGUAUCACUUUAUGUUUACUCCAAUUAAUAUUUUGUAAAAUACAGGUAUCCGCGCCAGAUGAGAAUUUUGAUGAUAGAAAAUACACGUACCCAAAUUAGCUUAGCACCAAUCCACAAGCGUUUAGGCGACGGAAAUGGUAGUAACAAACGGCCAACACCAAAUACUGCCAUUGCUAAGAAAUGGAAAAUUAAGCUUGAUGGGCGAGGGUUUAGGCCUGAGAGUAGAGCCAUUGCCCCCGAUGUGUAAAUUCCUCCAAGCCCUAAAUAAUCAACACUUGCUUGCCGCAUUAUCUCUCUUGCUUCGUCAGAUGAUGCUGAAAACACUUGAUAAACAGAAUUUGCCAGAGUGUUUAUUGUAGAUGCCACCGGCUGCAUGCAUGAAAGAAAACAAUUUUAUUUUGCAAACGACAAGAAGUGAAAUAUAAUUGCCGUGAAGUUGUUCAUCAUUGUGGUUAUGAUAUAUAAUUGCUGUGAAGUGAUAUAUAAUUUUGGUUCCUUUAAAAUUCAAGCACUAAAAUUUAAUCCAGUCUGCACCUGCUUAUUUUGUUCACCCAAAGCUUCAAACACUGGCCUCACCAAUGCUACAAAUACCCCAUCAUCACUCUCAUCCCCAUGAUUACUCAAUUUCGAAGCCAAAACUCCCAUUGUUUCCACACAAGCAUCCCUCACAACAGAAUCCGAAUCCUUGAGUCGCUUAACAAUGCUAGCAACCAUUUUAUUGACAUGCGGCCCAAUAAGAGCUUGAUGAAACUUAGCUAAUGUACCCAUCAAUCUAACACAUUCCUUUCGAACUGCACUCUUCUGUUCUGAAUCGGUGUCCAAAAUACACGAAACAAAUGGAGCAAUCUUCUCUGAGGUUAAACAUUCAGCCAAUUUGUCAAGCUCCUCGACCCCUAUUUGAUAAGUAUCUCUAUCAGCUAGCUUGUUUAGUGCAAGAAUCACUUUAUGCUUAAGCUCAAAUGAGACUUGUUGUACAUUAACCCUAGAAGCUCCCCUUCCUUUCAUCUGUGAAUUUGCCUUCAUCUUGCUAAAUCACCAAAUCGUUCCUAAAAUGAGUAAUUUUUUUCUCUUAUGAAACCAUCGGUGCUACAAGAAUGCAAAUGAAUAAGGAAUUUUUCAUAAUAAUAAGUAAAUAAAUAAUAAAAUAACACCGUAAAUGACAACAUUUUCUAUUUUCAUAAUUUCUUCAAAAUUUACUCUACAGCCUACACUGUCGAGAAUUGAGCAUAAAGUAAAUUUAACAAAAGAAUUAAGGAAUCGACGAACUUACAGAGAUAGGGCGAGCUUAAACCACAAAGACUGAGACCAGCAUUACCAUGGAUAAAAAUUCUUGAGAACUGAAAAAAUUAAAUUAAAAUGAUAAUAGAGAGAUUGAAUCAUUGAAAUACUCAAAAUUAAAAUAAUAAAAUAAUUGAAAGGCGACAAUCUCAGAGAACUUGAUGCAGAUAUCGAGAACUCCUCACCUCUCUUCGCUGUGAAUCCUUAAGAGAGAGAGUGCGUGAGAUUUUGUUUUUUCUGUUUUGGCUUUGAAUUUUGCGCGCUUACUCUGUAUUUCGAAUUUCAGGAAGCCUAUGAGCGUGGGUCAAGUUAGUUCCGUUUUAUCUAGCAAGAACUUUCAUGCGAUGGUAAAGCUCUGAACCUAUUGAGAGACAGAAAAAGCUUGAAAGUGUUACCUGCAGCAGAUCCAUCGUGUCGAACUUCAACAUAGUUGAGGAAAAACAAUUUUUUUUCAUAAUCCAUUAAUUGUUGAAAAAUAUCACAACUCUUUUUGUCUUUUUUUGACAAAUCAAGAGAACAACAAGAGAUUAUAUCAACAACUAUCUCUCUUUCCUCCACAAGAUCAAAAGAUGGAUGAACUAUUACCUCUUCUCGUCCCACAAUAUCAAGAUACUCAUCAAAUUUCGACAAUUGAUCCAAAUCAAUGUCUUUGUAUUGAGGAUUUGUUGUAGACACGAAUGGCCAAUUAAUAUUAUCCUCGGAAGGAAUAAUAUUGUCAAGAGAAACAAAGUUACCAUUUUCCUCAUUAUCUUCAUAACAAACAUCAUCAUGAACAACUUCAUCGAAUCCAUAUGUCUGCUUUAUGUGUAAAGAUUUUCUAUCUCGAAGUUUCUCUAAAUCUUGAGAAAUCAAACGUAAAAUCCUCAACAUCCUAUUUAAUACUUCUUUCAAGAUAAAAUCUUCACGGCGAUGUUGUCGUUUCAUGAAUCAAUUUUUUUUUUUUUUAAGAUUUGAAGCUAAACGGAAAAAUCAAAAAGGGAUUAGAAAACCUAUUUUAAUAAGACUUAUGCCUAAAUUAGGAAUAUUACCCAAAUAAGCAAUACCUAAACAAUAAGACUCUAAAUAGGAAACCAAAUUAAACUAGAAUACAAAUUAAUUAAAAUAUUCUUAAAUAUUAUACAUUUAAAUAUAAUUAGGAUUUCUUCAAUUUCUUGCUCUGCAUCACCUUACAUCUUUUCCCCUUAAGAAUUUUUGGUUGUCUUCUUUUUAAUUUCAUAUUCAGAUUAAUUCUCAACCGCGAUACAUUAAACCCAAAUUUCUUUUUUCCCAUCCAUAAAAUAGAGUUGUUAACAUUGCAAUGCAUUUUGUGAAACCGACGUUUCCUAUUACAAAAAUACAUAACCAGUUUCAAAGGUUGCCAGUCAAGUUCUCAUUUAAAAUUUAUCUAACUCCAACCAUUAGAUUCAAUCAUUUUUAAUCCAACAGUUUAUCUGAAUGAAGAGAAAUAGUAUCGUAUGUUGCAACGCAGGUGACCUGUAUAGAUAUAUAUGAUAGGACUUUUUUUUAAUUAAAUUAGUCUAAUUCUUUAUUUGGUGCUAUAAAGAUAAAAUCUUAGGAUCACACUAUUUAACCCUGGUCCCACGUUUUUAAUUUUUAUGAAGCAAAAUAAAAAUUUUAUCCAAUGAUAAUUGUAAGGAUAGCUUUGUAAAUUUUUUUUUUCAUGUUUACAAGUAAUUGUAGAAUAACUACGCUAUAAAAUAUUUUUAAAUAUUAUUAUAUUAUAUUAUCAUAUUGAUAUUUAAAUAUUUAUUUACUUUAAAUUUUUUUAUUUUACUUAGCUAAUAAUAUAAAUGUUGGAAUUUCUAAAUUACACACACACACACACAAUAUUCAGUAGUUUUUUUAUUUAAUAAUUUGAAUAUUCAUAUUAAAAAAAUUUAUGUUCAUAAAUGUACUCUUAUAAAUAAAUAAAUCAAUACUAGUAUAUUUCAUUUUCUUCUAAAUUAGUUUAGUACAAUCCUAGGAUAUGUUUGACAUGCAGGAUUGAAUUCAACUAACUACUAAAAUUAGAUUGAACUAUAUUAGAAUUGAAUAGAGUGAAUUAUAUGUAGUAUUGUCUUUUGUUUGUUAUAAUAUCAUGAGUAUGCUAAAUUUAAUUUAAUAAAGCUAAAUAACUAUUUAAACAGUACAAUUAUUUUAAAUUAUAUUACUACUUGUUAAAUUUAAUAUUUUGUAAAUAAAUUAUUGAAUAUAAUUUUGAUAUUUACUCUUAUAUUAAAUACUAGUGUCAACAAAUUGUUGAAUUUAAAUUUGAUAAUUAGUAUAAUAUAAAAUUUUGGUUUAAAUAAAAAUGAAAAGAGUGAUAAAGAAGAUUUUAUCCUACUUACAUUAAUAACCUCAUUACGGAUUAAAUUUUGGACUAAUCAACUAAUUUAGACAGCCAAACAUGCCCAAGAUUGGAUUAAUUUUUUAUUUUGUCCCAAAAAUUAGUCCAAUCCUAUCUUAAGUUUAGUUUAGUACAAUGGUAUAGUAUACUAAACACGAGAUAAAACCAAAUCUAAUAUAAUCUAAUCUUAUCAUAUCCUUCCAAAUACAACAUAAUUUUACAUAUCAUCCAAUCAUAUCUUAUGUUAUUCCAUCCUAUCCUAUACUAUCUUACGUGCCAAACACAUCCUAAUUGUUACUUGUGGAUAUUAUGUUGCCACUUUGAUGAAACGGACGUCAACAUGACAAUAUCCCAUCGCGUAAAUCUUAAAACUGUAGGCUAACAUCUUAAGAAAAGGACAGUGUGGACUGCGUUAUAUAUAUAUAUAUAUAUAAUUUGCGAAGAAGAGCUUUCACAUAAAACGAUUUCUUUAGAGGAAGAAGUUUUUGAAAUUUCUUUAGAAACAUGUUUUUCUUUCUCAGGAACUUGAGAAAGAGCUUUAGUUUGAGAAAUAUUUUGUAAGGCGAGCAUAAGCUCUGGAGACUUUGUAAUAGAAUUCAUCCAUUCUUUUACCUGAUCUUCGGAGGUAAUGGCUUUAUAUUGUGCUUCAUGUUCUUCAACCAUUUCAAUCCAAGAUUUGAUGGGUAUGGCAGAAGAAAGUAAUUUUUCUUUAGAGGGGGUUGAAAGAGGUUCUUUGGAGGUUGCUUGUGACUCAGUGUCUUUAAGAACAGCUUUACCUUUAUCUUUUUUCUUGGGCGGCAUUAUCUGUUUUGAAGAAAUAGGAUCGAAGGGUGGAAGUGAUUAAGCAGAAUUCAAAAUUUCAAACUUUAAUGCAAGUGAUUAAUAGGAAUCUAUUAAGUACUUUAUUUAGUACGUGACGUUGUUUCCAGAUCGAUGCAGAACUUAAUCUGCCUUUGUGACCAGAUCUGACUUAGAACAUAUCAAUAUCACGUACGUUCUGUUUUCCAGCCGAUAUACUAAAAUAUUUUAUUGGUCUUUAUUCAAACUUAGCAACAAAAUCUAAAGGCUCAUAAUUAAUACUAGAUCUGGAUCCCAGAAAUAGUAUUAUGAUUUAUUGGAGGGAGAAGAGAAAAUACGGCCAAGGGAGAGAUCUGGUCUCUAUGCCUUGGAAGAAUGUAGCAGUAUAUAGAAAUUUAAAUUGCAGAAAUUUAAACAUACAUUUGAAACUUUAAAUAGAUUAAAUGAGAGAUGCGUACAUAUAUUGCUUGAAUCCGAGAGCUUUACAAUCGAAAGUCUUUACAGAUCUUGUAGAAAGGGAAAAUAGAAAGGGAAAAUUACAAGACAGGAAUUAUUUUCCUUGAUGUCUUGAUCCUGAUUUCCCUGGAGAGAGAGAGAGAAUACAAAUGUUGUGUAAAAUAAAAACUCUGCCUCUCUAAUGUUACAAAGCUUUGAAUUUAAACUAGCUGAAGUUUGAACUGUGGCGAGUCUGUAGCUUCAACUGUAGCGAAACUGUAGUUUUACAAACAUGGUUGGUGAGUGGAGACAACAUGAUGGUGAAAGGACUUAGCUUUAUUGGCUUUUGCUGUAGCUUCACAUGCGUAGAUGUUGGAGCGGAAUCGGCAAGACAUGUGGGGGACAACAUCUUUUCUUCUUUACAAUUAUGAAAGAAAACAAAAAUGGGUGAAGAGACAUGUGCACUCUCACUUGUGUCCAGGGGACCAUUGAAAGGAAAAUACAAAUUUAAUAAUUACAAGAAUUUACAUAAGUGAAAAUUGCAGAAAAAUAUAGAAAAUGAAGACAAUCGUUACUCUUUUUUUUUAAAAAAAACUUUAAUGUUUUAAUGGGGAGAAAAUUCCGAAGCAAUCAUCUUCAUUUUCAUCUCCGAGGGAGAUGAACGGUUCAGCUUCUCCAGAGGAGCUUGAUGAAGAACUUGCAGCAGAUGUCUCUGAUCUUGUGGCAAGAAGUUGUUGCAUUACUUUGAAAUAUUCAUCCUCGGUUUUGGCACUGGCCAGCAGAAAUUGGGCUUUUGCUCUCUGGGCAAGGAAAGUGCAUUGGGCUUUGGUGACGUCUUUACUUGGGGCAAUGAGGCCUCUUGUAGAGAGUCAGGAUUGGACCGUGGCUUAAGACAACUUUGACUGUUCAUCAAAUUUAGACCACCAUUUGACUUUGAAGGUUCUUUGUAAGACUAGUUGGGUGUCUAAGGUGUGGUAUUAUAAAUUCCACAUCCAAACCCUGGGUAGGAAAAAGUUUGUACAGAAACAGAAAAAAUGAGGAAACCUCUUCUCAGACUCAGAAGGAACAUAAUGGGCUUUAAAUAAAUUUAAACAUUUAAUGGCAUUUUGGGUUAGAAUAUCGGGGCUUGGCCCAAAAUAGUUCCUCCAAAUUUGGAACCAAUUUGGAAGGCUUUGGAUGAUUAUUUUUGAAUUGAAGAAAAAUAACCAAGAGUGGGACUUUUUCAGAUUUUGGAUAAAAAAAUGUGUUAAACCAGGCCUGCUGAUAAUCCCAAUAGGAGAAAGAUAAGCAGUGGUUUAAACGUUUUUAAAAAUUGGCGGGAAAAAUUUUUGGUUUGUGGAGUUGGUCACCCUACUGAUUUGGACUUAAGACUUUAAGAAUGGUAGCCGUGGAAUAGACUGGCUCAGAAUGAGCUUCACUAAGGAAAAAAUGUUUAAAUUUUACUGACUCAGUGAACUCAAGUAUGCUUUGGUAGAAAGACUGGGGUUUGGAUAAAUCCCAUGGUUUGAAAAAUCAGCCUUUCGGGAAAAUCUUUGAAACUGCUUGAAAUGGAUUAGAAUGAUAAAACCCAUCCUCCAUAAUUAAAACAUUUUGUUGAUAGGCUUUAUGAAACCAAUCCGAAGAUUUCUUGUGAAAGCUUUGAUUGAGAAACAAUAAUUUGCGAAGAAGAGCUUUCACAUGAAACGAUUUCUUUAGAGGAAGAAGUUUUUGAAAUUUCUUUAGAAACAUGUUUUUCUUUCUCAUGAACUUGAGAAAGGGCUUUAGUUUGAGAAAUAUUUUGUAAGGCGAGCAUAAGCUCUGGAGACUUUGUAAUAGAAUUCAUCCAUUCUUUUACCUAAUCUUCGGAGGUAAUGGCUUUAUAUUGGGCUUCAUGUUCUUCAACCAUUUCAAUCCAAGAUUUGAUGGGUAUGGCAGAAGAAAGUAAUUUUUCUUUAGAGGGGGUUGAAAGAGGUUCUUUGGAGGUUACUUGUGACUCAGUGUCUUUAAGAACAUCUUUACCUUUGUCUUUUUUCUUGGGCGGCAUUAUCUGUUUUGAAGAAAUUCCCUGGUCAGAAAAUCAGAGAUAGAAUUUGUAUCACCUUUAAUAAAUUCGAUAUCAAAAUAAAAAACACUCAAAAUGGCUUGCCAUCUUGCAAAAAUCUGUUUUGAAGCAAUAUUUUGAACUUUUUUUUUCAAAACAUGUUUUGCAGCUUUGCAAUCAAUUCUGAGUAAAAAUUUUUUAUUUAAUAAAUCACUUUGAAAUUUAGAUAUACAUAAAACAAUAGAAAGAAUUUCUUUUUUAAUAGUAGAGUAAUUUCUUUGACAUUCAUUCAAAUGAGCAUAAACAUACUGUACUAUUUGUUCUUUAUUAUUAUGGACUUGCUUUAAUAUUCCUCCAUAACCUAAAUCUGAUGCAUCAGUUUCGACAACUUUAGGUAAUGCAGGAUUAGCAAGAAAUAAACAUGGAAUAGCUUUAACAGAAUUUUUUAUGAGUUUAACAACUUUAGUAUGUUCAUCAGUCCAUGCAACAUGAUUCUUUUUUAACCUAUCAUGUAGAGGUUUUGACAUCCUAUUGAUGUUUGGACAAAAAUCAAGAACAUAAUUUAAACUACCUAAGAAUCUUUGUAAUUGGGUUUUAUCAAGGAUUCUAUCAGGGAACUUGUCAGCAAAGACAAGAGAUCGCUCAAUAGGAGUAAUAGUUCCUUUGAAAAUGUAAUGACCUAGGAACCUGAUCUUUGUUUGAAACAAAGAAACUUUAGAACUAGAAAUAGUUAAGCCAGCGUUUCUAGUGGCAAGGAAGAAAGUCUUUAGAUGCUUAAAGUGUUGGUCAAUAGUUUGGGAAAAGAUCAACACAUCGUCAAUAUAAACAAUGCAAAAUUCAGAAAAAGGGUUAUAAAUAUCAUUCAUAAUUCUUUGGAAUUCUGAAGGUGCAUUUUUUAAACCGAAUGGCAUUACAGUCCAUUCGUACUGUCCAAAAGGAACAGUAAAAGCAGUUUUAUAACGGUCUUUAGGGUGAAUUUGAAUUUGCCAAAAUCCAGAUUUCAUAUCAAAUUUUGAAAAAAUGAAAGCAGCAUGAAGUUUCUGGAGCAAAUCCUUUUUAUUAGGUAUAGGGUACCUAAUCCAUUUUAAUGCUUUAUUCAGGGGUUUGUAAUUUAUGACUAAUCUGGGUGUUCCUCUUUCUAUUUCAGAAUUCUUGUUGACAUAGAAAGCAGCACAAGACCAAGGAGACCUAGAUUUGACAAUGAGGCCUUUAGAUUCUAAAUCUUUUAUUUCUUCUUUGCAGUGUUGUUCCAAUUCCAUGUUCAUUUGGAUUGGACGGGCUUUGGUAGGUAUUUGUUUUUCAUCAAAGGAACUUUCAUAAGGCAAAUCUACCAAAUGUUGUUUUCUAUUCCAAAAAACAGAUGGUAAAUCAGCACAUAUUUCUCUUUCAAUGAGGUCUUUUAAAUCAGAGAUUUUUCUUUUUACAAAUUCAUUACGUAAUUGGUUUUCGAUUCUUUGUAGACUCAAAUCCUUUUUUAAACAAAGUAAGUCAUUUUGUUUAGAUUUGAGAAGGGCAUUGAUUUGGUUCUGAUAAACAGAACAAGCUUUAACAAUAUUUAAAUUUCUUAUUUUAAGGCUUUUCAAUAAAGGGAAAAAUGAGUUUUUCUUCCUUUGCUUUAAAAGAUAUACUAUCAUAGUUGACAGUAUAAGGGGUAAUGAGAUUAAUAAAGGGAGUUCCUAAUAUAACAGUAUGAUGGAUAUCAUUUGUUAGGAGGAAGGAAGUCCUGAAUUCAAAACCAUUGUUAUGAAUUGAGGCGUCAACUUUAGAUUUGACAUUUAGUUUUGAAUUAUUGGCGGCAGAAAGUCUUUCUUUAGUUUUUUCAUGAAACCUUCUGGGGACAAUAUCAUCUUAAUAUAUAUAUAUAUAUAUAUAUAUAUAGAGAGAGAGAGAGAGAGAGAGAGAGAGAGAGAGAGAGAGAGAGAGAGAGAGAGAGAGUCAUGGACUUUAUUAAAGUUCAAAAAAAGUAUUAAGUUAUAUGGUUUAAUAGUGUAAUGGCCUCUUCUCAAAAAAAAAAAAAUAGUGUAAUAAGAGACUAUAUGAUUUAAUAACUCUAUCAAAUUUUAACAAAAUCUAAAUUCAAGAUUGGAAUAUAUCAUAAGGUAAGAAUUAGGAUGGCUUUCUAUUUAUAAUUGUUCCCGAAGUAGAAAACCUUCGUUUUGCUCCAAAAUAGCUUCUUGCAAAAGGGAUUGCUUUUGACAGGAUGGGAUCAUUAUCCGAGAUUUUGUUAAAGUCCAGACCAGAUCCGGGAUUAUGUAAAGUACAAAAUCCAAAUCACGUAUUACGCACUAUCAUGUUCAAUUUAAUAAUCAUUUAAUUUGGAGACAAUUGAAAUUCAUGUGCUAGGCGACGGCUCCUAUAAUGUGAUUAAAUCGUAACCCAAGUGUUAAUUAAGGGUACCCUUGUAAUUGUAAUUAGAAUUAAUGCCUAUAUAAUCACCUUGAUGUAAUGCUAAUUCUUCAUGCACACAUAUUGCUUUGCUUAAAGAUUGCGUCAUUGCUGCCAAAUUGCUCCAAAUCUCUUCAUAUAUAGCUUCUUUUUUUUUUUUUUAAAAGAAUGUGGAAAUUGAAGCUUUCGGAAGGAAAUUGUGAACAUGAUCCAUGGAUUACAAGUUUGAACAAUCAUAUUGGCAGACAAUUCUGGGAAUUUGACCCAAAUCUUGGAACUCCUGAAGAACGGCAACAAGUUAACAAACUUCGCAAUGAUUUCACCGAGAAUCGGUUUCUAACGAAACACAAUUCUGAUCUAUUUAUGAGACUUCAGGUAAAGAAAUAUCAUUUGUAUGUAUGUAAACUUUACACCAAGAUUUUCAUCAUUUUCGCACUUUAUAAAAUGCAGAUUCAACCAUUAAUAUAAUUCUCAUCAUGAAGUCGUCAGGAUUUGAGAAUUACUGUGUAAUAUAUUAAUUGUGUUUAUGUGAUAUGUACAGUUUGCGAAGGAGAAUGCAUGUGAGAUGAAGCAGCUGCCUCAGGUGAAAGUAAAAGAUGAAGAAGAAAUAUGUGAAGAGCAAGUUGUGAGUACAACAUUGAGGAGAGCUCUGAGAUUCUAUUCUAGUCUCCAGGCCGAGGAUGGCUUUUGGCCUGGUGACUAUGGUGGUCCUUUAUUCCUUCUUCCUGGCUUGGUAUAAAUAUAUAUCUAUGGUGAUACCUAGUUUACUUGUCUUUUGAAUGUUUAUAAUACUUUGGAUAAAAAAAAUACAGACACACAGAAAUGUGUGUAGAGUGUUUUUAAUCUCUUACUUGAAAUACGCAUUUAACAAAUUAGACAAUCUCAUAUGAGACAUGCAGUUGCAUUAUAUGGGAGAGGUUUAAUAUGACCAUCUGAUCAAAUCAUGAUAUUUGUCUUAAAAUUCAUUUAUUUGUAUGUACUUCAAAAUUAGUCAAUUUCAAAAUGUGUGUGUAUAAUCAAAACUUUAUUAGAUGAAUGUGCAAAUGAUGAUCUCAUGUAAGACUUUCUUGUACUUGGACAAAUUGAAGCCAACUUUCGGAUUAAAGAAAUAUGAUCUCCUUCUUCAAAUCUUUAUUUAUUUUCGUGAAAAUUAACGAAAAGAAAAGAAAAAAAAAAUUGCAAUAGUCGUUUUCACUAUGUUAAUGAUCCCAGCCUCCCAAAAUCAUAUUUUUUUCUCUUCGGAAAUCACAUCAGCACCAAUACGAGAAAACUAAACUUCAAUAAUGUUAUCAUUUUUGGUAUUUUUUUAUGUCUAUACAUGUCUAUAUAGUUUAAUAUAAGGUUGUUAUUAGUCACAAAUAAUUGAUUAAAACAAAUACAAAUUCACUGUAUUUACAAUUUCAUGGUCCCCUUCUCUCCCUUUCUGUUAUUUAAAAAAAAAAUUUGUAGGUAUUUCUAGCAAAAAAAACUGCUUUCAAUGUCUUAUUCAUAUUGUUGUCAUCAUGACAAGCAUCAACAUUCAUUUUUUUUAAAAAAAAUUAUGCAUAUUUUUCAAAAUUAAGAUUCUUUUUUUCAAAUCUAUACAUAUUUUUCAAAAUUGAGUCGCAUCAUUUAUAUAUCCAUUUUCAAACUCAAAAGCAAUAUUUAUGUGUACUAAAUUAUGAGACAGGUGAUGGGCCUAUUUGUAACCGGUGCCUUGAAUGCAAUUUUAACAAUGGAACAUCGAAGGGAAAUGAUUCGUUAUCUAUAUAACCACCAGGUAUAUUUUUUUAUUUAUAAAACUACAUAAUUAAACAAUUCUAUUAACUGUGUAGAUUAAUUUCUCAACAAAUAUUUUACAAACUGAAGGUGUUUAUUGAAAUUAAGCCAUAACUUUUGCGGAGUAAUGUGAAAGUGAAACCAAUAAUCUACAGAACAGAGAUGGGGGAUGGGGAUUGCAUAUAGAAGGGUGCAGCACGAUGUUCUGUACUGCGCUAUCAUAUGUCACUUUGAGACUGCUUGGAGAGACAAUGGACGGUGGGGAUGAUGGUGCCAUGGAAAAAGCCCGAAAAUGGAUCCUUGAUCGCGGUGGGGUCACCUCCAUUCCAUCUUGGGGAAAGAUGUGGCUUUCGGUAUGAACCAUUCAUUACAUCCUUGUAAUCAUUCUCGGUCUGAACGUCUUCGUGCGAACUUGUUCACGAAUCUUAGCAUUUCAAGGCUAAAUUACAAAACAAUUUAGCACUGAAUUGCGAGCAAACCGUAUACAAAUUAGUUCACAUUUUAUAGUACUGUUUUGCUAUUUUAUCUUCACAAAUCAUUAUUUAGAUUUUUGCUACCUAUACCUUCGGCAAAAUAAAAAUAGGUGCUUGGAGUAUACGAGUGGAGUGGGAACAAUCCACUACCCCCGGAAAUAUGGCUUCUCCCUUAUUUUCUUCCUUUCCAUCCAGGUAAAAAUUAAUUUUCUUUGUGUGUUUGUUUAUAUUAUCUAUAAUCCAGCUUUUUUAUGUGUAAAUUCAAAACCUUAAUUUGAUAUUUUAAGUGACGUCUGCAUUGAAAAGGAACUCAUUAUACCAUGUAGUUAAUUAAUAUCGGAUGUUUACGUUUUCUGAUUCGAGAUCUUAAAAUACUGGAAAAAUUUGAGAAAGUUUUAAAAUCGUAGGAUUUUAAAGUCUUAAAACUUAAAGAAUUUAAACCGCACGGUUUAUGUCUUUUCCCGAACUUUCACACACUUAAAAAUUUCUAAACUUUAAUUACUAUGGCCAUAAAAAUACGGGGUUAACUAUAUAUCAAUAAUCAUAAUUUAAUUUCGCAUUUUAUAGAAUAAAUACAUGUACGUCGGAGAAAAUUUCCCAUAUUGUCGUGUUAGUACAUUUUGGAUGAGUAAAUUAAUUAGUUAUAGUUUUGAAUGAUACAAGUAAAUGGAUCGUAUAAAUUGAUGAAAUUAAUGCACGUAUGCAGGGCGUAUGUGGUGUCAUUGUCGGAUGGUGUAUUUGCCAAUGUCGUAUUUGUAUGGAACCAGAUUUGUCGGUCCAUUCAAUUCUCUUAUUUUAUCUCUUAGAAAGGAGCUCUACACGCUUCCUUAUCACUACAUCGAUUGGGACCAUGCCCGAAAUUUGUGUGCCAAGGUACAAUAAAAUUAAAAUAAUCUUUAUUCCAUUCUAUUUAAAUUUAAAAACUUCAUAACUUUAUGUGCGACAAGAGAAAAGACAAGCCGAAUUAACUUAAUACUCUACUAAUAAUAAAUAUUACAAUUACAAUAUUAGAUGCCAAUUUUUUUCCUCUCAUUUCUCUUUUAUGUGAUAAUUUGAGAAAAAGAGCGAACCCAUAUUGUUUAAUAAGACUAAUCGAAACCCUUUGAUAUUUUAAAAUAUGUUUAAAUGUUUUUAGGUGUCAAUUUUUGUGUGUGUGUUAAUCUUAUCAUUUUAUCCUUUGUGGUUGUUUGACGUUGGGGUUAUAUGAAUAUAUAUAAUUCUUUAAUUAAUUGACUAAUUAUUUUUUUCAUAACUAAUUGCAAAAGUAAAUGAAAAAUUAUGGAACAAGUAAGCAAAAUUGUCAUAAAAAUUUAAUUAGUUAUGAAUUUUUACAAAACAAUUGAAAAUUAAAUAUAAAAGUUUAAUUUAUAUAUAGUCAUUAUCUAAUUAUGGAUUUCUUAAAUUAUUAAAGUAAGAGAUAAAGUAAAAGACAAAAUACACGCUCCAAUAUAAGGUGUUUUAUCCGAUCGCGUAUCGAAUUGUGUGUCUCUUCUGUCUUUUAAUUUAUUCUUUACUUUAAUAAUUUAAGGGAACCGAAUAUAUAUAUAAUCAAAAUCCUUUACUUUUACCCAUAGUUUUUCAGUUAAUUAUAAAUUAUAAAUUAUAAAUUAUUUAAUUAAUUAAAUAAUUAAAGAUAUUUAUUUAAGGGGUUCCACUCAUUUUCCUUGAUAACUUAAUAGAAAAAUAAUUUUAUUCUAGUGUCAAUGCGUGGUUAAUUGCUCAAAUUAAUAAUAAUGAGUGGUACGAUUCGCCAAUUGGAGCUUUAAAUAAUGUUGGCGUUGUCACUUGUAAGAGAUUAAAUUAUAAAUUUUAGUACAGGUGACAUGAGAAUAAGAUAUAAAAUAAUGAGUGAGAUAAUCUUUUUCAUUUUUUGAAAACAUAAUAUAAACAAAAUUGAUUAUAAAGUAGGGAAGGUAGUAUGAUGUAAUUUUUUUUUAUUUUUUGAGAAGUAGUACGAUGUAAUUGUGAUGAAAUUCAAAAUAUUUAACUUCCGAAUGAUUUAGAUUGAAUCAAUAAUUGAGAUCUAUAAUAAAAGACAAUCAAAUGAUCAAUCUUCUCGCAUAAUGUACAAUAUUUAAUUUCCUAUCAAAAUCAAAAGUGGAUGGAAGGUCACUUUCUUCAAAAGUAGACGGAAGGACGAUAGAGGUUGCAGAAAUUAUUUUUGAAAUAUUAAUUAAAGAAAACUAGAGUGGUUCCUUUGUUCUAAUAUGAUAAUUUUGGACCUGCUUGUAAAGAGAGCAUUUGUAUUAAAAUUGUUUAAAGAAAAUACCAUACCAAUUUGUAAGCAAAUAAAACUUUGUAUGGCAAUUGGUAUAUUUAGCUUUAUUUGUAUUAUUACUAAUAUAAUAGGAGAAAAAUUAACGUUUUGCAGGAGGACCUUUACAAUCCCCACCCCAUGAUCCAAGACAUAUUAUGGGGGUGUCUUCACAAGAUUGGGGAACCUCUUGUAAAGAAAUGGCCUUUCUCUAAGCUGAGACACAAUGCUCUUAAAACUGUAAUGCAACACAUCCAUUAUGAAGAUGAGAAUACGCAGUAUAUUUGCAUUGGCCCCGUCAAUAAGGUAAUUUUCAGGACGAAAUUUAACCCACUUAAUGUAAAUUUUAAGCCUAAUCCCUUCAUAUUUACAGUUUUUAUCUUUUAGCCUAAAAAGUUUGUUUUUCUGUAUUAUACCUCCCAUUGAACCAAAAUUCUUAUUCUGCCAUUGGUCAAAUCAAAUCCAUUGUAAGCUUUUUUGGAAAAAUAAUUGUAUUUACAAAGUUUUAGAAUGGUUUUUGAUACAUUGGAAGCUAUUUUAGGAAUAUUAAUUAAUAAUGUAAGAUCAAUUAAUUACAUUUAAAGGAUCUUGAUCGGAUGAGUAUUGUCACGCACGUUAUAGUACGUAAUAGGACGCGUGUCAAUUUUUUAUUAGUAGGUUUAUUUGUGGGCCCACAACCCCACCAAUGAAAUAGUAACAUGUGUCCGCACAUAAUAUCAGCCCACUACAUUUGAAUUGAUAAAUUGUCAAACCUUUGUGCAUACAUAGGUACUAAACAUGAUUUGCUGUUGGGUGGAGGACCCAAAUUCUGAGGCCUAUAAACGUCACCUCUCAAGAAUUAAAGACUAUCUCUGGCUUGCUGAAGAUGGAAUGAAGAUGCAGGUUGCAAUUAGUUAAACAGUUUUAUUUAGGAAAAAUUUAAUCAAUUUGGGAUUUUGAUAUUAAUUAUAAAAUCCUCAAUGACAGGGAUACAACGGGUCACAACUGUGGGAUGUAACAUUUGCAGUCCAAGCAAUCUUGGCCACUGAUCUUGUUGACGAAUAUGGUUCAACACUUAAGAAAGCCUUCAGUUUCCUGAAAAACACCCAAGUAUCUAUUAAUUUCAUUUAAAAGAUCAAACCUUUAAACCUAUCUUUAUUAUUAAAUUAAAACAAAAUGUUAGCGGAUUUUCUUGUUCAUAAAUGAUGAUUAAAUUUGUCAAUUAAGGUUCGGGAAGAUUGCACCGGUGAUCUGAAUUAUUGGUACCGCCAUAUUUCUAAAGGAGGAUGGCCUUUCUC